rnacentral:lncRNA from 1 species
CACCUUAGCAGUCUUCAAUGUGUCACACAACAACUUGUCAGGGAGUAUUCCGUCUCCAAAAGCUCAAUUUGGAACCUUUGAUGAAAGCAGUUAUGUGGAGAAUCCUUUUCUCUGCGGGCCUCCCCUGCAUAAAAAUUGCAGCGACCUUGAUUCACCCCCGACAACAGCACCAAAGAGCUCAAACGAGGAAGAAGAAAGUGGUUUGAUGGACAAGUAUGUUUUCUGGGUGACCUUUUUUGUUUCUUACGUGAUUGUGUUACUGGUUAUUGUUCUCAUCCUGUAUAUAAAUCCUUAUUGGCGACAAGCAUGGUUUUCUUUUGUUGAACACUGCAUCAAGACUUGUCAGUACUUUCUUCUGCGAUUUUCCAUCUUCAAAAGGAGUGGGUAGCCUUGUAUUUUGGUGGUUUACAUUUGUAUGUAAUUUUCAUCACUCUUUUUUUAUUUUUCAAAGUUUGAUUGGAUUAUCUGCUUCUAAGUUUUUAGAGCUAGAAUGCAAUAUAUCUGUUAUGGAAAGCAAUAUAUAAAGUUAUGCAUUUUCAAUUAAAACAUUUAAUAUUGCUUUAUAAUUUUUAGUGUUCUGAUAAGAUGAUGUUAAAUUCAACAUAUUGUAGCAUAUAUAUUAAUAAAACCUAUAUUCAUCUAUACAAAUUUUUUAGUCAACCAAACCAUUGAUGUGGUGGCAAAAACUUCACAUUGUUUUCAAGUCUUCAUUGACAUUAGGUUGAGGUUUCAAACCCUAGCGUAAAAGAGGGGGGAGAGGGGUUGUCUGAACCAAAACUUCAUUUCAACAGAUAUCCUUUACCCACUAAAUCAUAUGCUCAACUGAAACUUUUAUAUAUAUAUAUAUCAAACAUGAAUGAUAUAAAUAGUCUUUAAAUUUUUAAAUGAUAUAAAUAUAUAUAUAUUUUUAAAAUGAACAAAAAUUAUAAUAAUUAAUAUGUAGUUUCAUUAUUUUAUUUAAACUCAAAAUAAUAAUAUUUAAAAAUUGAGUUUACGUGAUAUUUAUUUACUUUAAAAUUAAUAAAAUGUAAAUAUAAACUUUAUUUUAUUUUAUUUAUAUUCAAAUUUAAUAAAUGUUUAUCUAAUUUAUUUAAAUUUAAAUAAAUUAAAUAAAUAAGCACACAAUUUUUUUUAGAGAAAGUGAUGACUCUUUUUUAAUGAUGAGAUGUUAGAAGAUUUACCAUAUGUGUAAUGUGGAGACAAUAACCCUAAUAUGUAACUUUUGCACAAUAACCUUAAUUUAUAAUUAGUGAAUCAUCAAUUAAAAAUUAAUUAAUUGAGUAUUUACACUUGUCCAACCAUAUUUUAUUUAAUAAGUGUCAUGGAUCAUAGGUCAAAUAAGUAUCACAAUAAUCACAGUAAUACCUGCAAAAAUUGAAUCCAAAUAAACAUAUCCAUAAAUUGUUAAUGAAAAUUUGUUCGCAGCGAGAACCUUAACUAAGAUUGGAAGAAUUUAUAUGUUUUUGUCUUUUUGCUAAAAUGAGUAUAAAACAUAUAAAAAAUAAAUUAUGAAUGUUCAUUUUUUUAAUAGUUCAAAAAAAUAUAUUAUAUAUAAUAUAUAUUAUUGUUUUGCAUUUGCUCCUCAAAGAAAAUGGAAACAAUCGUAAGCCUAUGGCAUCAUUAGAAACACCAUUAAUCUUGAUGUGUCGCAAAUCUCUAGAAAGUUAGCCAAAUGAGUAUUCAGAUCUUCAUCUUGCAACCUAUCAAACUGAACAUAUUGUUGUACCAUCUGAAUUGUGUUCGACUUUAGCUCAAAAUUAUUUACAGCAAUAGUCAGUCUGACAAUACUCGAUUCAACCCCAAUCAGAAUAGACUUAGCAUAAUCAUACAUAGUCCGAAGAGUAGGAGCUGCAGGAAGCUGUUGAUUAUUUUUAUGAUUAUCCAUCUCCACAUUAAUAUCCUUUUCCUCUUGAUCGUCUACUAAAAUCUAUUUAUCUUGUCUUUUGCUUUUCUAACCUCUCUAAGAUUUCUACGAGCAGUCUUUUCAACUUCACUAUAAAAAAUUAAUGUUUCUGACGAGUUUCCUCUAGUCAUAAACCAAAAGACUCUAUCAUAAUAAAAAAAUGAAAAAUUAGAAUAUUGUAAAAGUUAAAUUAAAAACAAAAAUAUCAAAAUAAAAAUAAAAAUAGCUAAAUUAAUAGAAAUAAAGUUUUCCUAAUAUUUUAGUCCCCUGGCAAUGGCGCCAAAAACAUGAUGCAGUCAUAAACCAACUAAAAAUCUGACUAAGGCAAGUGUACCUAUCAAUUAAUUGUAUAGUUACGAUGAGCAAAUAAAUCGUUCCCACAAAGACUAAAAGUAGUAAUUACUGUCUUUCUAUUAUUUAAUCGAUAAACUCGAGUAAUUGAUUAAAACUAAAAUUAUUUAAAUUAAUUAACAAUGAAUGUGACAAAUAAUAAAUCAGGAAAAUAAUUGAAUAAUAACCAAGAAGCAAAACAAUACCUAGGAAAAAAUUCACCUAGAUUUCAUCUGUCAUUAUCAAUCUAAAUUCCACAAUUUCUUUACUUAGUAUCUUAAUUCAUAGAAAUCCCUAAAUCAUGCUAAUAUCUCUCUUCAAGAAUAAGAGCAAUAACUUUAGGCUGGUUAAUUGAAAUUUCUUUCUAAUUAAAACCCUUAUUAUCGCAUUAAAUCGCUUUAUGGAUUUCCCAAUUACAUUUGACUCUAAUUCGGUGGAUUUAUAUCAUCCUAUUUCUAAGAUUGCAUGCAACUUCACUCAAUUACGCUAGAUCUACUCUUAAACAAGGUCUAUUCCUUCUCUGAUUUAAGCACAACAAACAUGGAUCAACAAUCUAGAAAUAUUAAACCAAGAGUAAAAUACACAUAAUUGAGAGCAAGAUCUAAGUAUUUAUUGUGUAAAAAUAGAAAUCAAAUAAUAUAAUUCAUCCUAAAGCUUAUCUCUCUAGGUAUUUGGAAAAUUAGUUCAUACUUGCAAAUAAAAACAUCCCAAAGACAAUAUAACCAAAAGAAAUAAAGAAGCUCGUGAUAAUCUCCUAAGAAAUCAACUGUGAGUCUUCAAUCUUGACUAAAAUUUGCUUCAGAAUCGGCUUCAAUGGUGUUUUCGAGUUGUUUUAUUGAGCAUUCUAUGACGGCUCUCUCCCCUCUUCUUAUAUUUGUCAUAUAUAGGUCUUAGAAUGCUCGAAAAACCUAAACAAAAGUGUUUUUCCGCAAGUUUGAAGUGUGACUCGUGAUUUCUACGUAGUCUCGCACAUGACCAUGUAGAAGCUCGUGUGGCCACACGGUCGUGUGUCCAGCCCAUGUGGCUCCUGAAACUUGCUCCAAUUUUCACUUAUUUUUCACUCUUUUUGCUCUAAAAUGCUACUAAGUAUAGAAACAUGAAUUUAAAGGAUUAGGAGCAUAAAAUUCACCAUUUUAAUUCGAAUAAUAAUCCAAAAAUGCAUUAAGAAUGAGGCUAAAACAUGUUACUUUUGGCAUUUAUUAAUUUUGCCAACACCCAAAAUAGUUGCUUAAAGGUACAAAUUUAAACAACCCAAAAAAGGGUCAGUAUAAUCCAAAAAGCGUUGUGUUAGGCUUUUCAUAUGAUAACACUUUUAUAUAGUUGGGAAAGGUAUAACAAAAGUCGGCAUAGUGUUGGAUAAAACUGAUUCUUAUUUAAGCGUUGCCUUAGGCAUGCAUAUCCCAACCUUUAUACAAAGAGUUGGCCAAAGCGUAUGUUAACAAGUCUAUCCUAACACUUAGGAAAGUGUCAGCAUAAUGUUGGACAAACUCGAAUCUUAUUUAAGUGUUGCCUUAGGCAUGCAUAUCUCAAACCUUAUACAAAGAGUUGGCCAAAGCAUACGUCGACAAGUCUAGUUAUUAGCUCAAUAGAUCAAACAGGAAUUGCUAAGAGGGGUGAAGUGGCUUUUAAAAAAAUGUGAAAGCUAGAAAGAAAAUUGAAAGAUGAACAUAAUAAUUUAGAAUGGUUUAGCCCCAAUUGCCUACCCCACUACCUUGACUUUCCACAACUAAGGAUUUUCCAAAAUUCACUAAAUUGAUAACCUUUAAGGAUAAGGUUUAACAUUACAACUCUAUUAAGAUUUCUGUAACACCCCAAACCCGGCUAGACGUUAUAACCGAAUCUGGCGAUGUCACAUGGAAUGGGAUUUGAAACCUCGUUGUUACGAUGAAAACAUUCCAUGCUAUUAUCUUUAGUAAACCUUUGUUAGAACUUAGGAAGUCGUCUUUAUUCAUUUAAAACAUUUGUUUUGAAACAUGCCUCGUUGUGGAAGCUUUAAUAAAACAGUCUAUGUGAUCAUGCGUUUAGAAAAUAAUUUAACUUUUUGAAAACGGAAUUUCCUAAGACCCGCAGGUAUAAAUCCAUAAAGUAAAAUAAAUAAAUAAAAACCCAAAUUUAAAACCAAAAUCCUAGAAGGUCCUUAAAUUACAUCCCAAAUAAUCAAUAAUAAUCAAAUCAUAAAUCGUAAAUUGAAAACCAUGAAGUCGAAAAAUUACGGUGGUUACCGCUAAGUCCUCCGUCGCACCGAUCCAUCUAAGUCUAGGGAUUAACUAUGCACAUUAAACAAAAAAUGUGAGUUUACGUAAACUCAGUGUGUAGUCCCGUAGAAACAAACAAACAAUCAGUAUUCACAGUGCACAGUUGAACAGUCUUGGGCCUAAGCCCUUUUCAGUAUCAGUGACAGUUUGGGCCUUAGCCCAUCUCAGUAUAGUGUCAAAAAUGCAGUAGGUCCUUAACCCAUCACAGUAUUAGUAGCAGUAACAAUUAUGCAGUAGCAAAAUCCUACCCAACCAGCCUCUACACACCAUCUUCGUCUAACCCUACAUUCUAUGUGGGGAUAUAAUCAACCUACCCAUCCCUUUUUAAUAAUAACCCAUGCUAGCUAAAUAUUCUAUGUUUUCACUAUUUACUUAUAUGUUCAUUUAAAGCUGUCUACUUGAGUCAUUGUCACUAAAUUAUUUACAUCUUAAGCUACAGAAUUCCAAAUUAAGAUCUGCUUGAUGUUUUCAAAACUGGACUCAGAUAUCUUUCUACCAUAAAUUUUCAAAAUUUAUAGCUUAUCAAAUAAGUACAGUAAAAUCUUCAAAGUUAUCCCUAUUCUGCCAUUUGACAGCUUCAACCUUUUCCUUACUAAAAAUUAUUAAUCUCUUAGUACGAAAUUUGAAUGAUGUUUCCAUUUGUUUCUCUUGAAAGUAGACUUAUUAAAGAUUUAAAUGUAUAAAUUUAAGCCCCUAAUUAUUUGUUUACAAUUUUUGAUAAUUUUCUAAAAUCAGAACAGGGGAACAAGAAAUCAUUCUGACCUUGUCUCAGAAAAUUUAUUAUAUCUCAUAAUUUACAAUUCUAUUGCUUACACUGUUUCUUCGAUGAAAAACUAGUCUCAAUAAAAUUUAAUUUAAUAUUUUAUUCAACCCUUAACUCAAUUUUCACUAUUUUUGAUGAUUUUUCAAAGUUAAACUACUGCUACUGUCUAAAACUAUUUUUGUGCAAAAUGUUGAUUUCCAAGGUUAUAACACCCUUAUUUCCUUUCUCUACAAUUUUUUUCGCAUCAUUUUCUCUUAUGUCUCGACAGCAAGCGAUUUUGACUUUUUGCUGAAUCCCCUUUUCUGCGUUUCGGGUACACACCUGGUUUCGUUAGAUGCUAAAAUAGUCCCCGAGCACUCCAAAGCCUAUAAUUGAACAAAUAACAUCAAUUUAAUCUCACAUAACGUGAUCCCAAAUCAAACUCAUAUCGAGGUUUUAACCCAUAAGCGACUAAACCUUACCUUCAACUGAUAAUAGUAGUUCCCACACAAACUAAGACUCCGAUUGGUGAUUACAAGCCCUUGAAUCAUCCCCUAAUAGGCAGAAACAAAACACUUUAGAAGAAAGUUAACAAAUAGAGACAAAUCACUUAUCUAAAACUUGUCGAACGAUCGCAGACAAACAUGGAGCGACACGAGGCAGAGUGGGAAAAAAAUCAAGAAGAUGAAGGGUGAAAGAGAGCAGAAAUUUGGCAAUAAUGAAGAGAAAAACAGCAAAAGGGUGGAGGGAUUUUGGGGAAAGUAAAAAAAAAGAAAAAAAAAAUUAACAGAAUAUUUGAUAACCACCCCAAUCCCUUAUUUCUCUCCAUCAAACUCCCCACAAAUCCACUACUCAGAUUUUUAGUCCAUCUCAAACUCUCUUGGACACAUGAGCAAAAAUAAUGCCUAUGCUAAGAUUCAAACACAAGACCUCUUUCACACCAACACUCUACUUAUCCACCAAACCAGCAAGCUAAUUUUGUUAAUUAUUUGCCAACUUUUACUUAAAAGUCUACUGACCAAAUAUAGGACUUAUUCAUAAAAAUACCAAAAUUUGCCCAAGUUCUGGCUUGAACUUGGGACCUCCCAAACACACCUAAAAUACUUAACCACUGAAGUAGAUACACAAUUGUGUCACACAUUCACAAUACCCAAAAUUAAAAUUUUUAGGUGUUACAGUGCUUCUUUUACUGAAUUAAACUAUAACCUUACUAACCUUAUAAAAUGCAUAAAAAACUAAUAAAUCACUUGAUUACAAACUCAUUAAGUAUAGAAUCAAGCUUAAUUUGCCACAACGAAUUGUGGUUAAUCAAUUGUUAAUAUGAAAUUUAUUUUUUUAGAACACCAAAUUCUUUCAACCGCAUUUUGAAGCAGUGGUGGAUCCUAGGACAAAGUUUGGAGGGGAGGCUAGUAAAAUUUUUAGGAAUUAUAAUAUAUAUAUUUGCCAUAACCAUCUAAUACUCAUACUUGUUUAUGCUUAUAAUAUAAUUUUUGUAACUAGUAUAAAAAUAAAUUUUUAAAAUGGGAUUUGAGUGUAAUUACGUAUGUAAUCAUUUUAAUUCUCAGUCCCCUAAGAAUUAAAAAGUGUAAUUGAGUGCUCUAAUUACAGCCAAUUCGUGGGACUCACCAAUCAAUGGUUACCCAAACAUGUCAUCUUUGUGUAAUUACUAGCAAUUACACCCAAAUUCAAUUACUAGGUGAUUUUCCAAACACUGUGUAAUAUGUCGCGACAUCUAAGCCCUUUUGUUUUGUACUUUUUUUAACUUAAUUUUUAAGAGUCCAAGAAAAGUAAAUUACUUAUUUGGUAACACUUAUAUUUAGUCAAGCUAAAAAUAGCUUAAUAAAUUGAUGUUAUUUACUAUAUUUGUCAAACCAUUUUAAAACUAAUUUUGGCUAAGUCAAAAUCACUUUUUAUUCAACUUACCUUUACUAUUUUUAGCCAAUUGAAGUCUUAUAAAUACCUUGUUCAUUUUCAUAAUAUACACACUUGCUCAUCCUUUCCAUCCUUUUAAGAUUGCUAAGUAUUUUUUUGUUGUGAUCUAUUAUUGAUUCCUACUCCCUUUUUAUAAUGAAAGAACUUAUUAAUACCUUAAUAUUUUACUAUUGGUUCUUUCUCACUUUUGUUUUAUUUUCAUCACUUUUAAAAUGUUAUUGUAGCGACCUAAAACUUUCUGGGCACGGGCGCUAGUCGAAGUAAUUAUUGAAGGUUUGAAAACAGUGUCUCGAUUUUAUUCGAAAAAGGGAGUCGCCACCGAUCUUUUUUUUUAGGUGUGAUCGGACACCUACAAAAUUCCCUUUUUAGAAGAAAAAUUUAUUUUUAAGCUUUUCUAAAAAGAGGUAAUUUUAGGUCCACGUAAAAAUCCAGAGAAAAUUAGGGUUCGGGAGUCGGUUACGCGCGAGGAAGGUAUUAGCACCCUCGCGACGCCCAAAAUUGGUAUCUCGUUAAACGCAUGUUGUCUUAACUUUCAAAAAUACGAGUUCCAUUUAAUAUUUAGUCGUGAUCCGAUUGAAACACGAGAAUUUUGAAACACAACAACCCCUUUUUUUUGAAAACACGAAAUUUUUUUAAAACGCAAGAAUUUUAGAAACACGAAAUUUUUCUUUAAAAAAACACGAAAAUUUUGAAACACGAGAAUUUUUUCAAAACACGAAUUUUCUUUUUGAAACACGAAAAUUUUGAAAACACAAAGUUUUAUUUUGAAAACACAAAAGAUUUGAUAAAUUACGAAACAUGAGAUUUUUUUUGAAACACGGAAAUUUAUGAAACACGGUCAAUUUUUGAAAACACGAAAAUUUUUGAAAGACGGGAUUUUUUUUUGAAAACACGAAAAUUUAUAAAACACGGAAAUUUUUUCUAAAAACAAGAAAAUUUUCGAAAAACGAGAAUUUUUGAAAACACAGGAAAUUUUUGAAAACAUGAAAUUUUUUGUUACACUAGAAUUUUGAAAACACGAAGAUUUUUGAAACAUGAGGAUUUUUGAAAACACGAAGCUUUUUGAAACAUGAGAAUUUUUUGAGAACAUGAAAACAUGAAAAUUUGUCAAACACGGGAAUUUUUUGAAAACACGAUAACAUCAAAGAGUAGUCAAGAGAGUUUUUUGAAACACGGAAUUUUUUUUGAAAAAAAGAAACACAAAUAUAUUUUUUUGAAACACGAGAAAUUUUUUGAAAAAAAGAAACACGAAUAUAUUUUUUUGAAACACGAGAAAUUUUAUUAUUAUUAUUUUGAAACACGAGAAAUUUUGAAGACAUGAAAAUUUUUGAAACACGAUUUUUUUAAUAAUACCAUAUUUAACACGAAUCGAUGAUAUUCACCCCGAUAUGGUGAUGAAAUCGUCGUAUUAGUGUCAAAACAAAUCAAAUUAAUAUUUAAUCAGGAUUCUAAUAAAACACGAGGAUUUUUAUUAAAACACGAGGAAUUUUGAAUAUUUUCGAUUUUUAGAAGGGCGUCCCGUAUUUAACACGAGCCAUCGAUAUUCACCCAACAUAGCGAUGAAUUCAACGGCUUGAUGCUAAAUCGGUUCGUUGCCUUAUGCAUUAAAAUAUUUUUUCUAUAAAAAAAAUGCAAAUAAAAUUACAUAUAAUAAUAUUUCUAAACUAUUAAAAAACUAAUUUAAUUGUAAUGGGGAAAUAUUUAAAUAAAUGGACUUAAUUAGAGUGGGUUUAAAAAAUUACCAAAAGCCCAAAGUUAUGGGCUUGAAUUUUGGGCCUCCCUUUUCUUUUUUUUCUUUCUCUUUCUUUCCUGGGCGUUGGGCUGCCGGACUGGGCCGAGUCUGCUGGCCCGCUGGUUGUUGAAACAGGCCUGCUACCGCUGCUGGAUCGAGUACAGGCCUUCGUGCGGGUCGGGUCUGCCUCCUGGACUGGGUCGUGGCCUGCUGUCACUGCUGGGCUGCUCUGCUGCGCGUGGGCCUGGGCUGCUGCUUAGCUGCUGGAGUGGCCUGCUGUUGGCCUGCCCAAGAUGGCCUAUUGCUUGCUGGGCCGGUCUGCCACUGCUGCUGGUGUGGGUGGCCUGCUGCUGGCUUGUUGCUGGCUGCUGGCUGGGUUGGAUCCGGGUCAUCGGGUCGGGUUGGCCCGGCUGUUAUUUUUUUUCUUCUAUUUUCUUCUUUCUUCUUUCUUUUUUUCUUUUUUUCCUCAUUUCUUUUUCUUUCCUUUUUCUUUUUCUUUCUUUUCUUCUUCCUUUCAAACCCUAGCCACCGUCUUUUGCUUGGUGGCGCGACAGUGCCGGCGCUUCUCCCUUCUCCCUUCUCCCUUCUCCUCCUCUCUCUUCUUUCUCUCUUUUUCUUUUUCUUCUCUUCUUCCUCUCUUCCUUACUUCUUUACUGUUUGGGUUGCUGUUUUUUUUUGUUUUCUCUUUGCUUGUUUGUAUAGGUGCGACGGUGGUGGUGGUGUCACAACGGCGGUGCGACGACGGUGGUUGCGGGAGGAUGGUGGUGGAGGCUUUCGGCUUGCUGCUAUUUUUUUGUUUUUGAAUUUUUUCUGCUCUUUUUCUUUUGGUUGCCGAAAAACCUUUUCUUUUUGUUUCGGUUUCCCUUGGCUUUCUAGGUGGCGGUGCGGUGGUUGCGGUGGCGGGGUAGUGGCGCGACGGUGGCGAUGGCUUUUGGGCUGCUGUUUUUUGGAUUUUUUUGAGUUUUUCUCUGCUCUUUUUCUAUUUUUUUUUGGUUGCUAUCCGACCCCCUUCCUUCUCUUUUGAUUUUCUUUUUAAUCUCUUCAUUUUUUAUCCUCUUUCUUCUUGUUUUCAGAUGGCAUGGAGGUGAGGAGCAUGGCUGAUUGGCGGUGUCAGGCGUAGGGUGUGGUGCACGCCCAAAUGCUGGUUGGGGGGCAGUCUUGUCAUUCCCAGAAGGACUGAAUUGUAGAGUGUGCAAAGUUUUUAGGGCAAAAAUGUGAUUUUAGGAAAAUAUAGGGACAAAAUGUAAUUUCUAGAAAGUUUAGGGGCCUGACUGUAAUUUAUAAAAUAUUAGGGGUCAAGAUGUAAAUUUAGACAAAGUUAGGGGUCAAAAAAUAAUUUUUGAAAAGUUUGAGGGCCAAAAUGUAAUUUUUAUUUUUUGUAUUUUUAUUUUUUUCAAAAUUUUAUUAUGACUAUUUUAUUAAUAUUUAAAACAAAAAUUAAAAACGGACUAAAGUAAUUCCAAAAUUAAAUCCUAAUGGGCUCGAUCAUUGGGCCCAUACGAGACCGACCCGGCCUAAAAUUCAAACCGGGCAAAAUUCAGUGAUUACAGCUGCCCCUCUUUGCUCAUCGCUGUAAAACAGGGAUAGAGCAAAGACUUAAAAGCACUGAAUUUUGCUCGAUUGUCUAAUUUUUUAUAUUUUUUGAAAGCCUGAAAUUGAAAAAAAAAAGCUUGGUGUGCGAUCCGAAGUUCAACUCACUUUUCAGAUUAUAAGUUGACCUUUGAAAAAUAAAAAAUAAAAAUACCUCAGCUUGACUCGAGGCUCAACUCACCUCUAGGAUUAUGAGUUAAUAAUUUUUUUUUUUGAAAACAUAAAUUGAAAAUACCACAGCGUGACCUGAGGCUUAACUCACCUCUCGCAUUAUGAGUUGAUUUUUGAAAAACGAAAAAUUGAAAAAUACCUCGGCAUGUGACCCGAGGCUCAACUCACCUCUCGUAAUAUGAGUUGAUUUUUUUUGAAAAACAGAAAUUUAAAAUACCUUAGCGUGCGACCUGAGGCCCAACUCACCUCUCGCAAUAUGAGUUGAUUUUUGAAAAACAGAAAUUGAAAAUACCUCAGGAUGACCCGAGGCUCAACUCACCUCUCGUAUUGUGAGUUGAUUUUUGAAAAAAAGAAAAUUUAAAAGAAAUACCUCGGCGUGACCCGAGACUCAACUCACCUCUCGCAAUAUGAGUUGAUUUUUUUGAAAAACAGUAACUUAAAAAUACCUCAGCGUGACCCGAGGCUCAACUCACCUCUCGUAUUAUGAGUUGAUUUUUGAAAAACAAAAAUUAAAAAAUAUAAUUCUUGAAAGAAACAGGGUUUCAAAACAUCAGGUGAAACUAAAGCCUUCUUCUUCGUUGAUUCUGUGCAACUUUCUCUCAGUAUUCCCUGCUCUACUAAGAUACCUGUAUAUGUCAUGUAUGAUGUUAUUAUGAUAUGCACGUGUUUGACCUAAAUGCUUUUAUGCCUACAUAAUCAUGCCAUGAGCCCUGGGCUGUUUGUCUCAUGCCUCCUUUUCGUGAGGGACUGCAUUCAUUGCCUCAAUCAUUGACUUCUCUCUUCGGUUUUGUACUCAUCUUCAAGUUUGUCGGGUGACCCACAUGUCCAUAUUUCCCCUUCUUGCCCCUUUUGUUGAACUUUGUUCCUGCUUUGGGGUCCUUGUACUUAUCAAAUUCUCAUCCAGGUAAUGCUCAACAUUCAUUUUGUUUAGAGUAUGUCAUCUUACUAUUUAUCAUUUAAAUGAAUCAAACACAAGAUGCAUAAAUAAAAUGGCAAAGUAGGCAUGAAAGAAAUACCUCACAUCCAUUUCAUUUUCAAAACCAUCAAACAAAGAAAAUUGACAAGGAAAAAGUUCAAAGAAAGCAUCAUAUAGAAAGGAAAGUGAAUUCAAUGGCCACAAAUGCUCUAGAUAUCCAACGUAUGAACUUCUCCACGUUUCUUCAUCCUGGAUCCUUUCGAGCACGGCUUCUUGUGUAGAAGAUUUCGAGCUUCUGAGAAUGCUUCAAAUAUUGCGACUUUGUCAUUCAACUCUCCGUUCAAGUCACUUUGCUCCUUUAAGCUCGAGCCCACUUCAUUAGGACGCCCUUUCAGGUUUCCAUCCUAAUUCUUUUUGUUUAUCAAAACGCCCUUUUCAGGUUUUCAUCUUGAUUUUCUUUUUCUUUUCUUUUUUCUUUUUUUGUUUUUGUUUUUGUUUUUUUUUGUUCUUUUUGUUCUUUUUGUUCUUUUAUUUUUUUAUUUUUUUUUUGUUUUUUUAGGCAUAAUAUUUCUUUACAGCAUCUGAGUUCACUGGAUUAGGUAACUCUUUCCCGUCCAUCUCAGUGAGAAUCAGAGCCCCUCCUGAGAAUGCCCUCUUUACAACGUAUGGUCCUUCCCAAUUUGGUGACCAUUUUCCUCGAAAGUCCUUCUGUAUUGGGAGAAUCUUUCUCAGUACGAGCUCUCCUUCGCGAAAUUCUCUUGGCCGCACCUUUUUAUCAUGGGCCGUAAUCAUUCUCUUCUGGUACAUCUGUCCAUGACAAAUUACCUUCAAGCGUUUCCCUUCAAUAAGGUUUAGCUGAUCAUAUCGAGCUCGAACCCACUCUGAUUCCUCUAACCUUGUCUCCAUCAAGAUGCGCAGGGAUGGGAUCUCUACUUCGAUAGGCAGAACGGCUUCCAUUCCAUAGACUAGAGAAAAAGGAGUUGCCCCCGUAGACGUCCGUACCGAGGUGCGAUAUGCGUACAAAGCGAAUGGUAGCUUAUCGUGCCAGUCUUUAUAUGUCUCAGUCAUCUUCCCAAUAAUCCUCUUAAUGUUCUUAUUAGCGGCUUCUACUGCUCCGUUCAUCUUUGGGCAAUAGGGCGAAGAAUUAUGAUGUUUUAUCUGGAAUUGCUCACAUACUUCUUUCAUCAUCUUAUUGUUCAAAUUUAAAGCAUUAUCUGAAAUGAUUCUUUCAGGCAGACCAUAUCGGCAUAUAAUCUCCUUUUUUAAGAACCUACAGACUGUAGCCUUUGUCACAUUAGCAAACGAAGUGGCUUCUACCCAUUUUGUGAAGUAGUCUAUAACCACAAAGAUGAAUCGAUGCCCAUUGAAAGCUUUCGGGGAAAUUGGCCCUAUAACAUCCAUGCCCCACAUAGAAAAAGGCCACGGAGAAGUCAUGACAUGAAGGGGUGACGGAGCUGCAUGAAUUUUGUCGCCAUAAAUUUGACAUUUGUGGCACUUUCGUGCGUAACCAAUGCAAUCCCUUUCCAUCGUCAGCCAAUAAUAACCAAGUCUCAUAAUCUGCCUGGCCAUGGUGAAACCACUGGCAUGUGUUCCACAAAUUCCUUCAUGAACCUCUUCAAGUAUCUUUCUAGCUUCAACAGCGUCCACGCACCUCAGGAGCACUUGAUCUUUUCCCCUUUUGUAUAGAAUAUCCCCGUCAAGAACAAAUCCAAUCGCCAUUCUCCUGAUUGUUCUUUUGUCAUUCUCGUUUGCUUGCUCGGGGUACCUUUGAUUCUUGAUAUACUCCAAGAUAUCAUGGAACCAUGGUCGUCCAUCUGACUCCUCCUCAAUACUAAAGCAGUGUGCGGGGGUCUCAUAUAUACUCAUUUGGAUGGGCAUUAUCUCAUUUUCUCUGUUUGCCUUGAACAUCGAAGCCAAGGUGGCUAGGGCAUCAGCCAGUUGGUUCUCCUCUCGUGGAAAGUAGUUAAAAGUCACUUUAUAGAACUCCUUGAUCAGCUCUGCAACGAGAUCAUGAUAUUUGACUAAUUUUGGAUCUCUCACUUCCCAAUCUCCACGAAUUUGAUAAAUGACUAAUGCUGAGUCCCCGUGUACCUCUAAAAUUUUGAUUUUUCACUUGAUAGCUGCACGAAGUCCCAUGAUGCAAGCCUCAUAUUCCGCUAUAUUAUUUGUACAGAAGAAAUUCAAUCUGGCAGUAAGCGGGUAAUGGUCCCCUUCAGGUGACACUAAGACUACUCCUAUCCCAUGCCCCAAUACAUUUGAUGCACCAUCAAAGCUCAUCUUCCAUGACUUUCCUUUUGAUGACUCGCCCUCUUUUUCUGAAAUACACAUCAAAUCUUCAUCUGGGAACUCAAAUCUCAAAGGCUCGUAUUCCUCCAUUGUUCGACUUGCCAAGAAGUCAGCUAUUGCGCUUCCUUUUAUCGACUUUUGGCUCACAUAUACAAUGUCAUACUCAGUCAAUAGGAUUUGCCAUCGGGCCUUUCUCCCUGAGAGUGCAGGUGACUUCAUCAUGUACUUUAUUGGGUCCAGUUUUGAAAUUAACCAUGUCGUGUGAUACAGCAUGUAUUUUCUGAGCCUUCGAACUGUCCAAAUCAAUGCACAACAAAACUUCUCAAUUGACAGGUACUUUGCCUCAUAUUCUGUGAACUUCUUGCUGAGGUAGUAAAUUGCCUUCUCUCUUUUCCCUGACUCAUCAUGUUGUCCCAGUACGCAACCCAUUGAGUUCUCAAACACGGUCAGGUACAAUAUUAAGGGUUUUCCAGGGGUCGGCGGUACUAGCACAGGAGAAUUAGAUAGAUACUGUUUUAUCUUGUCGAAGGCCACUUGGCACUCCUCGUUCCAUUCUCCCGGAUUACGUUUUCAAAGGAGUCGAAAAAUUGGGUCACACUGAUUGGUAAGUUGAGCAAUGAAUCGAGCAAUGUAAUUCAACCUUCCUAAAAAACCUCUGACUUCCUUUUGUGUACGCGGGGGAGGCAAUUCUUGUAUAGCUUUUAUCUUAUCUGGAUCAACCUCGAUACCUCUUUCACUAACAAUGAAACCUAGCAGUUUUCCUGAGGUAGCCCCAAAUGUACAUUUGGCCGGGUUAAGCUUCAACUGAAACUUUCUUAAUCUUUCAAACAACUUCCUAAGACUCCCAACAUGCUCUCUUUCUUCCCGAGAUUUGGCAAUCAUAUCAUCGACAUAAACUUCUAUUUCUUUGUGCAUCAUAUCAUGGAAUAACGUCACCAUGGCUCUCUGAUAUGUUGCCCCAGCAUUCUUUAAUCCGAACGGCAUUACCUUGUAGCAGAAGGUUCCCCACAUUGUUAUGAAUGUAGUUUUCUCCAUAUCUUCGGGAGCCAUCUUUAUCUGAUUAUAUCCUGAGAAACCAUCCAUGAAAGAAAACAGAGAAUGCUUUGCCGUAUUAUCCACCAAAGUGUCGAUGUGCGGUAAAGGAAAGUUAUCUUUAGGGCUUGCUUAAUUCAGAUCAUGAUAAUCCACGCACAUUCGCACCUUGCCAUCUUUCUUCGGCACUGGGACUAUAUUAGCUACCCAUUCUGGAUACUUUGAGACUUGUAGGAAGCCAGCGUCAAAUUGUUUCUUGACUUCUUCUUUUAUCUUUAACAGCAUUUCGGGUCUCAUCCUUCUUAAUUUCUGCUGAACGGGCUUGCAUUCUGGUUUCAGUGAGAGCUUGUGGACCACAAUAUCCGUGUUUAAUCCUGGCAUAUCUUGAUAAGACCAGGCAAACACAUCCUUGUAUUCAUGGAGCAAGGCGAUCAAAUCUUGCCUUGUGUUUUUUGAAAUCGAAGUCCCAAUCUUCACUUCUUGUUUCUCUUCUUCAUUCCCCAAGUUCACUACCUCAACAGAUUAUUGAUGGGGUAGGAUUUGUUUCUCUUCUUGUUCCACCAUUCUCAGUAAGUCAGGAGAUGAGACACAAUCUUCAACAUUUUCGUCAGCUUCGAAUUCUCCUAAACAAAUAACCUUCUCAAAAUUGAUUUCAGGAUUCAUAACGGGAUUAUUCAUGCCAUUGAUAUCUGAACACCUGAAAGGUGAAUGGAAAAAGGAUAUAGAAGAGUAUUGAGGUAUUGUAAUCAACACACAAUGAUAUGAGAUGAUAUGAGACAUAUGCCAGAAAAGGAUAUGAACAGAAGGAGUAGUCGCAAAGUUAAUGAAAAGAAUAUGACAAUAUAAAACAAAAUGCAUCUUCAUUAAUGUUCAUUGAAAUGAUAAAGAGCAAACAUAAGCUCUUACAAAAGGAACCCUACUGUUUAAGGACACACAAAAUGAAGGGUUAACAUUGAGCAUUACUCUGAAGGGGACUUAAAAACUACAAGGAGGUCCUCAGCAGUCCAGUUGUUCAAAACAUAUCCUGGAGGACAAUGGCGUAUCAUUGAAGCAUUCUUAAUUUCAUCAUUCUCAUUGUCAAUAGCAUUUAGGCUGAGAUUCUGAAGACCCUUUUCAAUCAAUAAUGUGGCUUGCAAAUUGUUCUGCCCUGGGUACAUCACUCCUGCUGAUGUAAAUGUUCUCGACAAAGGAGGAUACGCCAACGGCCCCCAUUCUAAUUCCUGGCCCGAAGCUCUUGCGAUUCUUCUUUCUCGAUUUUUCUGAAAUUGUUUUUAUCUUUGAUGUACAUCUGGCUUGAACCCCAAACUGUAUCGACCCUUAUGGUGCGUUGGUUUCAAAGCUCUAACCAUCCUUUGUUGAUAUUUUCCCAAACCUUUCCUCGCUCGAGCUCCUUUUCCCACAGUCAGCUUAAGUCCCAUCUUGGUAUUCCUCGACAGUUUGGGAAUGGGGAUCUUAUUCCCUUCAGUAACAAAUGCAGCAUUGAUAAAUUUCAAGAAGCGAAAAGAACAUUCUACAGCAUCUUCGCUUAUUUCGAUGUAGGGUGCAUCAGUAGAGAUAGAUGCGACGAUGUCUUCCUCGCCACCAACAGUAAUCAAACGACUAUCCAUGAUGAACUUUACUUUCUGAUGGAGAGAUGAAGGAACUGCCCCAGCAGAAUGGAUCCAAGGUCUUCCUAACAGGCAAUUGUAUGAAGGUGUGAUGUCCAUGACCUGAAACUCGAUAUCGUAUGCACAUGGCCCCACUUUUAAAGGAAUUUCGAUAUUUCCCAUGACCUCUCGCCGUGUCCCAUCAAAUGCCCUUACUAUAGAAUGACAAGGCCUCAGAUAGGACAUAUCAACCGGCAUCCUAGAAAGCGUGGCCAAAGGCAUAACAUUGAGUGCAGAUCCAUUGUCGAUGAGCACAUUUGGUAAUAUGUAACCUUUGCAAUUGGUUGUGAUGUGCAAUGCUUUUAUGGAGCCCCUUCCAUUUGGCGGUAUUUCGUCGUCACUAAAGGAGAUGAAAUUAUCUGCAUUUAGAUUAUUUGCCCACCUAUCAAGCUUUUCCACAGAUACAUUGUUCGCCACAUAAGCUUGAUUUAACACUUUUAACAAGGCAUUCCGAUGUGGCUCUGAAUUCAACAAUAGAGACAGUACCGAGAUACGGGCUGGCUGCUUGUUUAAUUGUUCUACAAUGCUAUAUUCACUGUGCUUAAUGAACUUUAAGAACUCACAUGCUUCCUCCUCAUUCACAGCCUUUUUAACUUCUUCCUCGGGUGGUAUUUCAACAUCAUCCUCAGCCUCAUACAUUGGUGCUUUUCUUUUUUGGCUCGGACCAGCAACCUUCUUCUUUGGCUCAACCGUCUCGGGAGAAUAACAUCUUUCGCUACGAGUAAAAUGUCCUACUCCGCUAACACCUUCACUCACAACCUUGGACUUUUCACCCUCAGGUACAAUGAUAUUGACAUCAUAAUUCUAAGGCACCGCCUUGUUGUCCUUAUAAGGGAAAGGAGCAGGUACUUCAAUUAUCAAACUUGGUUUAACUUCUCGACUAACUUCUUCCUUCUUUGUCCCGUAAUAAAUCACCAAAGGUCUAUCGACGCUAUAAAGGGAAGCCAUUGAUUGAUUAUUAGAGGCACAUAUUUCUCCUUCUUCGGCCCCCUCCACCCUAUCAAAGACCUUGACCUCUUUGUUAUCCAUCAUGUCUUGAAGUAAUUUCCUAAAUUCCUUACAAGAUUGGAUGUCAUGCCCUUGGACGCCAUGAAAAUCACAGAAACUCUGGUCUUUUGUACUUUCUUCUUUAAGAAUCUUACUAGACGGACAGAGCAAGCCAUUUUCAAUCAUCAUCUCCCAUACCUUCCGUAAAGGUGUCUUUACUUCGGUAACACAACCUUUGGCUUGACAAUUGUCUUCAUUUGUCACCGCAUUUACAUUCCCGUCAGUAUGGUUAGGAAGAGGAUUUCCUGUCACAUUGCUAACAUCGUCGAACCGUAGAACACCGGCAUCAAUAAGACCUUAAACCCUCCUUUUAAAAGCAAGACAGUUUUCUGUAGAAUGUCCCUGAUUCCCAGCGUGAUACAUGCAAUUAGCGUUAGGAUCAUACCACUUCGGGUAUGGAGGCUUCAGGGGUGCCAUGUAAUGUGGGGAUAUUAAUUGUUUUUCCAACAGCUUUGGGUAUAAUUCUCCAUAUGAUACAGGAAUUAGAGUAAACUGAGGUCUUUCAAGAUUGGGUCUUGCCGGUCUUUGUUCAUUUUUGGGUUGGCUUUGUACAGGUAUGGUGUUUGGCGGGAACACGGUGAAUGGUCUUUGGUUAUUCACAGCAUAAACGGGGUAAGAUAGGGGUGCUUGAUAGUAAGGACUUUGAGGAGGAAAGUAGAAGUUUGAAGGUGGGCGGUAAUGAGGUCGUGGUUGGGUGAGGUACGGAUUAGGGGUACAUUGGCUUUCAGUCCCAACCAUAUGGGCCUCUGCCUCCUUUUUCUUUGCGGGUACUGUCCUCUUCGAACUCUCAGGACCUUCCAUUCUCCCACUCUUGACGGCGUUUUCGAUAAGUUCCCCGGAUAUUACAAUAUCUGCAAAGUCCUUUGUGGCACUUCCCACCAACUUAUCGUAAAAUGGCGCUUUUAGAGUGUUGAUGAAGAGGACCGUUAUCUCUGUCUUAGUUAACGGAGGCUCCACUUGAGCCGAGAUAUCCCUCCAUCUUUACGCAUAUUACCGAAAAGUCUCUGUCGGCUUCUUUUCCAUCAUUUGUAAGGUUAGUCGAUCAGGCACCAUAUCUGUUACAUGCCUAUAUUGCUCACAGAAUGCUGAAGCCAAAUCCUUCCAUGAUCGGAUUCUCUCUCUACUGAGUUGAUUAUACCAUCGAAGGGUUGAGCCAAUCAAACUAUCUUGAAAGUAAUGCACCAACAAUUUAUCAUCGUUUACAUAACCAGUCAUCUUUCGGCAAAACAUGAUCAGAUGCGCCUUUGGACAUCUUGUUCCGUCAAAUUUCUCAAAAUCAGGUGCCUUAAAUUUUGGUGGUAGGACCAAAUCAGGUACCAAACUGAGCUCUUUGGCACUCAAAGCAGAGAAAACUUCAGCGCCUUCUACUGCCUUGAUCCUCUAUUCCAGGACUCUAUACUUAUCCUGAGCGUUAUUGUCAUCAAUUCUCAGCCUUGCUACUUCUACAGGAUCAUCUAGGUCUGGAACAAUUGGAUCUGAAGGAUUAGCCCCAGGGUUCGAUACAAACAUUCCUUGUCCUAAAUGAGCAGAUGGAGCAGGAUGUUGUUCCAGGCCUGUAGGUUCCCUUUGGGGGUAUCCUCUUUGCAUUGCGUGGACAUGAGGUGGAGUAAAUCCCGGGGGAUAAAGUGGGUCUUGAUUAGCUCUUGACUGAGGCGGUUCUACGACAUUAGGGCUCUGUAUAGGUCCCUUUCCUUUGACCAAAGCCGUCAUCAUUUCUAUCAUUUUAGCCAUUUGAUCCCUUUGCUCGAGCAAUUCUUCUCGAGAUCUCACCAUCAAAUCUCUUGCCUCUUGCUGCGACUUGGCCAGUUGCUCCUGCAACUCUCUUUGGGUUCUUUCCAUCCUUUCCAUCCUUUCAUUGAGUUCAGCAUCCAUAGCUCUAGCUCUUAAGCGCGUCCUAUAAGAGUGACGUGAUUCCAGACUCGUAGUGUAGUAACUGUGGAUUAGAUGGUUUUACCCUUAGCGAAUGAUUAAGGUGAUAUGAGAAUACAAUGAAUAAAUGAAUGAGUAACUAAUGAAUGUUAAUCAUGCGUAAAUAUGCAAAAAAGGGUGUUGAUUCCAAAAUGGCCCCAUACUUGGGCGUUUCAUUUAUCAAAAGAGUCCGUUACAAAAAGUUUUGCCAUCCUAGUUCAACAAUUACACGAAUUUCCUAGCCACAUCGCCUUGCUUCUUCAUACGUUCCAAGAACUCUGAUAUGCUUGAUCUUUGGCUAGGAGGGUAUUGGCAACUGAGAACUUCCGCUUCAUCUGAUAAUUGUACUAUUUGUGCAGCCGCCUUACGAAUUUCAUUGAUCAACCUACCGAGAUGCAUAUCCUUUUCUUGGAGGGCUCUUUCAUAAGCACGAAUGUCUCUGUCAUGCUGAUCAUUCUUCUCUUCUAAAGCUCUCAAGAGGUCAUCCAGAUGUUGCUGAUGAGCUUGCAGUGUACUCUCUAGACUUCAGAUUUUUCCUUUUAGCCCUUGAUGCUCAGACUGACUAGCCGUUAGUUCUGCAGUCACAGUUUCGUAUUCAACGUUCUUCUUCCUCAACUCUAUCAUAGCACAUGCAGCUCUUUCCUCUUCUUUCUUUGCUUUGGCUUUCCAGAAUUCCAUCCCACCUUUGAUAUUACUUAGUUCCUCUUUCCAUUCUGCUGAUGCUUUGCCCAAUCCACUAUUUCUUAUAGUGCCCCUUAAUUUCUUGUUUUCCAAAUGAAGGUCCCUUAAAUUCUUUCUCGUAACUUGAACUUCUUUUUGGACUUUUUCGGCUCUGGAUUUUUCAAUUUCGACAUCAAUCUUCAGCUGGUAGUUCUCCUCCUGAAGAGAUUAAUAUCUCGCAACAUUUUGGCCUUUUCACGUUCAAAUUCAUGUCUUGCAAUUUCUAGCUCGGAUGGGGUUUUCUCUGAGAACGGAUUCUGGCAAGCUUCAUUAAUUGGUGGGGUUACUUGACUCUUCACUCGUUGUUGCCUCCAUAGGUCAUAGUCUACAGUGAUAGUAUCAGCAUAUAGAGCCAAUUCCAUUAGGUAGAUUCGCCUCCAAGAAUUCGCAGUAUCUCAAACCUUUUUCAUGUAACCCUCACCCAUAAAGGCAAACUCCGAUUGUGCCAAUCCAUCGGUAACUGGUACAAACUGUCGCGAAGCGAACUGUCUUUAAACCAACAAUGGAGCAUAUCCAACUCCUCCCCAUAAUCCUAAUAAAGGUAUCCAGUCUUGGUUUCCACACUUGUAUAACAAGACAGAGGGACGAAUCCAAGGUGCUCUCCAAGUUAUAUCUUCGACACGGAGGUUCUGAAAGACCGAGACCCAGUGUUGUUCAGUGACAUCUUUCGGCCAAUCUUUUCCAAGGUGUGCUUCCAACGGGGCGAAUGUCUUUGAAAACAUGUGGAAAGGCGUACGCUCCACCCUCCAAAAAUGGCUAAAGAUCCAAACAUUCAGUAACUGAGCGCAUUCGAUAAAACGUCCUUCCCCUUUUCUCCUACAAGCAUUUAGAGAUCUAAAAGUCUCAGCCAAGAUGGCUGGGACCGGGUUAACUCUUUGCCUCAACUUUUCGAAGAAAUCCACAACCGCAACUUCAAUAUGCCCAAGAACCUUCGGGAAGACGACCAGUCCGUAAACAGCCAAGGCAAACAAAUCUACUCUUUUUAACACAUCUGGAUGAUUCUGAACUAACUCCCGCAGAGAAAACCACGGGACACAACUGACUUCAUUCUUCUUCUUUAUCUGUUUUUCAGCCCAUGUAUCAGUCAUUCCCGUCAACUUCAUUAGCUUUUUCUUGAAGGUCAUUGGUUUAGGCUCCUUCACAUAUAUCUUGUUGAGUUGCACAUUAUCGAUGCGAAGCAAAGCGGCAUACUCUUCUAUGGUCGGAGUCAUAUCUUCCUGAUUGAAAGUGAAACACUGAUAGGCUGGGUCCCAGAAUCGAACCAUGGCUUGGAUCAACUGCUCGUUCACAUCGAUUGCUAUCAAGUGAGCUAUAUCCCCAUACUUUUCAGUGGAGAUGCUUCUAGUAUCUGAGUCCCACUGCUUCCAAAUCCUAGUCAAGUCUUCGAGAUCAUUUUGACGAGCAUUCAAAGUCACACGCUCGGGAAGAUCAGAGGUGUAUCCUUCCUUCAAACUGUCCCCUUUCACUUUUUGAGUUCUCAAAGACCAAUCUCGGACUACAGCAUUUUUCUCGGUUACUCGUGUAAUUGACUCCUCCAUCAGAAACCCGUUUUUGGCAACCAAUAUUUAACCAACACCUUCCUAAUGAGAUGUCUACGAUGCAUGAUGGAAAAUAAGAUGAAAAACAAAUAACCUUGGUUAGAGAUCACAACAGAUAUAAACAAAAGAAAAAUGAAAAAUAAAGACUAUGGAAAAUUUAACAAAUUAAGCUAUUCAAUCAUGCAAUUUGGUGGAACAGACCCACAUUUUUUUUUGCCCCAACAUGCUUUACAAGAAACCUACCCCACAUACCAUCAGACCAUCUAUCCGACCCAAUUUAUUGAAUAGACUCAAUUUAUCUGCAAAUAAGUGUAAAUGUAAAAGAAAUAAAAGGUAAGAGGCGUUUCUCCCGUGCACUUAUUUUGGUAACUAUCAAACGGACAGAGGUUCUGUAUGGCUCUACUCGGGUGGCCUAUACGGUUCACUAUAUGUAGUUUCGGUUUUAGAAAGGUACUCGAAUUGUCCAUACUAUCACCUACUAAGGUUAGUACAGAGCUUCGGUUAUCGCCCGUCAGGGCUCGCGAGCUCAAUUCGAGGGAUUACAUUUACUUAUGCCUAUGCGGAGGGACAAGUUAACUCACGAAAGCAUAAGUCAUAUGUAACCCGAAAGUAAUUACUAGCCUGUGCGGAGGGACGAGUUAACUCACGAAGGCGUAGCGUUUACUUCCACUUAAACGGACAGAGCCCGGGUAGAGAGCUCAUGUUAUGCAAAAAAUGCAAGUGCACUGUGUGUGGAGAGAAACUCACAAACCUUUUUAUUUUUACUUUUACUAAAAAAAACAAACUAAAACCAUAAAACUUAAAGCUGAAAAAAACACGAAAAUAAAAAAGGUUAGAAAAAUAUUAAUUUCAAAACUGAAUACGGAUGCAUGAUUUUUUUCAAAACAAAAUUCAAGGAUCACGAUUAAAAAUUAAUUUGAACAAGAAAAUUUGAAAAUUUUGACAACACACGUUUAACAUCAGACUCGACUCUCAAAAAAAACUCCCCAGCGGAAUCGCCAGCUGGAGCGACCUAAAAAUUUCUGGGCACGGGCGCUAGUCGAAGUAAUUAUUUAAGGUUUGAAAACAGUGUCUCGAUUUUAUUCGAAAAAGGGAGUCGCCACCGAUCUUUUUUUUUAGGUGUGAUCGGACACCUACAAAAUUCUCUUUUUAGAAGAAAAAUUUAUUUUUAAGCUUUUCUAAAAAGAGGUAAUUUUAGGUCCACGUAAAAAUCAAGAGAAAAUUAGGGUUCUGGAGUCGGUUACGCGCGAGGAAGGUAUUAGCACCCUCGCGACGCCCAAAAUUGGUAUCUCGUUAAAUGCAUGUUGUCUUAACUUUCAAAAAUACGAGUUCCAUUUAAUAUUUAGUCAUGAUCCGAUUGAAACACGAGAAUUUUGAAACACAACAACCCCUUUUUUUUUUUUGAAAACACGAAAUUUUUUUAAAACGCAAGAAUUUUAGAAACACAAAAAUUUUCUUUAAAAAAACACGAAAAUUUUGAAACAUGAGAAUUUUUUCAAAACACAAAUUUUCUUUUUGAAACACGAAAAUUUUGAAAACACAAAAAAUUUGAUAAAUUACGAAACAUGAGAUUUUUUUGAAACACGGAAAUUUAUGAAACACGGUCAAUUUUUGAAAACACAAAAAUUUUUGAAAGACGGGUUUUUUUUUUGAAAACACGAAAAUUUAUAAAACACGGAAAUUUUUUCUGAAAACAAGAAAAUUUUCGAAAAACGAGAAUUUUUGAAAACACAAGAAAUUUUUGAAAACAUGAAAUUUUUUGUUAAACUAGAAUUUUGAAAACACGAAGAUUUUUGAAACAUGAGGAUUUUUGAAAACACGAAGCUUUUUGAAACAUGAGAAUUUUUUGAGAACAUGAAAACAUGAAAAUUUGUCAAACACGGGAAUUUUUUGAAAACACGAUAACAUCAAAGAGUAUUCAAGAGAGUUUUUUGAAACACGGAAUUUUUUUUUGGAAAAAAGAAACACGAAUAUAUUUUUUUGAAACACAGGAAAUUUUUUGAAAAAAAGAAACACGAAUAUAUUUUUUUGAAACACGGGAAAUUUUAUUAUUAUUAUUUUGAAACACGAGAAAUUUUGAAGACAUGAAAAUUUUUGAAACACAAUUUUUUUAAUAAUACCAUAUUUAAUACGAAUCGAUGAUAUUCACCCCGAUAUGGCGAUGAAAUCGUCGUAUUAGUGUCAAAACAAAUCAAAUUAAUAUUUAAUCGGGAUUCUAAUAAAACACGAGGAUUUUUAUUAAAACACGAGGAAUUUUGAAUAUUUUCUAUUUUUAGAAGGGCGUCCCGUAUUUAACACGAGCCAUCAAUAUUCACCCAACAUAGAGAUGAAUUCAACGGCUUGAUGCUAAAUCGGUUCGUUGCCUUAUGCAUUAAAAUAUUUUUCUAUAAAAAAAUGCAAAUAAAAUUACAUAUAAUAAUAUUUCUAAACUAUUAAAAAACUAAUUUAAUUGUAAUGGGGAAAUAUUUAAAUAAAUGGACUUAAUUAGAGUGGGUUUAAAAAAUUACCAAAAGCCCAAAGUUAUGGGCUUGAAUUUUGGGCCUCCCUUUUUCUUUUUUUUUCUCUUUCUUUCCUGGGCUUUGGGCUGCCGGACUGGGCCGAGUCUGCUGGCCCGCUGGUUGCUGGAACAGGCUUGCUACCGCUGCUGGAUCGGGUACAGGCCUUCGUGCGGGUCGGGUCUACCUCCUGGACUGGGUCGUGGCCUGCUGUCACUGUUGGGCUGCUCUGCUGCGCGUGGGCCUGGGCUGCUGCUUAGCUGCUGGAGUGGCCUGCUGUUGGCCUGCCCAAGAUGGCCUAUUGCUUGCUGGGCCGGUCUGCCACUACUGCUGGUGUGGGUGGCCUGCUGCUGGCUUGUUGCUGGCUGCUGGCUGGGUCAGAUCCGGGUCGUCGGGUCGGGUUGGCCCGGCUGUUAUUUUUUUCUUCUAUUUUCUUCUUUCUUCUUUCUUCUUUUCUUUUUUCCUCCUUUUUUUUCUUUCCUUUUUCUUUUUCUUUCUUUUCUUCUUCCUUUCAAACCCUAGCCGCCGUCUUUUGCUUGGUGGCGCGACGGUGCCGGCGCUUCUCCCUUCUCCCUUCUCCUACUCUCUCUUCUUUCUCUCCUUUUCUUUUUCUUCUCUUCUUCCUCUCUUCCUUACUUCUUUACUGUUUGGGUUGCUGUUUUUUUUUGUUUUCUCUUUGCUUGUUUGUAUAGGUGCGACGGUGGUGGUGGUGUCACAACGGCGGUACGACGACGGUGGUUGCGGGAGGAUGGUGGUGGAGGCUUUCAGCUUGCUGCUAUUUUUUUAUUUUUGAAUUUUCUCUGCUCUUUUUCUUUUGGUUGCCGAAAAACCUUUUCUUUUUGUUUCGGUUUCCCUUGGCUUUCUAGGUGGCGGUGCGGUGGUUGCGGUGGCGGGGUAGUGGCACGACGGUGGCGAUGGCUUUUGGGCUGCUGUUGUUUGGAUUUUUUUGAGUUUUUCUCUACUCUUUUUUUAUUUUUUUUUGGUUGCUAUCCGACCCCCUUCCCUCUCUUUUGAUUUUCUUUUUAAUCUCUUCAUUUUUUUGUCCUCUUUCUUCUUGUUUUCAGAUGGCAUGGAGGUGGGGAGCAUGGCUGAUUGGCGGUGUCAGGCGUAGGGUGCGGUGCACGCCCGGAUGCUGGUUGGGGAGCAGUCUUGUCAUGCCCAGAAGGACUGAAUUGUAGAGUGUGCAAAGUUUUUGGGGCAAAAAUGUGAUUUUAGGAAAAUAUAGGGCCAAAAUGUAAUUUCUAGAAAGUUUAGGGGCCAACUAUAAUUUACAAAAUAUUAGGGGUCAAGAUGUAAAUUUAGAAAAAGUUGGGGGUCAAAAAAUAAUUUUUGAAAAGUUUGGAGGCCAAAAUGUAAUUUUUAUUUUUUGUAUUUUUUUUAUUUUUAUUUUUUUUUCAAAAUUUUAUUAUGACUAUUUUAUUAAUAUUUAAAACAAAAAUUAAAAACGGACUAAAGCAAUUCCAAAAUUAAAUCCUAAUGGGCUCGAUCAGUGGGCCCAUACGAGACCGACCCGGCCCAAAAUUCAAACCGGGCAAAAUUCAGUGAUUACAGUUAUUUUAUUAUCUUAAUUAUUUUUCAAAAUUAAUAGAAUUUUAUUAUAAAUUAGGGCAGUUCUCAUUUAAUUAAAAAGUUUAUAUAUAUUAAAAUUAUAAAAAUAUAUUAUUUAGUAAAUUAAAAAAUAAACAAAUACAUAGUUUAAUUAACAGUAAUAUUGUAUUUUCUCCAUUAUGUGGUAUUUUCCCUAUAAAUACAUAGUUUUAGGUUUAUACCUAGAGUUAGCCACCUUAGUAUUAUUUUGCUUUAGUGUUUUCUUUUGUCCAUGAAUUUCUAAAUCAUCUUUUCUAGUCAAAGGGAUUUUGAACUUUGAUUGUAAUAGUUUGUAAGAUCUAAUUGCUCUUCAUCUAUUCUUUGUUCUUUAGCGCUUGCAUGUGUUCUAUUUUAAUUACAAAUAUUCAAGUUUGUUGGAUAUUGGUACCAUAUUCAAUUGCUUAGAACAUAGUGACAAAUAACAUGAUUACAUAUAAACUAUGUAUGCAAUUCAUGUUAUGUGGAUACCCGAUUUAAUCUAAAUGAACCCCGUUGGUGUGUGUUAGUUGGUCAGAAAUAGGUUUCUCUCAUUCUUAAUACUACCUAUAAUUAAGCUAAAUCCUAGGCACGAAGUUAUAGGGCCUCUUGGUUAUCGAAAGGUAAUGAGAGAUUGUUUAUAUGGUUCUUAAUGCUAGGUGCGACAUGGGCAACUAUAACUAAUUUAUUAAAAACACUAAAAUUAUAUUUGCAUCAUUGAUCAAACUCAUGAAUCAAAAUUGAGAUUUUACCUUAGUUAGACUCUCAUUAUAUUGAUUUUGCUAUAUUUUAUUUUGCAAUCUUUUUCUUUUACAAAGUUUUAAUUUUAAUUUUAAAAAUCCUUAUUUUUAUUUUACUUGUUUUUUUAAAGAAUUAGAACAAUCACUAGUCUUUGUGGAUAUGGCUCUACUCACAGUCAUCUACAAAUUUAUUUUUUUAGUAAGAAUUUAUUUUUCUAGGUCACAACAACCAUACAACUUUUGACACCAUUGUUGGGGAUUGGUGUCAAUAAUUUUAUUUCCUUUUAAAUUCAAAUAAGAAUUUUCAAGAAGAGUGAAUGAGGUAAAUAUUUCUUUUUCCUAAUAAUCAUUGAGACCAAACGAUAACAUUAAUGAUGACCUUGAUAUUUGUGGGUGUCGAAAUAUCCCUUAAAAAAAUGUAUUUCAAAUUUUAACUUUCCUGAAAACAUAUAUUAUAAAUAAUAAAAUAUCUAAUAACAUAGUAAAAAAAAUCCAAGUUUUGGUUCCCCUAUAAUCGAUGGCCCAGUUUGCCUUUAACGAGCACUACACCAAAACAGGCUUUUAGCGGCGUUUGAAUAAAAAAUGCCUCUAAAGAUCGAGCAUUAGCGACUCUUUUCGGAAAACGCCGCUAAAUAUCGAACUUUAACAUCGCUUUAUGGAAAACGCCGCUAAAUAUAAGCAUUAGCGGCGUUUUCUAAAAAGCGCCGCAAAAAACCUAUGCUUUCGGGGUUUUAGCGGCGUUUUUAAUGAAGCGCUGCUAAUGCUCAGGGCUUUAGCGGCAUGUUUUGGGAAGCGCCGCUAAUGCUUAGGGCUUUAGCGGCGUUUUUGAGAAAGCGCCGCUAAUACUCUAUUUUUAGCGGCGUUUUCUAAAAUGCGCUGCUAAUGCUCAGGGAUUUAAAAUAAUCUAAAAUAUUUUUUAAAAAUGGAAAAAUUAAAAUACUAUAAGUUCUUUUAAACAGAAUAUAUGGCAUAACCUAUAAUAUGGAAUAAAAGGCGGCAUCACGUGUUAAUUUAAUUUAAUUAUUAUUUAAAAAUUUAUAUAAAUAAAAUAGACAUAAUGAUUUAUUUAUCCUUCUAACUUUACAAAAAAACCAUUACAACCCUUUAUUUAAUUUUUAUCUUUUUAACCCUUAAAUUUAUAUUAUUUAUUAAAUCAGCUCAAAAUAGAUGGGAAAAUUAUUCUUUAUUAACUUUACUAAACAUGGAAGCCAAAGGCCCUGAAAUGAAAACAAUUUUCACCAAAGCGUUUUUAUAACUUAUACACUUUUAAAUUAAUAAUGAUAAAAUUACAUGUUAACCCCCUAAAAAUGAUAAAAAUUUUAUUUAAUCCUUAUAAAAAUAUAAUUAAAAUGGUAAAAUUACAUUUUUAACUAUCCUAAAAUAUACAAUUUAAUUCCAUCUCCUCCAAAAAAUAAAAAUAAAAGAAAAACAUUACCGUUAACCCAGUUCAUAGGAGGCUGAAAGUGAUACCCGGUUCGAUGAAGUUGUUUUACAGUAAAUGCAGUUUUAGAUUAUAAAUGUGGAUGAAUCUUAUGAAAUGCUUCAACGAUGCCAUUCUUACUUAUUAUCUCACAAAAACACCCAAUUAUUAAAUAAACUAACAAAAUAUUUUUUGUAAACUCCAUUGAAAUUUCGAAAGCCGAAUGUUGAAACAGGAUGGUGAUUCAUUUAUAUAGGACUGAAAUUUAACAAUUUCAAAAAAAAAAUAUAUAUUUUAAAAUGUUUAGAUAAAAUAGUUUUUUAUUUGAAUUUACCAGUAAUUUAUAAUAUCAACAUUAAAUCUACAAUUCUUGAUUUUCUUUUUUUAAAAUAAUUAAAAUUUUAUUCUUAUAGUAUUUAAAUAAUUAGGGAUUAUGAAUUGUGGUUUAUGGUUUAAGGGUUGGGGUUUAAGGUUUAGGGGUUAGGGGUUAGGGGUUUAGGGGUUAGUGCUUGCUGAUUUUUUUUAUUGAUCUUCUACCCCUUGUACCUGGAUCCGACCUGACCUGGAUUGUUCCUUGUGUUCUUUUUCUGCUUUCUCAGCAGGGAGAUCCCAUUCUGCAGACAAAGAAGAACACAAAAGAUCAAAGGUAAUUUUAUUUCAAUUUGAUCCAUUUUUCUUGGUUAUCUUUUCCGUGUUUUUUUAUUUGUAAUUUGUUAUGUUUUCUGGGUUUUGCUUAUAAUGUCUGCAUUAAUAUUCAUUUCACAUUUUUUGUUUGUAUUUGCUUUUGUUUCUUUUUCCCAUCACAAUCAAAGUUCUAAACUAAUUUUUUCCCUGUAAUUUCAUUUUUAGAUUCAAAGUUUCUUUUUUUUUUUAAAUUUUUUUAUUAAUAGCAUUGACUUUUAAUAUUUAUUUUGAUAGUUUUUUUGGGGGAAGUGUGGGGGGGGGGGUCAGCAUAUUUGCUUUUGAACAUAAGAUUGAUUCUGCCUGUGUUGUGUAUUUGCCAAAUUCCAGUCCUGGAUUCAAAGUUUGUAUGUGUUUCUUACCAUUUUCUAAGAAAUAAAAAAUAUGUUAUUAAUAUUGUCUUUGUUAAGUCUUUUUCACAUAAUAUUCUUUGAAGUUUGAACAUUGUUUUGCUCCUUUUCAUUAUGGAAAAACAAAUCUUUUUUUUCCAAUUUAGUCUUUGUUUUUAAUUAUUUUAUAUAAUUAAAUUACUCAAAGUUUAUUUCCCUUUUUUUGAUCCAAACUUUUCUUUUGUACAAAAUUACUCUCUUUCUUAACUUUUUAUAUUAUAUAUAUGUUUUAUAAUAUUAGCUUUAGCUCUCAGUUUUCACUUUCACAUUGAGUUAUUUGAGCAUUUUUCAUAUUUCUUGCUAAUGUGGGACAGAUUUCAUUUUCUUAAAAGGAAAAAAAUUAUGUUGUUUUUGUUGCCUCAAUCCUCUUUAUUUGUCUCUUUAACCUCAUUGGAUAUGGAGUCUAUGUUGUCUUUUCUUUUCAGUUUUUCCAUUUUAGAUUUAUAGGUAAACUUCAAAGUGGUUCUUCUUCAAGUUAAAACAGUGGGGUUUUUUACAUUGAUCAUCUUAAGUUUUCAGAAAAUAUUUUUCCUGUUGAUUUGGAUUUUUUAAGGUUAUUUUUGUCUUUCCUUCCUAAAAUACUUUUUUUUGGAUGAUUUAAUGAAUAUGGCAGGAUUAAGCUUUAGAAAUCCAUGAUUAACUGAGGACUCUAUAUUGGGUCCUCAGUUCAGUUGUUUAAAAUCUAUAUAUUUUUUUAUAAUAUGCUAUGUUAUUCGGACUUGGAUAUGUCCUUGGAGGAUCAUAUCCCGGUACUUUUGUUUGCAUAUGUGCUGGACACAGAUGCUUUAAAUAAAAUGAAGAGUGCUUGCUGUCAACUAGGAGUUUUGAUGAUUAUGAUCAUGAUUGUUUCAUAUAUAUAUAUAUAUAUGCUCUAUUUUUCACCUAUAGUAACAUUAAUUUUGUAAAGAUAUUUUCUUCAAUUCUGAAACUGCUUUAAUAUCUCUUAUCUUAAAAGUUUUGUUUAUCUUGGUAAACUUAAUUUUGCAGCUGCUACUGGAUUUUUUGAGCUUCUCUGCUUCUAGCUUUUCAUCUAUGGCCAGAUACUCAGUUGUGACUGAUAAGGUCUCAAUAGAGGUUGUUGAAGAAUUCAUUCUAGUACAGUUGAAUCUGACAAAAGGCACAAUAUCUGAAAUUAAGGUACCUAAUUCUUUUUUUUCCUUCUUAGCCAUUAAUCAUUAUUGAGUGUUGACAUGGGGGAUCUAUGCUACUAUAUCUAUGUUACUCUAACUCAUCAUUUUUUCUGAAGUGCUCAUGUUUGACACUUGUGUUUGAUGCAUAUUUGGACAUGGAUACAUGAACAUGAUCCUCCAAAUAUAUGAAAAUCCUUAAAAAAGUUGAGCAUACCUAUGUGGGAUAUAUACCUUAUCUGAAAAUAAAGGUUAUGCCUUUUUAAAAACCUGUUUAAUACAUUAUAUAAAUUUCUUCUUAAAAGUUUGUUAGGGCUGAAGCAUGCAUUAGUCUACUAUAAUUUGCUGCAUAAAUGGAAAUUAGCUAGGUGUCCACUGCACAACCUUCAAUUAGACUUUACAUAAAAAAAUUCAUUAUUCAAGGCAAACUGCCUGGCUUGCUGAAAAAUGAUAGUUACAAACUGCCUUCAUUUCUCCCAUAAAGAUCUGCCGAAAUAUGUUUCAUCUAACAAGAUUUUGAUUGACAGCACAUUCAUUUGACAGGAUAAUUUGGAAACCCUGUUGCAAGAGGACAUUCAGGCUGAUCUAGUCUGCUGCUUGCAGCAUUUGCAGGUAUUUUGUGUAGUUUAAGUUGUGAACAUUGGGUUUUGAUUUGUCAUGUGAACAAAUAUGAUGAAUCUGAAGUGCAUUUCUAUUCUUCUAUUUGCAGUUAAGAUUUGAAAUUGAAGACAAAGCAAGGAGACCUCUAAGUAAUGUGUCAUUUUUGUUGAAACCAGGGGGUUAUUUUUUCGGUAUUACUCCUGAAAAAGUGAUUGCCAAAAACUGUUGUUUCUGGAUUUAUGUAUUUUCCUUUUUUUUUCUUGUGAUUACUGCUGCACCUGUUUCUGGGAGGUGAUUGUGUAAACAUUUUAGUGUGCUUUAAUUAUUGUAAGAAUAUUAAAUUUUAACAUUGUUAAUUUUAAUAUUAUUGUAAGAAUAUUUUGAAUUAUAAUUCAGUUAUCAAUUAAUAUCAUAUAUCUUUCAUUGAAUUUGAAGUAUCAUUUAAAUUUACUGUUUUUGGUUGGAUUUUAUGUUACAAGAAGAUUUGUAUAUGGAUGAAAAUCGGCAAAUUUGUCAAAAUUAGUGGCGUUUUCCCAUAAACGCCGCUAAAGUACGUACUUUUAGUAGCGUUUGUGAUGAAAGCGCCGUUAAAGAUAAUGUUCUCUAGCGGCGUUUGUGGGUCAAGCGUCGCUAAAGGUCAUGUUCUUUAGCGGCGUUUGUGUGUAAAGCGCCGCUAAAGCUCAUGUUCUUUAGCAGCGUUUGUGGGUAAAGCGCCAUUAAAGGACAUGUUCUUUAGCGGCGUUUGUAGCUAAAGCGCCGCUAAAGGUUAUGUUCUUUAGUGCGUUUGUGGCUAAAGCGCCGCUAAAGAUUAAGUUCUUUAGCGGUGUUUUUUUCACAUAAACGCCGCAAAAGUUAGCGACGUUCUCAAUAGCGGCAUUUUUUGCGGCGCUUUUGUGUAGUGGAGGAUGAUGAGGAAAGUCUUGACGAUGUUGUGGAUAGCUCGGUUCAAGUUUAGGGUGCUUCUAAUAGUGCUAAUGUUUCUUCUAUUGUUCCAUCGACUGGGAAUCCUUCUUCUAUUAGUGUAGCUGCUGAUACAGUUACCUCUACUUCAAUAAGAGAUGAGACAAUACAGAUUGCCUGGGUCAUGUUUAGUCUUUUUGUAAAACUUUGGUAUUUAAUGCAAACUUUAUCCCUUAUUUGGAUUCCGUGUUUAUGUUAUGCAUCCUUGCAUUUCUUUAUCAACUUAUUGUAUUGAUCUUGUGUAGCUUUAUCAAGCUUUUAUUUUUACUACUUGGAAGAUGUAGGGAAUUUUAUUCUUUCCUUAUUUGUUGUAUUGUGCUUUUAGAUUAACUUAGUGAGAAGUACCCUUGGCUAAGUCUUUCAGAAGGCUAGUAGUUUUAUUUGCUAUUAAUUUAACGGGCAGUAUCCUUGGAGGGUCUGUGCUAAAUUAAUGGGCAGUAUCCUUUUUUAGUUGCAAUGUGACACCUCACACUCGAUUCGGACGACGAAUUUAUAUAUAAAACAUCACAUUCAUUAUCGAAACAACUCAAACAAACAAGAAACUGACGUCAAAGCCAAAUCAAGAAGCAUAGCACAUAAUUCAUAAUUUCCAAAACGCUAAUAAUUAAUUUGUAACUUUUUUUAAUAUAGUUAAUUUAAUGACUAAUGCCGUAAUUAGUCUCACUUAAAAAGAGCCCACCAUUUGACUUGACGCAGAGGUCAAGAGAUAUCUCUAAAAAUGGGAAGCAAUAUAUGAUGUUUAUGGUUGAUAUUGUUCUAUGUGAGGUGUUCAAAUGGUUGAUUGAUCAGUUAACUAAAUCGAACUAGUAUUAAUUGAAUUAAUCUAACUUUUUAAUCUUUAACUGUUAAUUAAAUCGAUUUUUUUUCAAAAAGAUUAACCGAACAAAAAAUAUUUCAAUUAAUUCAAUUGGUUAACCAAAAUUUAUAUAUAUUUUUUGUUUAAAAUGAAUAUAAAACAUAUAAAAAAAUUGAUAAUGUUCAUUUGACUGAAUUAACCUAAUUAAUCAAAUUAGUAAUAGCCUAAUACAUAUGACAUAUAAUAUUAUUUAUUAAGUUCAGUUAAUUCGGUUAAUUACUCGAUUUCGAACUGAAUUAACCAUUAACUGAAAUUCCAAAAAUCAUUUAAUCGAUUUUUAACCAAAUUAAAUCAGUUAACUGAUCAAUUAACCGAAUUAAAUCAAUUUAAUCAAUUAAUUUAAUUUUAACCGAAACUUAAACACCUUUUUUAACUCUAUGAAUGCCAAAAUCCAUAUAUAGACUUAUUUCGGAUGUUAGAAUUUUCCACCAAAAACCAAGUCUUUGUGGAAUUAAAGUUUUGUUGCUAAGACCCACUGGAUUUUUCAUAACCACUAUAAUUAGAUUAGAACUAUCUCUCCGCGUAUGCUCGAGUUUAAAAUUUUUUAAUUAAAUUUUAUUAAUCUAUUUUUUAAUUAUUAUAAUAUUAACAUAGAAAUUAAAAUUGUGAUUAUUGUUUAUAAUAGAAUAUAAAGUCUUAAAUUAUAAUGAUAAAAUCAUGGAGAAGAUAUUUUAAUUUAAAAAAUGUAUAAAAUUUAUAUAUUAUCUCUUCAAUAAUUUAAAUUAUAAUGAUAAUUUUUAUAUAUUAAAAUUAAUAUAUUAUCUCUUUUACAAUUACAUAAAAAAUUAUAUUAAUAUAUAAAAAUGAUAAAUUAAAAGAAAUUCUCUUUUAAUUGUUUGCCAUUAGAUAUCUAGUGAACUGAUGCCACUAAUUUAACUCUCAAAAAAUGGAAGUUUGAGAAAGCUAAAGGUUGUUAAAUUAGACAAAAAGAAACAAGAAGCCAUGCCAAUAAUUCCGUUAACAAUUUAACCGGACCAAAGUAGAACUAAAUGAUAACAUUAAUGAUGAAAUUAAAAGUUUUUUGUAGUUCAAUGACAAAACAAAAAUACGCUAAUAAUUGAGCCAUUCAUUGUGCAAUUUAGACUUAAUUUAUUUUUGGAAGAAAUUGUAUUUAUGUGAUAAUAAUAAAUUUUAAAAAAAUAUUUAUUUUGUCAAAAAUUUGUAAUUAUAAUCAUUUAAAUAUAUAUAAAAAAGUAUCCAACAAAUAUAUCAAAUUAUUGCAAUAAAAGGAUGAAGAAAUCAUAAUAUAACAAGACACCAAUUAGAAAUAACUUCAUUUCAAAUAUAAAUGAAAUUUAAUAAUGAAACAAAUUUUAUUAAAGGCAAGGACUAAAUUAAAAAAAUUAAAAUCAAUUAUAGACUAAGGGUGAGUUUGGAUGGGCGGUGUGUUUACCUGUGGUUAGAGUAAAAACAGCGGUGGUGGUGAGAUUAGAUACUGUAGCGAUACUGUAGCGUGAGACAAAAAAUAAGUUAAACGCACCGCACCGCACCCAAUCGCCCAUCCAAACUCACUCUAAGAUAUGAAUAUAUAAAUAGUGAAAAGCGUAAUCAUAAACUUUUAAAAUAAAAAUAUUCUAGAAAGCAAUUAUUUCUAAAAAGUAAAAAUCAUCCACCCUCUUUUGUUUAUUAUACUUUUAUAUUGAAUAUACUAUGUCUUUUUACUUGCUGAAAAGGUUACAAAGUUAUCAUAAAUUUCCUAAAAUCUUAUAGCACUUUUCCAAAGAUCCAAUACAGCAUGAUACAAUAGCUGAAUUAUACCAUUAAUUAUUAAAUUAUAGAUAAUCAAACAAGAUUAUAAUUUAGUCAUUAAUAUUUUCAAAAUUAUUUUUAUGGUCACCUGAUUAAGUGGCACUUUUUUUUGUUAGUAUGAUAAUAAUUUUAUUCUUUGAUUUUUCUAUUAAUUUGACUCUGAUUCUAAAUAAAAAUUAUAAAUAAAUAAAUAAAAAGACAAUUUCAAAAAUAGUGGUAAUCAAAUUGUAACGUUUUUAGUUUAAUGUCAAAAACAAAAAUUUAUCUAUAAUUAAUUUAACGCAUAUAUACCCUUUAUUUUUUGAAAGGAAAUCUUACUUAAAAAUAUCCCACCACUUGACUUACACACAAGUCAAGUAAGGAAAGCAAUAUUUGAUGUUUACUGUUGAUAUUAUUUUAUGAAUGCCAAAAUCCAUAUAUAGACUUAUUUCGAGUGUUUGAAUUUUCCACCAAAAACGAAGUCGCUGUUGAAUUAAAAUUUUGGUGCUAAGACCCACUGGAUUUUUCACAACCACUUUUAUUAGACGAUAAUUAUCUCUUCACGUAUGCUGGGGUUUAAAAAUUUUUAAUUAAUAAAUAAACAGAGAUAAUAAAGAACAAAGAAUAUGAGAGUUAACAAAAGAGAGUGUGUGUUUUAUUGAUCAAUCAGAAUAUUUACAAAACUUUUUCAAAAUCUUUAUUUAUAGGUAUAAAAAGUAUAAAUGAAGUAGAGAUCUCCGGAUGACUAUUAAAAUUUAAAGUACAUCAAAACUUUUCUCGGUUUUAAUGGAUAUCCGUUUAAUAAUAUAUCCAAAACAUUUAUUUAUUUUUAAAAAAUAUUAUAAUAUUAACAUAGAAAUUAUAUUUGUGAUUAUUGUUUAUAAUAUAAUAUAAUAUAAAUGAUAACAUCAUGGAUAAAAAUAUUUUAAUUUAAAAAUUGUAUAAAAUUUAUAUAUUAUCUCUUCAAUAAUUUAAAUUAUAAUGAUAAUUUUUAUAUAUUAAAUUUAAUAUAUUUAAUCUUCCUUUAAACGAAACAAAUUACUUGUUGAGUUAUUGUAUUUAUUCUAUGAAUUAAUUUUAAAUUUUAUUUGUUAAUCUUCACAAAAUUAUUAGACACUUUGAGCAGUUUAGAAAAUCAUUUAAAAGUAGAGAAAUUCUAUUGAAGAAUGAUAUUUUUGAUUAUUGAAAAUAUUUGCUUAUUGAAGAAUGAUAUUUUUGAUUAUUGAAAAUAUCUGCUUAUUAUCAGACGGAUGAUAUUUUAAAAACUCAAACUAAUAAAACAAUAAUUUGAAACAGUGAAGAAACUUAUAGAAAGGGUGUAGCAAGAGAGCUAGAGGGUUGACACCAGAAGUCAAGAGAUAUCUCCAUAAUGGUCACUUGUGUUGAGUGGUCUGGGGUGAUUGAAUUUUGUACAUUGAAAACGAAGGUAGAGGACAAUUGCUUUCUUGUCACUAUUGCUACAAAUGCCAUUGAAUUUCCACAAGAAAUUUAUCCCAUAUUUAGUUAAGGGAACCUCACUUGACUUGACACGUGACACAAGUCAAGAUAUAUCUCUGAAUGUAAGUAUUAUAGAUUUUUAUUUUUUUUCUAUUAUAUCAAGUAAAUUUUUUAUAUUUAUGUCAUGUAAUUAUAUUAUGCAGUAAAACGUACAAGUCUAAUUCAUAAUGACUUUCGAUAUUGCCUCACGUAUCAUCAUGCCUAUGCUAUUUUUGUAUUAUCCUUGUUUUGAAGGCUAUAUAUAUUUAUAUAAAUUUUGUUUUAGGUAGAUUUUAACAUGUUUUUUCUUCAUCUCAAGUACAUUUUUUUUUAUUUUUUUUUUCAUAUUUUAGUUAUUGAAUGUUGGGCUUAAAAUAUUAUAAACAUUCCUAAUUAUAUAUUAAUUUUACAUUAAGUUUUAACAGAUAAAUUUAGCAUUAUUAUAUUAUACUAUAAUAAAUUUCUUAGGUCAAAAUUAUCUUUGAUUUUUUAUCCAAUUAGAUAUUCCUACACCUUUUUUUUUAUUUCUAAUAACAAAUUCAAAAUUAUCUAUAUCUAUCUAUAGUACAAACUGGCUCUUAAGAGAGUUUUAAGAGUAAAUGGGUUGAUAAUAGUGUUUUUCAAUUUUAUACAUAUUCACAAUUUUUAUCUUUAAAGGUGUCAAGGUUCGUUCAUUUAUUUUCAUAUAAUUAUGUUCAUUUAUCUUCAUACCAGGCUUUCUUGCAGGCUUACAAUCUACUCUAGCUUAUUAUUACUUUAAUGCAAGCUGCAGGACAGGAUUAUGAGUGUAACACCCUAAAUUCGGCCUAGACGUUAUAGUCGUAUCUGGUAAUGUCACACGAUAGUGUUUUUGAAACUUCAUUGUUACGAUGAAAACAUUCCAUAUUUUUUAUUUUAUUUUUUAUUUUAGUAAACCUUUGUUAGAACUUAGGAAGUCGUCUUUACUCAUUUAAAACAUUUUUUUUGAAACAUCCCUCGUUAUAAAUUCAUAAAGUAAAAUAAAUAAAUAAAAACCCAAAUUUAAAACCAAAGUCCCAGAGGGUCCUUAAAUUACAACCCAAAUAAUCAAUAAUAAUCAAAUCGUAAAUCGUAAAUUGAAAACCAUGAAGUCCAAAAAUUACUAUGGUCACCGCUGAGUCCUCCAUCACACCUAUUCAUCUAGGUCUGGGGAUUACCUGUGCACAGUAAACAAAAAGGCGAGUUUAUGUAAACUUAGUGUGUAAUCCCAUAGAAACAAACAAACAAUCAAUAUUCACAGUGCACAGUUGAAUAGUCUUGGGCCUAAGCCCUUUUCAGUAUCAGUGACAGUUUGGGCCUUAGCCUAUCUCAAUACAAUGUCAAAAAUGCAAUAGGACCUUAGCCCAUUACAGUAUUAGUAGCAGUAACAGUUAUGCAGUAGUAAAAUCCUACCUAACCAGCCUCUACACACCAUCUCCGUCCAACCCUACACUCCAUAUAGGGAUAUAAUCAACUCACUCAUCUCUACACUCUAAGUAGUACCGAAUGAGGCACAAAACAGUAGUUUGCAACUGAGCUGCCAGUAAAUUUGGCUAAAAGCCUUUCAGUACACUUCUUCCGAAUAACAACCCCCAAUCCAAUGCAAUGCAACAUACAAUGGAUGACAUGCUAUUAUGCAAUUUCAGUACAUAUAUUCAAUUCAAAUAUUUUCAUACUCAGUACAGAUAUCAUUCAGUCAAUUUCACACAUUUAGGGAUCUAAGUAGCGUUUACCGACCCUACAAUAGGUUCACAGUCGACUUGGGUGACCCGUGCAACCUUAGAAACAUUUCGAUGAAAAUGGGCUCACAUACCUAUGUGAUCUGCCCCUGUGGGCCCACAGGCCUGUGUAGCCCACUCGGCCCAAAUUGGCCUUGGUCGUGUGAUCUAUUUUUAAUGUAACCCAUGCUAGCUAAAUAUUCAUAUAUGUUUUCACUAUUUACUUAUAUGUUCAUUCAAAGUUGUCUACUUGAGUCAUUGUCACUAAAUUAUUUAUAUCUUGAGUUACGAAAAUCCAAAUUAAGACCCGCUUGAUGUUUUUGAAACUAGACUCAAAUACCUUUCUACCAUAAAAUUUUCAGAAUUUAUAGUUUAUCAAAUAAGUACAUUAAAAUCUUCAAAUUUAUCCCAAUUCUGCUAUUUGACAGCUUCAACUUUUUCUUACUUAAAAUUAUUUAUCUCUUAGUACGGAAUUUGGAUGAUGUUUCUAUUUGUUUCUCUUGAAAAUAGACUCAUUAACGAUUUAAACAUAUAAAUUUAAGCCCUUAUUUAUUGUUUUUCAAUUUUUGAUGAUUUUCCAAAGUCAAAACAGGGGAACCCGAAAUUAUUCUAACAUUGUCUCACAAAAUUUAUUAUAUCUCAUAAUUUACAAUUCAAUUGCUUACAUUGUUUCUUCCAUGAAAAACUUAAUAAAAUUUAAUUUCUAAUUUUAUUCAACCUCUAACUCAAUUUCCACUUAUCUUGAUGAUUUUUCAAAGUUAGACUACUACUGUUGUUCAAAACUAUUUUAGUGCAAAAUGUUGAUUUCCAAGUUUAUAACACCCUUAUUUCCUUUCUCUAUAAGUUUUCACAUUAUUUUCCCUUAUUUCUCUUAUUUCUCGAUAGCAAGCAAUUUCGACUUUUCGCCGAAUCCUAUUUUCUGCGUUUCGGGUACACACCUGGUAUCGUUUUGCUGCAAAUACGCUCUCAGGCACUCCAAGACUUAAAAAUCGAUAAUUAGAGCCCAAUUUAGAUCACUAACGAAAACUCAAAACUAAAAAUCAUCUACAUCAAAAUCAAUAGCAAACCUAAACACUUACCGACAACGAACUAAAAUUUCUAACGCUCAAUUUGCUUGUGAAGCCGCAACUGAUUUCUGAUUUUCGCCUAAACCAAGAGAGCCAAAACAAUCCUUUUUAGGAACUAGCUAAGAAACGAUAAAAUAGAGACAAUUAGAUACUUACAGAACCAGUGUAUACAAUUGCUAGUUGGAAAAUAGGCUAGUAAAAAAAUCAAAUAGAGAGGGUGGGCUAGGGAACAAAAAUUUGGCAAAGCAAAGAAGAAGAGGACGGUAGAAAAAUUGGGGAAAAAAAGAGAAUGCCGAAAUUUAGGAAAAAUAAAAACCAAAUAGAAACUUAGAUGAUAUUAAUAACUACCCUACAUCCCUAAAUUUUCUCCCACCAAUCCUACUAACCUACAACCACUCCAGAAUUCCACUCUGCCGAAAUACUUGUCCAUCAUUGCGUAAAAAUAACGCCUAUGCUCCAGCAUAGAUUCGAACUCAGGACCUCAUAUAAUUAAACACUCUACUUAACCACUAGACCAGCAGACCCAUUUUGUUAUUUAAUUACCAACUAUUAAACUUAAGCUUUUUAGGCCAGGUUAAGGCUUUAUUUAUAAAAAUACUAAUAUUUGCCCAAGUCAUGGCUUGAACUUGGGACCUCCCACACACUUCCAAAACACUUACCCAUUGAAGCAGACAAGUACUUAUAUCACAAAAACAAGAAUUAAAAAUUUUGGUGCAUUAUAAUUCUACCCCCAAGAGAAAAUUUCAUCCUCGAAAUUUACCUGAUCAGAACGAAUGAGGAUGCUGCUGACACAUCGCAUCCUCAAGCUCCCACGUUGCCUCCUUAGUAUUAUGGUUACACCACAGAAUCUUCACCAGAGGGAUAGACUUCCUCCUCAAAACCUUUACGUCUCAAUCCAUAAUCUGAACCGGCUCCUCCUCAAAGGUUAAAUCUGGCCUAACCUCAAUCUACUCUAUUGGAACAAUAUGUGUAGGAUUAGAGAGGUAGCACCUCAACAUAGAAACGUGAAACACGUCAUGAAUUUGAUCCAACUCUAGAGACAGCUCCAAUUGAUAAGCGAUCGGUCCCACUCGUUUCAAAAACCUAGAGCUCAACUUGCUCUUACGACCAAACCUCAGACUCUUCUUCAUUGCAAAACCUUGAGGAACAUGAAGUCCCCCACGGAAUACUCAAUCUCUUGACGCUUUAGAUCCGCAUAGGAUUUUUAUCUGUCUGAUGGCAUUUUCAGACGAUCCCGAAUCAGUCUAACCUUAUCUUUAGUCUCCAAUACUAACUCAGGAUCCAGAACACGUCGUUUGCCCAACUCAGUCUAACAUAAAGGAGUGCGACACUUAUGACCAUACAAUGCCUCGUAAGGUGUCAUCUAGAUGCUAGACUGAAAACUGUUAUAAUAGGUGAACUCCGCCAGUGGCAGAUAAUCUUUCAAACUACCUUAAAAAUCAAUAGCACAGCUCUUGAAUUUGAGCCUUAAGCUCCACAAGCUCCUUCCGUGCCUUUCGAUAGGGAGCGAUGGACACCAGAGCUGUACCUGGAAGUAGCUCAAUCCCAAAUUCCAACUCGUGAUUCGGAGGUAACCCAAGUAGCUCUUAAAAAAAGACGUCUAAAAAAUAUUUUACCGUUUCAAUAUCCUUAAUUGUAGAAUCCUUAGAAUCCAAAACACUUACGGAAGCUAAGAAUGCCUCACAUCCCUUAUGAACUAUUUUCUCUGCCACCAGUAUAGAGAUCACAUUAGAUAAGUAAUUCUGGCAUUCUCCAAUCAUGACUACCUCUUUAUCCUUCUUAGUCCUUAGUACGACCCUCUUAGUCGCACAGUCUAAGCUAACACGAUGCUUGACCAAUCAGUCCAUCCCUAGAAUUAGGUCAAACUCCCCAAAUAGAAGCUCCAUCAAAUCAGCCAAGAAGAUUGCCCCUUGUACCUCUAAAGGAAUGUCCUUAUACAGUUUACUAACUCUAACAGAUUGCCUUAAUGGGAUCAGUACCGUAACUUCACUCGUAGUGCUCUCAACUGGAAUUGUUGACACCAUUUUUGGAUUAAAAACGGGGUCGACUUGGGUUUUGAAAAUGAAAAUGAAUAGAGGAGUCGCCACCAAUCCUUUUUGAUGAGGUGCGAUCGGGUCACCUCGAAUUAAUCAUUUUAAUAAAAGUUAAGAUUUACUAAAACGAUAAUUUUUUUUGGUCUACGAAAAUCAGAAAAUGAGUUCGGGAGUCGGUUACGCACGAGGAAGGAUUAGCACCCUCGAUACGCCCAAAAAUUGGUACCUAGUUGAUUAAUUAGUGUCUUAGUUUCGAAAAUUGAAAACUUAAAAUACUUUGAAAUACGAUCCAUCUCUUUGUAAAAAAAACUCAAAUAUUAAAGACCUUCUCAUCUCUAAGUGAUAAAAUAUCACAUCCAGUAAGUUAGGACACGACAUCUCGAGCUUUUGAGAGUGAGUUUGUCUUUAUUUAAAAUUCAUGCAUUUUAACUUUUUUUUAAAAAGGAUGUUCGGUUAUUUAGGGUAAACGAAGAAAGUCGAAACCCAGUAAGUUAGGGUACGUUUUCUCGAAUUUCCUAAAAACGAAAUAUUGCCUUAUUUUGAAUUUUUUUUUGAAUAAUAGCAAAUGCAACAUUUAGAUAGUGUGCAUUAUUUGUUUGGAUUAAAAUAAAACAAUUUAUUGGAUAAAUGCAACGAGACUUGAUUCAUGAAGCGAUGAUAUAAAAUAAAAAUAUAGUAAUAAGCCUAGAACAAUGAUACAUGAACACAACAUUAUAUGGAUGAAUCACAAUAAUGCAAAAAUACGAAAUAAACAAAUUAAAAUACACAAAGACAAUAAUCAUACAACAUUUAAAUAAUAACAUCGAUAGAUAAAAGACCAAUGAAUUAAAUAAUAAUUUUUUAAGAAAAUAAAUGGCAUAAAAUAAAUUAAAAUAAAUAAUAUAAAACAUUUUAAAAUGACAAUAAUAAGUUUGAAAUAAAUAAUGUGAAAAAGGAAAUUUAAAAAUCAAUAACACACUAAACGAUAAAAAAUAUGUUUAUACAAAAAAUUAAGAUAAACAGUAUGUAUAUAUAUGUAUAAAAGUAUGAAGUGAAUGAUAUAAAAAGAGCAAAUAAUAGCAGUAAAACAUUUCGGAAUAAAUAAAUAGGAUUCAAAAUAAGAUACGUAUAACAAUUUAAAAUAAGCAAUAUAUAAAUAAAUAGAGUUUAAAAUAAAUGAUGUAAAAAAAAAAAUUUAUUUAAAAAAAAGGAACAAUAAUAUACGAAAAAGAAAAAAAGAUAUAUGAAGAAUAGAAAAUAUUUAUAUAAUAUGUGCAAAGAAACCAAAAUAAAUAAUGUAUGUAGAGUAGUUUAGAAUAAACAAUAUAUGCAAAACAACUUACAACUUUGAGUAAUUGAUACAUAAAAUUGGUUAAAAUUAAUAAUAUAUGAAAAUGAACCGUAUAUAGAAUAUUUUAAACACAUACAAUAACAGUUCCUUUUUUAAGAAAAAGAAUUAAACAGGUGAAGGAUUAAUUCGAAAACAAUACAAAAUUCUAGGUAAAAAAUAAAAAGAUACUGCCAGGAUUAAAAUGAAGUGCACCUAAAAUCAUAAGGACCAAAUGGGAUAAAAACCAUAGCCCUAACAUGCGCAUGAGGCCCGACAGAUCAAAAGACUGAUUUAAAAAACAAGCAAAAUCUAACAACUAAAUUAAGAGAAAAAGCAAAGAUAAAAUAGGGCCUGAUCAAAGGACGCUAAAGAUGGAGGGACCUCGUGUGCAAAUAUCCUAAUAAUUGAGGAUACAUGAAUCCCCAUCCCCACCAACGGCACCGUUUUGUUUGGUGUUUAAAACACCCAUUCUCUUUAUUAUUUCAGCCCUAAUUUCAUAGAAGAAAAGAAAAAAAGAACAAAAAAAAUAGAAUGUUAAAGCUUCUCUCCCUCUCCUCUCUUACUGAAUCGUGAGCCCGUCGCCGUUGCAUCACCGCGCCCCCACCGUAUCGGUGGCUGGCGAUGCUCAAGGGUGGGUUUUUAGCCCCCGAUUCAACCAGGUAUGAAGGCUAAGAUUUUUUAACCAAGAAAACCCGAAAAUGAAGGGAUCUCCACCCGUUUUGGGUUCGGCUCCGACGACUGAGGGAACCGCCGACGGUGUGACCCAGGGGUUCGGGUAAGUUUUCUCCCCGUCUUCUUUUUAUUUCUUGUUCUUGAAGCUUAAAAGCAAAAUCAAAAAUGAAAAAAGAAAAAAAGAAAUCAGAAAUUGAAAAAACGUAACCUUUUUCUUUUGUUUUUGCUCUUUUAUUUCUGAAAUAUGCGUGUGUACAAGAAUGGGGAUCCCUUUUUUACAAUUGCUUUCGGCUUCUGUUUUUAGCCGAAUGAGAUAGAAUCCAAAAUCUCCCCCUUUUACAUUGAAAAUGAAUGGCUCUUUAUAGCCGAUUAUACAAAGUCCUAUUGUUGUUUUGUUACUGUUUGCUGCGUUUCUGUUUCUGUUGCUGCUUCCGUCAUGUUUGCAGGUGUUCAAGGAGGUGAUGGGAGCAGGUGGAGGAGAGAUGGCGAUGGGACGUGCGGCUGACAGAGAGCAGCGGCAAGUGGGAUACUAGGGUUUCAGUUUCUGAAACCCUAGUCUGAUGUGGGCUUGGCUGUUGGGCCAGGGUGCUGGGCCUUUUAUUUCUUUCUUGGGCCCGGGCAAAUGGGCCUGCAACAGCUGCCCCUCUUUGCUCGUUGUCGUGUAACGAUAACAGAGAAAAGACUAAGAAAGGCCCAUUUUGCCCGGUCUCGCCGAGUCUUGACUUGUUCUGGUACUUCUCCAUUUCAAGUAGUUUCAUUCCAGUCCACUAGGUCUUGUUGCUUCGAUCCAUUCCACUGCAUUUUAGAGAGAUGCGUCCUGUAGCCUUUAUCUUCUUCGUAGCAACUUCAGGGGGACGAGGUUUGUGGUUUUCAAUCUAUUCCACUGCAUCUUCAGGGAAAUAAGACUUGAUGCGACCUACUCUGCUGUAACCUCAGAGAGAUAAGAUCCUUUAUUUUAACCCACUCCACUGUAACUUCAGGGAGAUAGGAUAGUGUCUUCGAUCUGCUCCGCUGUAAUCUCGGGGAGAUAAGAUCUCUGGCUUCAAUCUGCUCCACUGUAACUUCAGGGGGACAAGAUCUGUAAUUUCCAAUCUAUUCCACUACAGGUCAGGGAUAUAGGACUUGUGGUUUGAAUCCGCUUCCUUACACUUGAAGAUAAGAUUUGCUGUCUUUGAUCUGCUCCGCUACGGCUUAGGGAGACAAAAUCUGUAACCUUUAACCAGCUCCAAUGCAACCAAUGGAGGCAAGGCUUUGUUUUUGAUCUGCUUUACUGUUAAUGCAGGAAGGCAAGAUCUGCUUCUUUAACUAGCUCCACUGCAAUCGAUGGAUGCAAGGCUUUGUUUUCGAUCUGCUUCGCUGUUAAUGUAGGACGGCAAGAUCUGCUUCUUUAACCAGCUCCACUACAACCGAGAGAGGCAAGGUUUGUGUCUUCGACCUGCUUCAAUGUCAAUGCAGGAAGGCAAGAUCUUUUGUCUUCAACCAGCUCUAUCACAACCGAAAGAGGCAAGGUUUGUGUCUUCGAUCUGCUUCGCUGUCAAUGCAGAAAGGCAAGAUCUUUUGUCUUCAACCAGCUCCAUCACAACCAAAGAGGCAAGGUUUGUGUCUUCGAUCUGCUUCGCUGUCAAUGCAGAAAGGCAAGAUCUUUUGUCUUCAACCAGCUCCAUCACAACCGAAAGAGGCAAGGUUUGUGACUUCAUUGAUCUGUCCCUUGGGGAACAUGACCUGUAUGUUCUAUUUUAUGAACCUAAUUGUGCCUAGUGAUUAGGAUGACAUAAUCAGAAUGAAUCAAAUGCUCCUAACUAGAUAUGUAUGAAUGACAUUUGAAUGAAUGCAAAAUGUCAUGAAGAUGAUUCCUUAAUGCUUAGGUUAACAUCACGUAAAAACUUAUUAAGGUUUUAUCACUGACGUACUACAACGCCUUUUUGCUCGUCUGGUAUAUCCAAAGAAACACUUAAUCUGGUUGCCCCCCACUGUAAACCUUAAAGUUUAAUCUAUUAGGGCACAAAAUUUGUACCAUCAUUCUCCCACUACAAUCCAAGGGUAGAAAUAUGGUUUUUCCUCAAUCCUCUUUUAUCACAAUUCAAGGAUAUAGGAUCUUAAUCUUUCUGGUCCCCCUUUACACCAUUUCCAGGGUGUCGUUUCAAAGACUCAUGCACAAAUGAAGGCUCUCUUCUCCGAGGUAACCUCUUCCUAUUGCCUAGUGAUCAUUGCUUGCUUGUUUAUUUAAGCUUUUUCAUUGACACGACAUCUUGUCAUUUUGUUCAAUCAAUGCAUUUGUCAACAAAAUCCAAAGAGAAAGUCUAAACUUAGACUCUUCCUUCUCAAAUUUCCAACCUUCAAAUUUGGCAUGUUCUAAACAAUAGUCCUGUUUUAGGUUCCUGUAUUAUUUAGAAACUUUUCAGAGUAAUAUGCAAAACUUCCUUUGUGAAAGUUUUAUUAGUCCAUUAAUCAUUAUUCCAAUGCUUGCAAAAAGGUCAUAACAAUGGAUAAGAAUAAAGUUGGUUCUGAGCAUAGCUCGAAAGAACAAAUUAUCGAAAAUAGUGAAGAAGGACAACAAAAGAAUUAAUUGGGAAUGUAUAUCUUGGAAAGAAAGAAAAAGUAUUCCAAGAACAACAAAUAACAUGAGAAUUGGGUGCCCCAGAUAUCACAGCUUGAACUUCUCUAUACAAACUUUCUGAAGACCCUUUUGAGUUGGACAUGUGUUUAGGAGAUCUACAAUGCUCUGUCGAUGCCCCCAAGAUGUCGCCUAUCCUUUCCUGUUGAUUCAGGCAUGGCAAGAUCAACACAUGCCUCAAUAUGAACAAAACUUGAGCAGCUUAUAUCACCCCAUGCCCCAUUUUGAUCAGUAUUUGAGCCGCCCUUUUCGGGUUUUCAGCUCAGAUCCCCUUUGGCCUAAGGCGCCCUUUGCGGGUUUUCCCCUUAGCCUCUCCAUUUUACUCUUUUCAUUUUCCAUUUUCAUUCUUCAUCUUUUUAUUUUUUUUGAACUUCAUUGUCUUACAAUACAGUGACAAACUGUGAUGUCUGAUUUUGAACCGAUUACAGCCCUCAACUAUCAUGUUGUCAUUCUAGUUCAAUACAUUUUCCCAUACCAUCGUCUCUAGAAUUCUAUAUUGGCAUAUGAUGACAUUGACGCAUGCUGUAGCCUUUAUCCAUUUGAUGAAGUAAUUAAUGAUCUCAAUAGUGAAGCAAUGCCCAUUAGAAGUCUUCGAUAAUGGUGAUGUCCAUGCCCCAUUUUGCUCAAAAUUUGAGUCACCCUUUUUGGGUUUUCCACUCAAAACCACUUUUGGUCACAAAGCGCCUUUUUGGUUUUUCGCCUUGGCCUCUCCUUUUCUUUUCUUUGCUUUUCGUAUUUUUAUUUUGACUUUGAUUGAUUUCUCUUUGUUUUUAUUUUUUAUUUUGAUUUUGAUUUUGAUUUUGUUUUUUUUUUUCAUUUUUCCUUGUUUUUUGAAUCGGAUCUAAACUCUUGGGAUUAGGCAAGUCUUUGUUAUCCCCUUCAAAGGAUCUUCUCUGAUAUCGAAUUUCCUUUAUAGAGCCUUUUAGGGCAAAACUACAACUGGAAACUUUUGAUCUUCUUCUUCCAUCGGGAUAAAAUCUAGCAACAUCUUGAAGGAAUAGAAACUCGACUUCAAACGGGCAAAGCUAUGCUGAAUUGACGAGAACGGUAUUGCCCCGGCAAAGAAUUGUAUCAUUCAUACGAGUUUGGACAUCGUGUUGUUGUGCAGAUUUCAUUAUCAGUGCUUAACCCAGCAUAUCCUGGUAUGAUCCUACAAAGACAUCUUUGAACAAGGUCUUGCUUCAUUUUUAAGGACAAGUCAAUUCCAAGCUCAGAAUUCCUAGUGAUCUGUCUAUCCUCCUACUCAACCAUCCUCAAUAAGUUUGGGGGUAAGCUACUAUCUAUGUCAUUUCCAAAGUCAUGAGAUCCAUCUAAGCACAUGCCUCACUCAAGUGGAAAAUCUGAGUUUGCAGCAGUUUCAUUCAUGUUAUUGAUAUCUGAGGACUCAUAAUAAGCACCGAGGAAUAUACAAAAGAAUGUAUAAAUUUAUGAAUGAUUAUUUACAAUAUGAUUAUGAAUGAAUGUUGUGGAAGAAAAUCCAACAGAAUGAAAUAAUCAAAAAUAAUUAUUAAAAAGAAUGAAAGAAUAUUGGCUCAAAAAGGAACGCAAAGAUGUAUUUUAUUAGAAUAAUAACGUUCAGACAUUAGCCUAUUUCACAAAGGAAUUUCUAUCGCUUCAGGCUAAAAACAGCAAAAAUGUUCUGAACAUUACUCUAAAUAAGCUCUAAAAACUACAGGGAUUUAUUCUACAAGCCCAUUGCUUGGAACACUCCAGGUUUAUAAGGGCAGACAUCUAACAAGAUCCCUUUUCAAUUAUGCCUUCAUAUAUGGUAUUGAUGUGAAAACUUCCCAACACUUUCUCAUAUAUUGCGUUCACCCCAUUGUUAAUCAUGAUUGGGUGGCGAAUUUUCUGCAUUAGAUGAGUCACCAAACUUGACGACACCCAUGUUGAUGAGCUUUUCAACCAGUUUCUUGAAGGCUAUGCAGUUCUCUAUGGAAUGCCCCGUAUUUCCCGCAUGAUAUUCGCAAUGUGCAUUCGCAUCGUGCCAUUUGGGGUACGGUGGCUGUGGAGGUUUUGAGUAGAAAGGAGAAACAAUGCGUGCAUCGAAUAACUUUUGAUACAGCUCAUUAUACGACAUCGGGAUUGGCGUGAACUGGAGGUUCUCAGUACCUUGUUUCACACUAAUUUCUUGUCUAGAUGAACCUUGCUGACUAGCAGUCACCUUUCUUGGCUGUGUAAUCGAUUUGUUGUAAGUGUUGACAUUGCUCACAUCAUUUUCCUUCUUCUUUAAGUCUGACCUUCUAUUAUUCUCCCCAGCAUCAAUCUUUCCACUUCUCACGGCACUUUCAAUCAUUUCACCGCUCAUGACUAUGUCUGAAAAACUCUUCGAAGCACUUCCUAACAUGUGGGUGAUGAACGGGGCCUUCAAUGUGUUGAUGAAGAGCAUCGUCAUUUCUUUCUCUAGGAGUGGCGGCUGAACUUGGAUAGCGACCUCCCUCCACCUUUGUGCGUAUUGCCUAAAACUUUCAUUAGGUUUUUUCUCCAUAUUUUGCAGGGUUAUUCUGUCAGGGACCAUAUAAGCUACAUGACUGUAUUGUUUCAUAAAGGCUUGUGCUAAAUCCCUCCAAGAACUAAUCUGGAUACGCGUCAAUUGAUUGUACCACUUAGACGCUGUCCCUGUGAGGCUAUCUUGAAAGCAGUGUAUGAGCAGUUGGUCGUUGUUGACGUAUCCGGCCAUACGCCUACAGAACAUAGUAAUAUGAGCUUCUGGGCAGCUGGUCCCAUUAUAUUUCUCGAAUUCCGGCAUCUUAAAUUUGUAAGGGAGCACCAAGUCCGGAACCAAGCUCAGAUCCUUUGCAUCUAUUCCAUAGCUUUCGAUGCUUUCUAUUGCCCUAAACUUCUCUUCUAUCCAUUUCCAUUUCUCCUCAAAUUGUUUUGGAAAUUCCUCCUUCGCCUUAUCCUUUUCAACCAUCUCGUCAAGAUCUGGGACAGCAAUAUUAUUCGGGCUAUCACCGGGAUUAAAGCCCGCUCCGGGUUGAAAAUUCAUUGGAAUUGAAGCAUCGCCUUGGAACUGCUGGGGCCUAACCGACACAGAGGGUCUCCGCGGAUGCAGCUCAGUCUGUACUUGCGCAUGCGGAGGCGUGAAACCUGGAGGAUAAAGUGGUUCACCAUUGUUUUCUUCUUCACUAACAAUCACAGGACCUUUACCCUUGUCUACUCCCUUCAAUAAUUGCGUCAUCUUAGCCACCAGAUCAUUUUGGGACUCCUCCAUCUUUUGCACCAUGUCACGCUGAAUCUUUUCUAUUUGCUCUUUCAUUUGCGCCUGCAACUGGUCUUGCAUUUCUUUUUGAAGUCGCUCUAGCUUCUCCAACCUUUGGUCCAUAAUUUUUGUCUUAGCUCGGGUGCCGUAACUUUGUUGGUUUUCCAGGUUAACUGAAAUGAUUUUAUUCGAUUAGGUUUUUAAUGGUCAUUAAUGCAUGUGAUGUGAUGCAAUGCAUGAAAAGAAUGCAAAGAAAAAGAGGCACUGAUUCUAAUUCAACUUCAUUAGAAAACUUUACUAGAUAAAGAGUUUCUUUACAUAAAAUAGACUACAUAUAUGGCUUUGCCCUCACACUCAAAGCCUUAACCUUUCUAAGAAGCCAAGCUAAUUCUCGGCCCCUGUCCGACUCUGACUCAUACUUCAAACUUAAUAGAUCAGCCUGAACCGCUAGAGUUUGCAGAUGAUCAGCUACUUCGCGCACUUGAGUCACCGCCUCUCCCAUAAUAUAAUCUCUUUCUCCAAUCUGCUCUUGAGACCGACGGAAUUGUCUUUGCCACUGCUCAUUACUUUCUUCCAGAAGCUCUAUCCGGAUUUCACUAUUUUGUAAUGCAUUCUCUAGCCCUCAUAUCUGUCUUUUUAAUUCUUCAAUUUUGUCUAAGCUCACCCUUAAUUCAACCGUAGCAUUACGAUUACAGUACUGGUGAAGCGAUCUUUCUAGUUCAGUUAUCCGGACCUUCAACACCGUCUUCUCGUCUUGGCAAACUAGUAGACUCUUUCCCAAGGCGACUUCUCGAGCCCGAGUAUCCUGAAAUUUCUUUUCCCAUUGAUUAGCUUUUGUCUUUUCCUCCUGAAUUUCUUGUCGCCAUUGUUCUGGUGUUUUACCCAAGCCAGCGGCUCUUACCGACUUACGCAACUUCUUGUAAUCUGUCUUCAGGCUGUCCAAAUCUUCUUCUGCCUUGUUCUUUCCUUUUCUCAAUUUGUUGGCCUCUAAUCUUUGAAUGUCCACAUCCAGUCCUAACUGCAUUUUUUCUUCCUCUAGUUGUUCUAUCUUCUUCCCUAAUUCUAAACUUCUUUUUUCGAAUUCUUGUUUGAUGAUUUCUAUUUCAGAAGGCAAAACUUGUAAGUGUUCCUCUAAAGAUCGAGCAGUUUCUGAAUUUGACGCCGGGAUGUUGUCAUUGAUCCUUUGAUCACGCCACUGACCAUACUCGGGGGUAAUUGUCGGACCCACGGCUAAGAUCUUCAUUCGACGAGUCUGGUUCCAGGCACUAGAUAUUUCUCGAACCUUCUUCUUGUAAUUGUCCUUCCUAUAGGAAAAAUCACUAUAAGCCAACCCCUGGGUUGCUGGUAUGAAUUGUCGUGAUCUAUACUGUCUUGAUACGAGUAGAGGAGCAUAUCCGAUAGCUCUCCAUAUCCCGAGCAGCGGAACCCAGUCAAAAUCUCCACAUCGGUACAAUAUCUCAUCAGGAAUUAACCAAGGAGCCCUCCAUUCAAUAUCUUCAUCUUGGAGAUUCUGGAGUAUCUCUAUCCAUUUUUCUUCUGAAAUAUCAUCUCGUCUUGGCGUGGCCACCAAUUCUCCUAGAGGGGAGUAGCUAUCAGAGAAUACCCGAUAAGAGACCUUUUCGACUUUCCAGAAGUGGCUAUGGAACCAUGCCAAUAAGAGCUGCGCGCAUCCAAUAAACCUUCCCUCCCCUACUUUUCGACACGCAUUCAAUGAUCUAAAAGUUUCAGCGAGUAUUGCCGGAACCGGUGUAACCCCUUUACUAAGCCGAUCGAACAAAUCAGAUACAGCCUCGUCUAUGUGUCCUAAAGCUUUGGGGAAAACCACUAGUCCAUAGAUACCUAAAGCGAAAACAUCGACCCUUUUCUUUAAGUCAGGAUGUACAAGCACCAAAUCUCGCAAACUUUUCCAAGGAACACAUUUACUGUCGCCCUUCUGUUGGAUCCGGGCAGCGACCCACUGCUCGCUCAUUCCAGUGAUGUUCAUUAAUUUCUUUAACAACGGAGGGACACAAGCAGCUCUGGAAUAAGCCUUGUCGACUUGAAUCUUUGGGCACCGAAGCAAGGUCGUAUACUCCUCCACAGUAGGCGUCAAAUCUACCUUCCCAAAAGUGAAACAACUGUAGGCAGGAUUCCAAAACUGAGCAAGGGCUCGGAAUAAAUACUUGUCCACUUUGACACUAAGCAGGUAAGGUAGGUCACCGUAGUUACAAUAGAACAGCUGCUUGGCCUCGACAUCCCAUUGAUCCCAGACUUCUUUCAUUUCUCGAAGGUCAUUUUGGAUUACACUGAUACGGGUAAAAUCCCACAAUUCUGACACGUACCCUUCGGUAAGACUAUCGCCUUUCUCCCGUUGUGUCGUUUCAGCCCAUAUUCGCACAGCCGCAUUAUCCUCUACUUUAUCAACAAACCCCUUUUCCAUGAUAAGCUUUCUACCAAGAAACUGAACGUAAAUCGACACCUCUUUUAGAAUGAAGAUGCCAUGCAAUCACAAACAAAGUAAAUUAGCAUUAAACACAGAAUAAGAUUUAAAAUAAGCGACAAAUAAAUACAACAUUCAUUUAGGUAAGCACUAAAAAUUUAGAGUAGCUCUACCUAGGUUGGUUCCUAUGGCUCAUUACAUGUGGUUUGGUUCUAAAGUAGGGUACCUGAACCAGCAAAUUCCUCGAUCCUCACCCAUUAUAGGCUCAUACGGACCAAGUUCGAUUCAGGGGGAUACAUUUCCCUAUGGCCAUGCGGAGAUGAAAAUCUCACGAAGACAUAGGUACGGAUGUAUCCCGAAAGCGAUUCACUAUCCCAUGCGGAGGUGAAAACCUCACGAAGGCGUAGUUUCUCACUCCCACUUAAAAGGGUGUGACCAACGGUCAUGCAAUGCAAUGUGCAGAAAGAUACAAAAACUUAAACUAACACAACAAUUAUAAACCACAACGAUGAAAAUUGUAAUAAAGAGCAAUGAAAUGCGAUGAAAGGAUCGUAUAUUUAAACCAAGUUUUGAUUUUCGACAAAAAGACAAAAAAUAAUCAACUCGUGGCCCGACUCACUUAUUGUGGUUGUCCCCAGUGGAGUCGCCAAGCUGUUGACACCAUUUUUGGAUUAAAAACGGGGUCGACUUGGGUUUUGAAAAUGAAAAUGAAUAGAGGAGUCGCCACCAAUCCUUUUUGAUGAGGUGCGAUCGGGUCACCUCGAAUUAAUCAUUUUAAUAAAAGUUAAGAUUUACUAAAACGAUAAUUUUUUUUGGUCUACGAAAAUCAGAAAAUGAGUUCGGGAGUCGGUUACGCACGAGGAAGGAUUAGCACCCUCGAUACGCCCAAAAAUUGGUACCUAGUUGAUUAAUUAGUGUCUUAGUUUCGAAAAUUGAAAACUUAAAAUACUUUGAAAUACGAUCCAUCUCUUUGUAAAAAAAACUCAAAUAUUAAAGACCUUCUCAUCUCUAAGUGAUAAAAUAUCACAUCCAGUAAGUUAGGACACGACAUCUCGAGCUUUUGAGAGUGAGUUUGUCUUUAUUUAAAAUUCAUGCAUUUUAACUUUUUUUUAAAAAGGAUGUUCGGUUAUUUAGGGUAAACGAAGAAAGUCGAAACCCAGUAAGUUAGGGUACGUUUUCUCGAAUUUCCUAAAAACGAAAUAUUGCCUUAUUUUGAAUUUUUUUUUGAAUAAUAGCAAAUGCAACAUUUAGAUAGUGUGCAUUAUUUGUUUGGAUUAAAAUAAAACAAUUUAUUGGAUAAAUGCAACGAGACUUGAUUCAUGAAGCGAUGAUAUAAAAUAAAAAUAUAGUAAUAAGCCUAGAACAAUGAUACAUGAACACAACAUUAUAUGGAUGAAUCACAAUAAUGCAAAAAUACGAAAUAAACAAAUUAAAAUACACAAAGACAAUAAUCAUACAACAUUUAAAUAAUAACAUCGAUAGAUAAAAGACCAAUGAAUUAAAUAAUAAUUUUUUAAGAAAAUAAAUGGCAUAAAAUAAAUUAAAAUAAAUAAUAUAAAACAUUUUAAAAUGACAAUAAUAAGUUUGAAAUAAAUAAUGUGAAAAAGGAAAUUUAAAAAUCAAUAACACACUAAACGAUAAAAAAUAUGUUUAUACAAAAAAUUAAGAUAAACAGUAUGUAUAUAUAUGUAUAAAAGUAUGAAGUGAAUGAUAUAAAAAGAGCAAAUAAUAGCAGUAAAACAUUUCGAAAUAAAUAAAUAGGAUUCAAAAUAAGAUACGUAUAACAAUUUAAAAUAAGCAAUAUAUAAAUAAAUAGAGUUUAAAAUAAAUGAUGUAAAAAAAAAUUUUAUUUAAAAAAAAGGAACAAUAAUAUACGAAAAAGAAAAAAAGAUAUAUGAAGAAUAGAAAAUAUUUAUAUAAUAUGUGCAAAGAAACCAAAAUAAAUAAUGUAUGUAGAGUAGUUUAGAAUAAACAAUAUAUGCAAAACAACUUACAACUUUGAGUAAUUGAUACAUAAAAUUGGUUAAAAUUAAUAAUAUAUGAAAAUGAACCGUAUAUAGAAUAUUUUAAACACAUACAAUAACAGUUCCUUUUUUAAGAAAAAGAAUUAAACAGGUGAAGGAUUAAUUCGAAAACAAUACAAAAUUCUAGGUAAAAAAUAAAAAGAUACUGCCAGGAUUAAAAUGAAGUGCACCUAAAAUCAUAAGGACCAAAUGGGAUAAAAACCAUAGCCCUAACAUGCGCAUGAGGCCCGACAGAUCAAAAGACUGAUUUAAAAAACAAGCAAAAUCUAACAACUAAAUUAAGAGAAAAAGCAAAGAUAAAAUAGGGCCUGAUCAAAGGACGCUAAAGAUGGAGGGACCUCGUGUGCAAAUAUCCUAAUAAUUGAGGAUACAUGAAUCCCCAUCCCCACCAACGGCACCGUUUUGUUUGGUGUUUAAAACACCCAUUCUCUUUAUUAUUUCAGCCCUAAUUUCAUAGAAGAAAAGAAAAAAAGAACAAAAAAAAUAGAAUGUUAAAGCUUCUCUCCCUCUCCUCUCUUACUGAAUCGUGAGCCCGUCGCCGUUGCAUCACCGCGCCCCCACCGUAUCGGUGGCUGGCGAUGCUCAAGGGUGGGUUUUUAGCCCCCGAUUCAACCAGGUAUGAAGGCUAAGAUUUUUUAACCAAGAAAACCCGAAAAUGAAGGGAUCUCCACCCGUUUUGGGUUCGGCUCCGACGACUGAGGGAACCGCCGACGGUGUGACCCAGGGGUUCGGGUAAGUUUUCUCCCCGUCUUCUUUUUAUUUCUUGUUCUUGAAGCUUAAAAGCAAAAUCAAAAAUGAAAAAAGAAAAAAAGAAAUCAGAAAUUGAAAAAACGUAACCUUUUUCUUUUGUUUUUGCUCUUUUAUUUCUGAAAUAUGCGUGUGUACAAGAAUGGGGAUCCCUUUUUUACAAUUGCUUUCGGCUUCUGUUUUUAGCCGAAUGAGAUAGAAUCCAAAAUCUCCCCCUUUUACAUUGAAAAUGAAUGGCUCUUUAUAGCCGAUUAUACAAAGUCCUAUUGUUGUUUUGUUACUGUUUGCUGCGUUUCUGUUUCUGUUGCUGCUUCCGUCAUGUUUGCAGGUGUUCAAGGAGGUGAUGGGAGCAGGUGGAGGAGAGAUGGCGAUGGGACGUGCGGCUGACAGAGAGCAGCGGCAAGUGGGAUACUAGGGUUUCAGUUUCUGAAACCCUAGUCUGAUGUGGGCUUGGCUGUUGGGCCAGGGUGCUGGGCCUUUUAUUUCUUUCUUGGGCCCGGGCAAAUGGGCCUGCAACAGGAAUCCCCAAGUUUCUAGAUAUGUUGCUAGCUAUGUAUGAGUGAGUAGACCCUAUGUCUAUCAAGGUAAUAUAUAGUACAUCAAGAAUAAAGAACGUACCCGUGAUGACGUUCGGAGCAUCUCUAUUCUCUCGGCGACAAGCAACAUAUACUAGGGCCGACUGCCUUGCCUCAGCCUGUCCAACACCUCUGCUUCGGUGCUCUCUACCUAUGACCCAUACCAUUACCACAUCUGGCCUGUCUAUGGCCCCUCGGUGGUUACUGUACUACCUUUUAUAACUAUACCGUACCAGUACCCGAAGUUUUCAUCUGAUCGGCCCUUAACGAACACUCCUUACAGUACUCUAAUGACUCAUACCGCAAGCACACCUCAGUCUUUCUCUAACACUCGCCCUGAUGGCGUCUACCACAAUCAGUACUUAGCUGCAGUUCAGUAACAGUAACAGAGGGCCCAGCUCUAACCGACCCAUCAACUCUGCCCUUUUUCUUAGGCCUCUGUGCAGAACUCGAAGGCUCUAAAUCCCUCUUAUUCUUACCUCUCUCACAGUAAUAGUUCUGGCGCUCAGCGCGCUUAAUCUCAUCGGUGAUCUUCGCCUUCUCCACUAGUGUAGAAAAAUCACCUCUCUCUACGGAGCUAUCAAGACUCUCAAAUUAUCUCUGAGCCCAUCCUCAAAACGAAUACAUCGCUCAUACUCAGAGGCCACCAUACCUCGCGUAUAGCGGCUCAGUCACAGGAACUCAGCCUCAUACUCGGCCACUGAUCAAUUUUUCUGAGUCAAAUUUAAGAAGUUCCUUUUACGGGUAUCCACGUAGCUCGCCCUCACAUAUUUCCCCUAAAAGGCAGUUUUAAAGAACUCCCAGGUUAGAUGUUCGGGCUGAGUGCCCUCCUUAACAAUGAGUCAUCACUGAUAAGCCUCAUCCCUCACCAGUGAGACUGCACCCUUUAAUUUCUGCUCUAGGGUGCAGUCUAAGUCAUCCAUGAUCCUCUCCGUGGCCUCAAUCCAGUACUCGGCCAUAUUAGGGGCAACUCUAGUGACACCCCUGAAAAGCUCAACUCCAUUGGACUAGAGUCGUUUCGUAUUCGAUCCUCGGACCCCUAAUCUAGUAUUGAUCCGAGCGACCCUCUCCAAAAUCCUUAGCAUAGCUUGGGAUAAUGCGUCGUCCUCAGCCAUGCGAUCUUGAGACCCAGUCUCAGUAGUAGGCGACACUAGCGUCUCACUAGUAUCCAAAUUCGGUAUGCUACCCAAUGAAGAGGACUCAGAUCGAGCUCCUUUGUGACCUCUACCUCAGCCUCUAGUACCCCGUCCACAGAUACAUCGUAUGCUCAUUGUCUAAUCACGUUUAUCUGUAUUAACAGUUUUAUGAAUCAGUUACGGUUUCAGUGUUUAUUAACAAAUGUUUUAUGUAAAAUAGUAUCGGUUAUUCAAAGUUCGUUUUGUAAAUCACAGUCUUACUAUAGUUUUUAGUUUUUUUACAAUUUUUAUUAUACACUAACUAGAGUGUUUUCAGUACAGUUUACUACCUAUAGUAGAUUCAGAAUAUACUAUCCAUAACAGUUUCAGUUUAAAACAAAUCACAGUUCAAAAUACUUACAGAAUCGACACCGGAGACUCGGUGUACCACUUACUUAGUACAAACAUUUCAAAUCAUUUAGAAAUUAAUCAACUUUUCGAAAGCUCAAUUUUUACAAAACCCAUAAUCCACUAUCGAGUUCUGUAACUUGGCUCUGAUACCACUAAAUGUAACACCCCAAACUCGGCCUAGACGUUAUGGUCGUAUCUGUUAAUGUCACAUGAUAGUGUUUUUGAAACCUCGUUGUUACGAUGAAAACAUUUCAUGUUAUUAUCUUUAGUAAACCUUUGUUAGAACUUAGAAAGUUGUCUUUAUUCAUUUAAAACAUUUUUUUUGAAACAUCCCUCAUUGCAGAAGCUUUAAUAAAAUAGUCUAGGUGAUCAUGCGUUUAGAAAAUAUAACUUUAUGAAAACUGAAUUUCCUACGACCAGCAGGUAUAAAUCUAUAAAGUAAAAUAAAUAAAUAAAAACCCAAAUUUAAAACCAAAGUCUCAAAGGGUCCUUAAAUUACAACCCAAAUAAUCAAUAAUAAUCAAAUCAUAUAUCGUAAAUUGAAAACCAUGAACUCAAAAAAUUACUAUAGUCACCGUUGAGUCCUUCGUCGCACCGAUCUGUCUAAGUUUGGGGAUUACCUGUGAACAUUAAACAAAAAGGGUGAGUUUACGUAAACUCAGUGUGUAAUCUCGUAGAAAUAAACAAAUAAUCAGUAUUCACAGUGCACAGUUGAAUAGUCUUGGGCCUAAGCCCUUUUCAGUAUUAGUCAUAGUUUGGGCCUUAGCCCAUCUCAGUAUAGUGUUAGAAAUGCAAUAGGGUCUUAACCCAUCAUAGUAUCAGUAGUAGUAACAAUUAUGCAGCAGCAAAAUCCUACCCAACCAGCCUCUACACACCAUUUUCGUCUAACCCUACACUCCAUGUGGGGAUAUAAUCAACCCACCCAUCCCUACACUCUAAGUAGUACUAAAUGCGACACAAAACAGUAGUUUGCAACUGAGCUGCUAGUAAAUUAGGCUAAAAGCCUUUCAGAACAUUUCCUCCGAAUAACAACCCCUAACCUAAUGCAAUGCAACAUACAAUAGAUGACAUGCUAUUAUGCAAUUUCAGUACAUAUAUUCAGUUCAAAUAUUAACAUGCUCAGUACAUAUAUCAUUCAAUCAAUUUCACACAUUUAGGUGUCUAAGUAGCGCUUAUCAACCCUACAGUGGGUUCACAGUCGACUUGGGCGACCCGUGCAAUCUUACAAACAUUUCGGUGAAAAUAGGCUCACACGCCCAUGUAAUCUACCCGUGUGGCCCACUUGGCCCAAAUUGGCCUUGGCCGUGUGAUCCAUUUUUAAUGUAACCCGUGCUAGCUAAAUAUUCAUACAUGUUUUCACUAUUUACUUAUAUGUUCAUUCAAAAUUGUCUACUUGAGUCAUUGUCACUAAAUUAUUUAUAUCUUGAGCUACAGAAUUCCAAAUUAAGAUUCGCUUGAUGUUUUUGAAACUAGACUCAAAUACCUUUCUACCAUAAAAAUUUUAGAAUUUAUAGUUUAUCAAAUAAGUACAGUAAAAUCUUUAAAUUUAUCCCACUUCUGUUGUUUGACAGCUUCAACCUUUCCUUACUAAAAAUUAUUUAUCUCUUAGUACGAAUUUGGAUGAUGUUUCUAUUUGUUUCUCUUGAAAAUAGACUCAUUAAAGAUUUAAACAUAAAAAUUUAAGCCCAUAAAUAUUUUUUAAAAAUUUUUGGUGAUUUUCCAAAGUCAAAAUAAGGGAACCCAAAAUUAUUCUGACAUUGUCUCACAAAAUUUAUUAUAUCUCAUAAUUUAAAAUUCCAUUGAUUACACUGUUCCUUACAUAAAAGACUAGACUCAAUAAACUUCAAUUUCAUAUUUGAUUCAACCUCUAACUCAAUUUCUACUAUUUUUGAUGAUUUUUCAAAGUUAGACUACUGCUGCUGUCCAAAACUAUUUUAGUGCAAAAUGUUGAUUUCCAAGUUUAUAACACCCUUAUUUCCUUUUUCUAUAAUUUUUUGCAUCAUUUUCUCUUAUUUCUCUUAUGUCUCGACAGCAAACAAUUUUAGCUUUUCACUGAAUCUCAUUUUUUGCAUUUCGAGUACAUAACUGGUAUCGUUUCGCUGUAAAUACGCUCCCAAACACUCUAAGACCUAAAAAUCGGUAAUUAGAGCCCAAUUUAGAUCACUAACUAAAACUCAAAACUGAAAAUCGUCUACAUUGAAAUCGAUAGCGAACCUAAACACUUACCUGCAACGAACCAAAAUUUCUAAUGCUCAAUUUUCUUGUGAAGCCGCAUCUGAUUUCUGAUUUUCGCCUAAACCAAGAGAGCCAAAACAAUCUUUUUUAUAAACUAGCUAAAAAGCGAUAAAAUAGAGAAAGUCAGAUACUUACAGAAUGAGUGUAUACAAUUUCUGGCUGGAAAGUAGGCUAGUAGAAAAAUCAAACAAUGAGGGUGGACUAGGGAGCAAAAAUUUGGCAAAGCAAAGAAGAAGAAGACGACAGAAAAAUUGGGGAAAAGAGGAGAAUGCCGAAAUUUGGGAAAAUAAAAACCAAAUAGAAACUUAGAUGAUAUCGUUAGCUACCCCACAUCCCUAAAUUUUUUCCCACUAAUCCUACUAACCUACAACCACUCCAGAAUCCCACUCUGCCGAAAUACUUGUCCAUCACUGCGCAAAAAUAACACCUAUGCUCGAACAUGGAUUCAAACUCAGGACCUCAUGCAAUCAAACACUCCAUUUAACCACUAAACCAGCAAGCCCAUUUUGUUAUUUAAUUACCAACUAUUAAACUUAAGCCCUUUAGGCUAGGUUAAGGCUUUAUUUAUAAAAGUACUAAAAUUUACCCAAGUCAUGGCUUGAACUUGGGACCUCCCACACACACCCAAAACACUUAAGCAUUGAAGCAGACAAAUACUUAAUAUCACAUAUACACAAAAACAAGAAUUAAAAAUUUUGGGGCGUUACAAUGAGAAGGAAAAACUUAACGAAAGAAAUUGAAGUUUCUUGGGGCUACCUUUGUAGAAAUAAGAGAUCAAUAGAGUUUCUUGGAAUUGAAGUUACAGUUUCAAAUUGUAUUAGCUUUUAUGUAGUACAACAUCAAUAUCAAUGUCCAUCAUCUUAUGUACUUUUUUAUUUGUUUACUUUUGUACAUUGAGUUGAAUGUUAGUGGUAUAUGUUAGUGGUAUACAUUUUAGCUAAAUGUUAGUGUAUUUUAAUUGUUGGAUCGAUUUUUGUAGUGAAUAUUAAAUCUUUAUUUUAAUUUUAAUUUUAUAUUUUUUUGUUGUAUUUAUAGCACAAUUCCUAUCAUUAUUCACUGUAAAUAUUUAUAAAAAUAUAUUAAUAUUGAAAUAAUAAAAAAUAGAAAAAAUUACAUUAUACGUGUCUAUUCCAAUCUUUUUAAGAUUACCUUAGACGGGUUUAUCCCAACCUUUUUUUAAAGGUUGCCUUAGACAAGAUUUAUCCCAACCUUUUUAAGGUUGCUCUAAACGGGUCUAUCCCAACCUUUUUUAAAAGUUGCCUUAGACAAGGUCUAUCCCAACCUUUUUAAAGUUGCCUUAGACGGGUCUAUCCCAACCUUUUUUAAAGGUUGCCUUAGACAUGGUCUAUUCCAACCUGUUUAAGGUUGCCUUAGAUAGGUCUAUCCCAACCUUUUUUAUAGGUUGUCUUAGACAAAGUCUAUCCCAACCUUUUUAAGGUUGUCUUAGACGGCUCUAUCCAAACUAUUUUUAAAAGUUGCCUCAGACAAGAACUAUAUCAACCUUUUUAAGGUUGUCUUAGAUAGGUCUAUCUCAACCUUUUUCAAAGGUUGGCUGUAACUAGGUCUAUCCCAACCCUUUUUAAUGGUUGGCCUUGACUAGGUCUUUCCCAACCCUUCAAUAAGGGUCGGCUUAUGUUGACUUAUGCUGACGUUUUUUCAAAAGUGUUGUGGAGCCUACGCCAACUGUAUUAUAGACAACCUUUUCGAAAGCAUCAGGAGAACCGUCGCGAAACUUAUGCCAACCUUUUUUACGUUGUCUUAGGUCAAAAAAAAGUGUCACGAUAGGCUUAUUUUAUUGUAGUGAUAGUAAUAUUUUUAGCUCUUAAAAAUCUAAAUUAUAUAUAAUAUGUAUUUACAACUCUAAAUAUUAAAGCUUGAUUAGAUAUAGGUUAUUUGAACUUUUCAUCUUAAAUAAAUUUGAGGAAAUUAAAUAUGGAAAUUUUAAUUAAAUUAUUUUAAUAUAUAUACACACCAUUAUUUUCAUUCAUUAAUAAUUUUAAACUAACAUUUUUUCUUCAGUAAAUUUCACUUUAAUCCCUUUCUUUACUUUUCUAAUGUUAUUUUUAUUUUUUUGUCCUUUAUUUUUCUUCUAUUUUAUAAAUUCUUUGAUCUUAUAUGUUUCAAGUAUCAAAGUGUAAAUAAAUAUAAAUAUUAAAAAAUGCCAAAUGUAACUCUAUGUGAUAUUAUUUAAUUGCUACUCAUUUCUUUUUGUUUCAAAAAACAAUGGAAAACUUAAGAAUUUUAAAGUUUUUGGUAUCAAAUAUAUAUAUCUAUACAUUUACAUUUUAAACUCCAAACUUAAAUAAAUAGAGAAAAUCUAAAAAUUUAAAAUAAAAAUAAAUAAAAAAUGAAUAUUUAACUUUUUUAGUACACAUGUAUCAUUCAGACAAUUUUAAUAUAACAAAUAAUCAAGUAAUUGGGAUUUAAUAUUUAAUUAAAAAUAUUCUUCUAAAAAUUGUAAAUCGCAUAACAUUGAAAGUCUUUAAAUAAUAUACUAAAGGGGUGAGCAUUCAAUCAAAUCGAAUGAAAAAAUUUUGAGUUAAUCGAGUUGACGAAUAAUAUUUUAUUAUCCUAACUAGAUUUAAAUUUUUCUCGAAUAGAGUCUAGUGAGAUGGAACUCGAAUCGAAUCGAAUAUAUUUGUUCGAGUUAAAUUAAGGUCCUUGUAAUCAUUGUCACCCACCGCAAUCAGAUUUGUUAUUAACUUUCACUCCCUCAUAAUUUAUUUAUUAAUCUUUUAUAUAGGGUUAGAUUCUUUGCUUGCUUAGUUGCUUCAAUUAUCUUCUGAUUUUGUCACUAUGUAUUCUGAAAUUUAAAAAUAUAUUAAAUGUAAAAAAUGUGAUUUUUUUAAUAAAAAAAUAUCUUAAAGGUAAAAUAUAAAAUUGAUACCAACAUAAAAUUUUAGCACGAAUAUUUUAUGCCAUCAUCAAUAAUUUAAUUUUAACAAAAAAAAUUAUAAAGAUUCAAUAUGAUAAAAUAAUUCAAUAAUAUUGAUAAGCUAUAAAAGUAACAUAUUUUAAUCUCAAUCUUAAUGUGUUUUUAGAUGAUUAAUUAUGCAAAUUAGUGAAUUUAAUGCUCCUAAUCCAUUAAAAUAAUGCAUGGUACUUUUGAUAUUGUAUAGUUCUUUUGAUGUCAAAAUAAUGCAUUAAAAUUUAUUCAACUGUCAAUUUAAGUGGAAAAAGUUGGAGAUGAAAUUUGUAAUUAAACCUUCUUUAAUUUACGUCUUUUUCCCUAAAAAUAUAUUUUUUAAAAAUAUUAAAUGUUAUAAAACUUGGGACAAAUAUUAAAUGUUGGAAAGUGGUUAAGAAAAUCAUUAUCAUUAUAAUUCAUCCUCAUUAUUGAUCAGUGUCACUGAAGCAAUGAAUUUCAAUGGGUUUGGUAAUGGAUGAGAGUUUGCUAAAAAUCUUCCUUUUGGUUUGUAACCAUUUUCACUUACAUAGUCUAGGAUAAGAAUGUUAAAAACCUAUGUUAUAUCCAUAGAAAUUGAGGGCUAUAUUUCUUAUCAUCACAACAAGCGCAAGCAUUGUUGGGGUAUAUCCACUUGUCUUAAACCACUAGAAUGUACAAGUAGCAAAAGAUAAUAAUGAUUAAAAGCUUGGGUAAUUAAUUUUGUAGUAUAUAGUCGGUCCAACACUGACUUAUAUCUAAGCAAAGUGCAUGCAUCAACUACAACAUUUUUUCUCUGAUUACCUUCUCCUUUCUUCUAUCAUUCUAGAGUGUAAACAAUUCACUCAAAGGCAAACAAUUUAUAGAAUUGUCUAACCAUGUGUAUUGCUGCUUUCAUUUGGCAAGCUCAUCCACUCUACCCUCUACUGCUUUUACAAAACAGAGAUGAAUACCACAACAGGUAUGUUUCCAUUUCACUUCAAUCAUUCUUCUCUUGAAAAUAUAUUUAUCUUAUUAAUAUAUAUGGGUGGAAUUGAAGGCCUACGAAGGCACUUGCAUGGUGGGAUGUUGAUGGUUGUGAGAUAUUAGGAGGAAGAGAUGAAGUAGCAGGAGGGACAUGGUUGGCUUGUUCAAGACAAGGCAGAGUUGCUUUUCUCACCAAUGUGUUGGAGCUUCAUCCCCGUCCCGACGCCAAGACCCGCGGUGAUCCCCGUCCCGACGCCAAGACCCGCGGUGAUCUUCCACUUCUUUUCCUGGAGGUAAAUAAAUCUAUAUGCCUUUUUUUUCUUCUUUUUAUUUGGUCGAAGCCAGCUCACCUAUCAAAAACGGUGGUCAUUCAUUAAAAGUAAACACACUGUUGUUGAUACAGAGCACAAAGAGCCCCAUGGAAUUUGCGGAGCAACUGGCCACCGAUGCUCAUCAGUACAAUGGAUUUAACCUCAUAGUGGCUGAUAUUCCUUCCAAAUCAAUGGUUUACAUCUCGAACAGGCCAAAGGGGGAACCCAUUAACAUUCAACAGGUUUCUCCGGGGCUUCAUGUUCUUUCAAAUGCCAAGCUUGACUCUCCCUGGCAUAAGGUACAUUAACUUGUUUCAUGUGUUAUAUUCCUAUAAAGUUAUGCCCAAAGGCAGAUGGACGCUGGAGAAUUGAUUCAUCCACUCCCAUUGUGCAGGCUUGGCGGUUAGGUAAAGGCUUCAAACAGAUGCUCAAUAGAUACGGUAAAAAUGAAGUAAACGUGAAAGAAAUGGUUGAGAAACUUAUGAAAGAUAAAGUGAAAGCUGAUAAAAGUAAGUUACCUGGCAUAUGUGAUCUCGACAUGGAGUUCAACCUUAGCUCCAUAUUUGUUGAAAUGGACACCCCACUGGUAAAAUUCCAAGUUCUAAACCAUCCUCCUACUAAAAUUUAUGUAGAACAAUGUUGAAGCCAAUAAAAAUUGUGGUUGUUUCAACUUACAUAUCCAUCUAUUUUCCGGAAUACAGGGGCUUUAUGGAACAAGGAGUACUGCAGCAAUAACCGUAGGUGCUGGUGGGGAAAUUAGCUUUUAUGACGAGUAUCUAGAAAAGGGUGUGUGGUUUGAGAGAACAGUCAAUUAUCAUAUCCAGAAGCUCAAGUAGAUUGAAUCCAUGUCAAAGCAAGGGAUUUUACUACUCAAGUUAUUUAUUGAUUUGCGAAUGUUAUAAGCAUUUUAAGUUUAUACUAAUUGUAACAUAGGAGUGAUGUAUGAUGUAUCUCAUUCUUAAUACUUUACAUUUUCACUUUAAACUCCAAACUUAAAUAAAUAGAGAUAAUCUAAAAAUUUAAAAUAAAAAUAAAUAAAAAAUGAAUAUUUAACUUUUGUAGUACACAUGUAUCAUUCAGACAAUUUUAAUAUAACAAAUAAUCAAGUAAUUGGGAUUUAAUAUUUAACUAAAAAUAUUCAUCUAAAAAUUGUAAACCGCAUAACAUUAAAAGUCUUUAAAUAAUGUCACAUACAUGAUUUUUUUUUUGUAAAUAUACAUGGUCUGUUUUUAUUUAUAAAACUUCCUUUUACCUCAUUUUUCUUCAUUAAUGUCUACAAAUUUGAAGGGAGUCAUGUACCGAUUAAAUUUGAAUCCUAUCAAGAAUGAGCUUUUGAUUGUUAUAUUUGAUGUUUUCCUAUUAGUUUAAGAUCCCCAAUAAUUAAGCAUGCUUUCUUAAUAAUUGGAAAAUAUUUAUUUAAAAUAUUACUGUAACAGCUUAAUUUUAGGCCUAGUCGGAACAGUAGUUUCGGGACCACGAAUCUGACGAGGAAAAUUUUAUUUUUUAUUAUAUUUUUAUAGUCUACAAUUUCACAGAAUGAUUUCGUGAAAAUUUUGUUCAAAAAUUUCGACGUUUGUGCACUCAAUUUAGCCAAAAGGACUAAAUUGUAAAAAGUGCAAAAGUUGAGUUCUACAUGUUAGAAGUGUCCAAUUGUUAUGAAAUUUUAAAUUGGAGGUCCUUAAAUGGUAAUUAGACCAUUGGUUAACUUUUUGGACAAAAAUGGACAAGAGAUAAGUGAAAUAAGAUAUUUUUAAGUUUGGGGCAUUUUGGUCAUUUAGUAAUUAAAAGAAUUAAAAAGGCCAAAAUAGCCAAAAAUUUGUCCAUCUUCUCCAUGGUGAACGAAAUCAGCAAGGGGAAGCCAUGGUUAGGGUUUUCAAGCUUCCAAGCUCCAUAGCAAGUGAUUCCAAGCCCCAUUUUUAAUGUUCUUUACAUUUUUGGAGUCUCAGUAACUUGAUUUAGCUUAUUCUAACAAUAAUUUAACCUAGGGUUCAUAUUUGGAAAAAUACCCAUAGGUGAAAUGUGUUUAUUUUGAUGUUUUAUGGUAGUGUAUGAAGCUUGAAAUUAUGUUAAAUAACUUUUGCUAGCCGAUUUUAAGUGAAAACGAGUAAAUUGACAUAAUCGAUAAAAAUACCUAAUGUUCAUAAGUAAGUGUUAGAGUGAGAAUUUGAUGUUGCCAUAGAAGGGAAAAAUGUUCAGCAUGUCAUAAAACAUAAGAAAAAGGAAUAACGUUUAAUCUCCGAGCCUAGGGGCAAAAUUAUAAUUUUGUAAAACUUUAGGGGCAAAAAUGUAAUUUUGCCAAAAUGUGAUUUUUGGACUGGAUUGAAUAAUGUGAGUGUUAAAUAAGUUAAAUAUGUUAUUAUAAGUCAAUAAAGACAAGGAAAUGACUUUGAUUAGUGAAAAAGAAAAAAAAAAGAAGAAAAACUGAGAAAUUUCCCGAUUGAACAUUCGGAAUAAAAAGGGAUAUGAAUGAAGUGACAGAAAUGAUCACAUGCGUGGCAUGGACUGUGUGUAGGCCACUAUGUGAAAGUGAAAGUGAUGGUCACGUGUGUAGUACUAUGUGCAGGCUACUACGUGUACCAGAAUGAUAGGUCGCAGGUGUAGUACUAUGUGCAGGUUACUAUGCGUACCGGAUAGCUUCGAUCACGUGUGUAGUACUAUGUGCAGGCUACUACGUGUAUCGGAUAGUGAUGGUCACGUGUGUAGUACUAUGUGCAGGCUACUAUGUGAACCGGUAUCAUUAAUUAUAAGGUGGUUGCUAUGUGUUAAUCCCACAAGAUAUCAUUGAUUACAAAGGGUAGUUGCUGUGUGCUGAAUCCAUCGUAUAUAUGUUAUUAUUCUAAACUGUUCAUCAGGAAAUUGACUAAGUGAAAAUACAUGAGAUCAUGUAAUGAUUAAGUGUGAUUGAAUGAUGAAUACAUGUGUGGAAUUGAAUUGAAUAAUGAUUGAAAGUGAAAAGUGAAAUUAUGAAAAAGUAAAACUAGCAACAAAUAGUUUUAGACAGUAACAAUAGUGUGACUUUGAAAAAUCACCAAAAAUGGUGGAAAUUGAAUUAAAGAGUGAAUAAGAUAUGAAAUGAAAGCUUAAUGAGUCUAUUUCUACAUAAAAGAAACAGAGCAAGCAAAAGAGUUAUAUAUUUUGAGAUAUUUGAAUUUUAGUGAGGCAGGGUUGGAUUGAUUUUGGAAUCCCCUAUUCUGAAUUUGGAAAAUAAUUAAAAAUUGUAAAAAUAAUAAUUAUGAGUUAUAAUUUAUAUUCUUAGAAUCCUUAAUGAGUCUAUUUUCAAAGGAAAUAAACAUAAAUAUCAUCUGAAUUCUGUAAAAUGAGAUAAUUUAUUUUUAGUGAAGAGAUGUCAGAGAUGCUAAGCAGUGAAAUAGGGGUGAGUUUAAAGAAUAAACUGUACUAAUUGGCUAAGAAAAAAAUUCUGAAAAUUUUAUGGUAAGAAUAUAUGUGAGUUUAGUUUUGGGUAAAAUUAACGGAACUUAAUUUGGAGCUUUGUAGCUCAGGAUAAAAAUAAUUUAGUGACUGUAACUCGACUAGAUAGCUUUUGAAUUUAAAUAUAAGUGAAUAGUGAAAUUAUGUAUAAUGCUAUUUAAGCAUGUUAUAUACAUAAAGGAUGUGGGAUGGAGAGGAGGAGGAGGACAAUAAAGCAUAUGCGUGUGGUAGAUUAGCAUGAAAUGAUGUCGUGAGUGGCUCAUGAAUUAACUCAUGUUGGUAAGUUGAUGCAUAAUUAUAGUAUUCAAAUAUAUUACAUAUUUGUAAUAUUUUGCUAUGUGAUUCGGAAAAAGGGGAAUAAAUAGCAUAAUGAAAAUUCGGCCAUGGUGCUAGUUUAUGUUAAAGGAGUGUUUUAUGGCAUAUCUUAAGUAAUGGAAUGUUAUGAAUUUUGAGAUUAAUUUGCUAGUCAAAUAAAUGACAAAUGAAUUGAUUGCGUAUUCGUAAUUUUGACAUAUGCUUGGUAUAUGAAACGUAAUAAUAUAUGCUUGAACAAACUUUAAGUAUUCGAAUGACAUGGAUUUGAUGGUGAUAAGAUUCGAACAUUGAAUUCAUGAAGCACAAGUGAUGUAUUAUUGUUGUGUGAUAGCUUGGUUUGAGAAAUUGGUUAGGUAAAUGGUAAGUUAAAGCAUUUAUGGAUAUAGAAGAAAAUUUGGAGUGAAUAUGAAAUUUAGCUCAAUUAAAUGAUUUCAUCAAUUAAACAUUGUGUAUACCAGAAUGUGUUAGUGAAUUACAUAUUCAUAAAUUGACAUUCGAAGUUCAGUUAGUGAUAUAUGAAAAUAACAUGAAAAGAUUUAUGAUUGUGAUUAAUAUUGAUUCUAACUUAAAGUGGAUUCUUCAAUAUUGGAUUGAUUUAACGGAUAUAUUGAGCAUAUGAAUGGGUAUGUAUUGGGCCUCGUAAACCUUAAUUAGCGACUCAAAGAUAAUAAUUUGAAAGUUUUUAAUUUGAAUGAAAUUUUAUAACUCAGUUUAAUAUGUUUAUAAGUGUAUUUAUUCUAAUAAUGCCUCGUACCCUAUUCCAGCGUAGAAUACGAGUAAGGGGUGUUACAAUGUGACAUCACUAGAUUCGGCCCUAAUGUUUAGGCCGGGUUUGGGGUGUUACAAUUACUUUUGAAAGUAUUUCUAUGAAGCGUGUCUCGUAUUUUCGGUCAAGCUAAAUGGCAAAGCAAAGGCAACAUUGAGACAUGGAGCAUAGGAUGUCACAAUGACGUGACGACAUUCGAAACUAAAUCGAAGCAGGGCCGACGUCACGAUGAGGGGACCUACGAUGUCGUGACGAUGCAACGAGGCAGCCACGUCUCUUGACAACUUAAUGGAUUUUCCUUCUCCCAGUUGAACUUUGAUUUUCGGUUCUCUUUUCUCAAUUUAACUCUAACUAUUCUAGGGAUAUUUUUGUAAUACCCUAUAUGUAGCACCUUUAACCCGUAUCCAUUGUCAGAUUAGAGUUACGAAAUAUUACCGAGUAAAACAAAACAUUUAACUUCACAACAGAAACAAUUAUAUUAAUUAAAUGUAAUCAUGGUAAAAAUAUAAUUACGGGUCUUAACUCGAGUUUACAGGGCCUUAAAAACAGUUUUGGAACAUUCAGGGAUCAAUUCGAACAAAUCAGAAAAUUUAAAAAAACAGGAAAAUUUUGAAAACAGGAAUCACACUAUCGUAUGACAUAGUUCAGAUCUUGUGGACAUUCGAAGUCUAGACACACAGCUUAUCCCAAGCCGUGUGAGUAUUCGGAAUAAGGCUACACGGACAUGUCAUAUGUCGUGUGCCAAAUCAUGUGUACUGUAAUAACCAAUUUUACCCGAGCUUAUUAAAAUUAAAUUAAAAUAAUAUAAAAAUCAAAUAAUAAUAAAAUGUCCAAUAACAGUCCAAUAAAAUAAACCCAUAAACCGAAUACACCCCAGCCCAAUAACCAAUUACAGGCCCAAUUCAAACCUAAUACCCAAAUUGCAACCCACAAGCCCAAAAGCAAGAAAAAUAGAAAACCCUAGACAGUAGCAGCUUCCAGCGCCGUUCUCCCUAUGUAGCCUCCGCGCGUGCUACGCCACCACCACGCGCGUUCCUCACAUGUGAACUAGGCCUCCACUCCAGCUUGCACCUGUAACAGACGUAACAAACUAGUAGAGAAAGCAAAGGAAAAAUGACAGCAAGGAAAAGGCAACACAGCAAAUAGGAAAGCAGUAAAUAAAAAAUGUAAAAAAUAUAUUUCGAUUGAUUUUAUUUUUAUUUUUAUUUUUAAGGAUUUCGGUUAUAAAAAGGCCAUUUGAGCACUAUAAAUGUGGACGCAUACAGAGAUUGAAUACAAAAAACAAAAAAAAAAUUCAAAGAAAAAGGUAAAUAGAGUUUUGUAAGAAAAAAAUGACAUUCUGCAUUCAUGCAAACAUCAUUCAUACAUUUGAAUUAUACAAGUCAUGUUCCCCCAGAGAACAAACCGGUGAAACUAUAAAGCCUGAGCAGCAGUGGAAUAGGUUGAAAAUAGCAGAUCUUGUUUUUCUGUACUGGCAGCGAAGCAGAUCGAAGAUAACAAGUCUUAUCUCCCUGACUUGCAGCGGAGCAGACUGAAGAUAGCAGAUCUUGUCUUCCUGUACUGACAGUGAAGUAGAUCGAAGACACCAGUCUUAUCGCCUUGAUGUUGCAAUGGAACAGAUUAAAGCUAAAGAUAGCGAAUCUUGUGUCCCUGCCGUUGCAACGGAGUAGAUUAAAGCUGAGGGCAGCAAAUCUUAUCUCCUUAGCGUUAAGACUUGGAUUAGCUGAAGUGGAGCAGAUUAAAGCUGUAGGCAGCGAAUCCUAUCUAUUUGGCAUUACAGUGGAAUAGAUUGAAGCUACAACAGCGAAUCUUACUUCCCUGGUGGUGUAGUGGAACAAAUUGAAGCUACGAUGGCGAAUCUAGUUUCCCCGACACUGCAGUUAAAUAGAUUGAAGCCAUAACGGUGAAUUUUACUUCCCUGGCGGUGUAGUGGAACAUAUUAAAGCUACGACGCCAAAUCUUGUUUCCCCGACAUUGCAGUUAAAUAGAUUGAAGCUACAACAGCAAAUCUUACUUCCCUGGCGGUGCAGUGGAACAGAUUGAAGCUACAACGGCGAAUCUUGUUUCCCCGACAUUACAGUUAAACAGAUUGAAGAUGGCGAAUCUUAUCUCUCUAAGGUUACAGUGGAGCAGAUUAAAGCCAAUAAUCCUAUCUCUCUGAGGUUGCAGUAGAGCGGAUUGAAGUGAUGAUCUUAUCUCUCUGAAGUUACAGUAGAGCAGAUCGCAUCCAAUUUUAUCUCCCUAAAGUUGUAGUGGAGCAGACAGAAGAAACCAAUCCUAUCUCCCUGAAAUUGCAGGGGAGCGGAUUAAAACUACAGAUCUUAUCUCUCUGAAGUUGCAAUAGAGCAUAUCACAACAGACUUAUCUUUUUAAAGUUGCAGCAGGACAAGUUGAAGCUACAAGUCUUAUCUCCCUGAAGUUGCAAUGGAGCAGACUGAAGAUAGUAAAUUUUUUUCUUUUGAAAAGACUACAAGUUACAAAUUGCAUCUCCCUAAUGUUACAGUGGAGUAUAUUGAAGCACCAAUUCCUAUACUUCUAAAGAUGCAGUAUGAUGGAAUGAGGCUACUUGAAGAAGAAGAGCACCAAGGUCCAGCAUGACCAGGCAAAAUUGGUCAUUUUUAAAGUCUUUGCUUUGUUCCCGUUACACGACAACAAGCAAAGAAGGGCAGCUGUAAUAACCAAUUUUACCCGGGCUUAUUAAAAUUAAAUUAAAAUAAUAUAAAAAUCAAAUAAUAAUAAAAUGUCCAAUAACAGUCCACUAAAAUAAACCCAUAAACCGAAUACACCCUAGCCUAAUAACCAAUUACAGACCCAAUUCAAACCUAAUACCCAAAUUGCAACCCACAAGCCCAAAAGCAAGAAAAAUAGAAAACCCUAGACAGCAGUAGCUUCCAGCGCCGUUCUCCCCAUGUAGCCUCUGCGCGUGCUACGCCACCACCACGCGCGUUCCUCGCAUGCAAACCAGGCCUCCACUCUAGCUUGCACCUGCAACAGACGUAACAAACUAGCAGAGAAAGCAAAGGAAAAAUGACAGCAAGGAAAAGGCAACACAGCAAAUAGGAGAGCAGUAAAUGAAAAAUGUAAAAAAUAUAUUUCGAUUCAUUUUAUUUUUAUUUUUAAGGAUUUCAGUUAUAAAAAGGUCAUUUGAGCACUGUAAAUGUGGACGCAUAUAGAGAUUGAAUACAAAAAACAAAAAAAAAAUAUUCAAAGAAAAAGGUAAACAGAGUUUUGUAAGAUUUUUUUAAAUUUUUCUUCACUUUUCUUUGUUUUUUUUUACUGCUUUGUUCAUUAAUAAUAUGUGUAAGGCCCAAUUUUUGUCCGGCCUGUUACAGAAAUAAAAAACCAAACAAAACCAAAAUGUUUCAGUCCAAUUUUGCUAAGCCCAAUAACCCAAUAGCACAGCCCAAAUCAAUUUAUCCUAAAACUAACCCAGCUACAAUCACCGAAACCCUAAAAUCCCUUAGCCACCGCCUCCAGCAAGUGUCCAAUCAGCGCACGUUUCGGAACCAGCCCUCUUCUCCGCGUCGUGCUCUCCACGUCUACCUGCGAAAACGGACUAAAAGAGUCCCAAUAUUGUAAAAUAAAAAUACAAAGUAUUUUCUUAGGCUAUAAAAAGCCUAACUUGUACACUGAUAAAAAUAAAAGAAUAGAGAACAGAAUAAAUAUUUUUACAAAGGUGAUUUUUUUUUGUUUUAUUCCGCAGUGACCAUUUUUUAUUUACAUAUGUUUUAUUUUCUUUUAUUUUCAUUUAUUUCGUAUAAAAUAACAAAGAAAAAAGAAAAGGAAAACAUACCUUUUGUCGGACUUGCCGGAUUGUUGCCAUCUCCAGCGCUAGGAGUUAGGGCUGAAAACCCUAGCAGAGGGCAUUUAGUUUUUUUUUUCCUUUCAUUCUGCUGCAAAUGUUUUUUAGAGAAAAAAAUUGUUUUAAAUAACAGAGCAAAACGGCGCCGUUUUACCCAGGCAUGACCCGCGCGGUGACCCGACCCGGAGGGAGGAUUCGCGCGUUUUGGUCGAAGGGAAAAUUUGCGCAAUUGGUCCCUCCCUUUUGCAAUGCGCUUCAAUUAAACCUGUUUUGUUUUUUUUAAUUUGGCCGCAUAUUUUAUUUUUGUUUCAAUUUGGUCCCUUGCUGCGCAGCAUUUUGGAGGGUAGGAUUAAUUUCCCUUCUAGUCCCCCAUUGUUGUUCGCGCGUUCAAGUUGGUCCUUUUUUUAUUUAUUUUUGAAUCUACCCCAUCUUUUCGUUUUUAAGUUCAAUUUAGUCCAUUUUUUAGCUUUUUCUUUUUUAUGUUUGUCAUUGUACCAUUAUUAUUAUUAUUAUUAUAUUAUUUGCUAUCAUUAUUGUUAUUGUAUUUUCUAUACAUAUAAAUACGCAUAUUUUUUAUAUAUAAUAUAUAAGCAUAUUUUUAAUAUAUAUAUUUAUAAGUACGCAUCUAUUUUAUACAUACAUACUUUUUUUUUUAUUUCCUAACCUUUAUGUACACGUAUAUAUACUUCUAUAUUUUGGUUUCAAAAUUUUUUAUACAUAUGCAUGUUCGUUUUUUCUUAUAUAUAUUAUUUUUCAUUUUUUUUACAAAACGUAUAUAUAUGUGUAUACAUACACAUUUUAAAAUACACACAUGUUUCCCAUAUUUUACAAUUCAAAAUACACAUUUUUUAUAUUAUAUAUAUACAUUCUUUAUAUUUUUGAGUUAUUAUAGACAUUUUUAUUAUUCUAUAUAUACUCCGUUAUUUAUGUACAUAUCAUACAUAUAUAUAAAUUUUUUAAUAUAUGUAUACAUAUUUUCAUGUUUUACCAAUACAUAUAUACUUAUACAUUUUUUUUCUGUAAAUAUAUACACAUAUACAUACUUUUAUAGUUUUAUUUUAUUUUCACGGUUUUCAAAUGCACAUACGUGCAUUUUUUAUGAGUUUUUGAUUGAUAUAUUCCAUUCCAUUUUUUUAUAUGUAUCCUUGUAUAUGUGUGUAAAAUAUAUGCGUACACAUAUUUUCAAAUUUUCUUGUAUAUUGUACUUGUAUGUAUAUAUUUUGUAAAUACAUAUUCAUAUAUGUUUUAAAUUAACGUUUUGUUUCAUAUUGUACGUUAACUUUUAACAUACCUUUUGGGAAAUAUAUUUUGGUUUUGUCAGUAUAUCAAAAUCAUUUUCUCUUGAUUCAAAGUUUUUUUGAAUAAAAGCAAUAUUCAAGUUUGAGAUUUUUGAGGAAAAUUGAGCCCUAACGUAUUGGGUUCUGAUUUUCUUUGUUAAUCUUAAAUAACCGAGGAUAUUCUUUAUUCAAAAUGCAUGAGUAUAAAGAUCAUUUUUGGGAACUUAACUUGUUGUGUCCUAAUGUAUUGGGCGUGACAUAUUACUUUCUCAAAAUGAAGAUUUUCACAUAAAAUAAAAGUGAUAUUCAAAGUUCGGGGAUUUUGAGAAAUUGUACCCUAACGUAUUGGGACUCGAUUUCUUUACAUGACUUGAACAAUUGAUUAUCCUUUUCAAAUUUCAUCAUUUAAGUUGUUUUAAAAAAAAUUAGCCCUCGACAUUAAGACAUUAAAUAAUUAAUUUGGUACAGAUUUUGGGUGUCACGAGGGUGCUAACCCUUCCUCGUGCGUAACUGACUCCCGAACCCAUUUUCUCAAAUUUCGUAGACCAAAAUACGUUUUAAGGUGAACUGAUCACACCUCAAUAAAAGAUCGGUGGUGACUCCAAUUUUGUUUUUUUAAAAAGUCGACAACUACAUUUUUGAUUUAGAAAUGGUUUCGACAGCUUGGCGACUCCACUGGGGACACUAGAGAGUCGAGCCAUAAAUUGAUUAUUUUUGUCUUGUGAUUGAAAAAUCAAAUUUGUUUUAAAAUCAUGAUUUCCCUUUACAUUCAUUGAUUUUCAUCAUGAUAUAUUUGCAUGAUGGGUCCGAGUCGAUUAAUUUGUAUUUGCAUUAUGCAUUGCAUUGGUUGGUCAGUGUUACCUCUUUAAGUGGGAGCGAGAAACUAGUCCUUCGUGAGGUUUUGACCUCCGUGCAGGGUAGUAGACCGCUUUCGGGAUACAUCCGUACCUAUGUCUUCGUGAGAUUUUCAUCUCCGUGCAGCCAUAGGGAAAUGUAUUCCCUUGAACUGAACUCAGUCCAUAUGAGCCUAUAAUGGGUGAGGAUCGAGGAAUCUGCUGGUUCGGGUACCUUUGCUCUAGAAACUAAACCUCAUAUACUGAGAUUUAGGGACUUGCCCUAGGUAGAGCUAUACCAAACCCUAGAGGAGUCCUGAAUAGGUUUUAUUAUUUCCUAUGUACGUUGAAUUAUGAUUUUAUGCAUGAUACUAACUUGUGUGUUUUGUUUUGGCGGUAUGGCAUUUUGACUGCAUGGCAUUUCAUUAUAGAAAAAAAAUGUUGAUUCAUGUUUGGUUGUUAAAUAGAGAGCUUGCUACGGAAAAUAGAUUUCUUGAUAAGGUGAAAGAUAAUACGGUUGUCUGAGUAUAGUCUAAGAAAACGUGACGCGAAAGGUAAUAGCGUAACAAGAGGAGUAUACGACUUUGCUGCGUUGCCCAAGGAUUCAAAUUGUCAAAGAUUAUUCAAGAGUCAUCAAACGUCCUAACCUCUUAAAGAAGCUCAUGGGCAUGAGUGAGCAAAGAGAUACGACCUAGAUCAAACAAAAUGGAGCUAAGAUUCGCAAAAUGCAUCUUAAUGUUCGAAUGGUCGAUGCCUUCACUUGGAGUACGAGCACAAAGCCGUAUAUAUAUAUCCGCUUUGUGUAAAGAGAUUUGUUUUCUAGUGAAGUUUUUCUAAUAAAGAAUUGAACUAGAAUCAACGUCUCUUUUUGCAUUUAUUUCAUGCAUUUGCAUUACAUUACAUCACAUGCAUUAAACACCGUAAAAGGAUCCUAAUUAACUAAAUCAUUGCUCAGUUAACCUGGAAACCAACCAACCAACCAAACACCAUUAUGACACUUGAGCAAAGAUUAAAGAUAUGGAUCAGAGAUUGGAAAAGCUCGAAUAGUACCAGAAGAAGAUGCAAGACCGACUUCAGCUGCAAGUGCAAGAACGGUUGGACAAGAUGCAAUAGGAUAUGUCAGAGAAGAUACAGGAAUCCCAAAAGGAUAUGAUGGCGAAGCUGACCCAACUAUUGACUGGAGGAAGUGAUAAGGGAAAAGGGACCUGUAGCUAAUGUCGAAGAAGGCAACGAGGAUGAACCUCUCUAUCCUCCAGGCUUUACUCCUCCACAUGUACGAACUCAAGCUGAGGUAUACCCGCACAAAUCUAUUGUCACAAUCAGGCCUCAGCAGUUCCAGGCCGGUACUUCAAAUUUCCAAGCUGGAUCGGGCUCUAACCCCGGGAACUACCCUAUUAACUCUGCCAUUCCUGACUUCGAUGAAAUGGCUGAAAAGGAAAAAAUAAAUGAAGAGUUACCAAGGCAGUUAGAAGAGAGGUGUAAAUGGCUCGAAGAGAAGUUCAAGGCGAUGGAGAUCACUGAAAACUAUCGUGGGAUCAACGCUAAAGAACUGAGUCUAGUCCUAAAUUUGGUACUCCCUCAUAAGUUUAAGAUGCCGAAAUUUGAAAAAUAUAAUGGGACAAGUUGCCCAGAAGCACAUAUCACCAUGUUCUGCAGGAGAAUGGCUGGAUAUGUUAACAAUGACCAGCUACUGAUUCAUUGUUUCCAGGAUAGCCUUACAGGGGCAGCAUCUAAAUAGUACAAUCAACUGAGCCAUACCAUGAUAGGUUCAUGGAGGGACUUAGCACAAGCGUUCAUGAAACAGUACAGUCAUGUAACAGACAUGGUUCCUGACAGAAUCACCCUUCAGAAUAUGAAAAAGAAGCCAAACGAGAGCUUUAGGUAAUAUGCACAAAGGUGGAGGGAGGUGGCUGUUCAAGUUCAGCCACUGCUCUUGGAAAGAGAAAUGUCAAUGCUCUUUAGAAAUAUAUUGAAAGCCCCGUUCAUUACGCAUAUGUUAGGAAGUGCUACAAAAAGCAUUUCUGACAUAGUUAUGAAUGGUGAAAUGAUCGAAAAUGCUAUAAGGAGUGGGAAAAUCAAUGCAGAGGAGAGUAACAAGAGGCCAGUCUCAAGAAGAAGAGAAAAUGAGGUGAACAACACGGGUUACUCUAAAUCAGUUACUAUGAGUCAGCCAAGAAAGUUGGUUGCUAACCAACAAGGUUCAUCAAGACAAGAAGAUGGUACAAGACAAAACACUAAGAGGCCCCAAUUCACGCCAAUUCCGGUGUCGUAUAGGGAGUUAUAUCAAAGAUUUUUUGAUGCACAUGUUGUUUCCCCUUUUCAUGUAAAGCCUCUACAACCUCCGUACCCCGAAUGGUAUGAUGUGAACGCACAAUGUGAAUACCAUGCGGGAAUUACGGGACACUCAAUAGAGAAUUACACUGCCUUCAAGAAGCAAGUUGAAAGACUCAUCAACACGGGUAUUGUCAAGUUUGGUGACUCAUCUAGUGCAGAAAAUCCGCUACCCAAUCAUAUUGAUAAUAGAGGUGAGAUUUUCACAUCGACGCCGUAUGUGCAGACACAACCAAAAGGGUUAUUGUUAGAUAUUCACCUGGAAGGUGCUAUAAAUAAUGGGACUGCAGAGGAAACCCCUAUAGUAUUUAGAGUCUGUUAGGGUAAUGUUCAGAACACACUUGUUGCUUUUAGCCUAGAAGCAAUAAGAACUUCUUUGUGAAAUAGGCUCAUGUCUGAACAUUGUUAUUUUAAUGAAAUACAUUAUUGCAAUCAUCUUUGAGCAAAUGUUCUUUCAUUCUUUACGAUUCUUUCAUUCUUUUGGAUUUUUUUUGCCAAACCAUUUUUUUCAUUCAUUCAUAUUAUUUAUAAAUUCAUACAUUAUUUUGUAUAUUCUUUGGUACCUACUAGGGGUCCCCAGAUAUCAAUGACAUGAGUGACGCUGCUAUAGACUCAGAACUUCCUUUUGAGUGAGACAUGUGUUUAGAGGGAUCUCAUGACUUUGAUGAUGACAUAGAUUGCAGCUUAUCUCCAGAUUUGACGAAGGUGAUAGAAUAAGAGGAUAAGAUAGAUCAUACCUCAUAAGAAAUUAUUAGAAAUUGUAAGCUUGGUGAAGAUUAAAAUUGACAUGACCACAAAGACGAAGUGGGACCUUAUGAAUUACCCUAAGAAUUCAAUGAUGUCUUCACAUGGUCAUACCCAGAUAUGCUCGGGUUAAGCACUGACUUUAUAAUCUGAAUAACAACAUGAUGUCAGAAAUUUGCAGUAGGUUCAGCAUUAAUGUUAUGAACGAUGCAGUGAAAUUUCUUUAUUGGGGAAAUGUCCUUCUCUUUGGCUUAUCAUAGCUUUGCUCAUUGAAGUUGAAUUGCCAUUUCUCUGUAUUUUUAUCCUAAGAGGAAGAUCUGAAGGUUCGUCCUAGAGAAUUUCACAAGGGGGAGCUAGUGUUGAAAAUGAUCAUUCCUAUACAAAAGGGAUUUUAGAGGAAGAUAGAUGCCAAAUUAGGAGGGUCCAUAUGUUGUAAAGAAAGUCUUUUCUAGGAAAACUUUGAUCCUGAGUGAGAUGGAUGGUAAAGAUUGUCCAAGCCCUGUAAACUCAGAUUCAGUUAAGAAGUACUUUUCCUAAAAAAGGGGACCAAGGUGAAAGCCUACAAAGGGCGCCUUGAGUAAAAAAAAAUAGAGAGGCCAAGGUGAAAACCCGCGAAGGGAGGCUUGAGACCAAAAGGAUUUUAGUUGAAAACCCAAAAAGGGCGGCUCAAAUGUUGAUCAAAAUGGCAUUUGAAAUUAUCAGAGCAGCUCAAAUACUGAUCAGAAUGGGGCAUGCAGUGGUCUUGCUAUACCUGAAUCAACAGGAAAGGGGUAGGCAACAUCUUGGGGCAUCGACAAAGCACUGUUGAUUUCCUAAACACAUGUUAAAAUCAGAAUGGUCUUCAGAAAGUUUGCACAGAGAAGUUCAGGCUGCGAUACCUGGGGCACCGAAUCCUUAUACUAUUUUUGUUAUACUUGGAACACUUCAUUCAUUUCCAAGACACGCAUUCUUAAAUUAAUUUCUUUAUUAUCUUUGACAAUUUAUUCAUUUCGAGCUAUGUUCAGAACCAACUCUAUUCUUAUCCAUGAUCUUUUUGCAAGCAUGUUGCAUUAGAAUAAUGAUUAAUGGACUAAUAAAACUUUCACAAAGGAAGUUUUGCAUAUUACUCUAGAAAUUUCUAAAUAAUAUAGGAACCUGAAACAGGACUAUUGUUUAGAACACACCAAGUUUAAAGGUUGGAAAUCUGAUAAGGAGGAGUCUAAAUUAAGACUAUCCUUUUAAAUUUUGUUGUCUAAAACAUUGUUUGAACAAAAUGAUAAGAUGUCAUAUUGGUGACAAAGCUUAGAUGAAAGAAAGUAAUGAUCACCGAAUAAUAAGAAGAAGUUGUUCUUGGAGAAUAAAAUUUUUCAUUUGUGCAUUGGCAUUUGGUAUGACACCCAUAGAAUGGUAAAAGACCAAAGAGCUUCACAUUCUACAUCCUUGAAUUGUGAUAGGAGAGGAUUGAGAAAAUGCCAGAUUUUUCUUGGGUUACAGCGGGAGAAAGAUGGUACAAAUGUUACAUCCUAGUGGAUUGAGCUUUGAAGUUCACAGUGGGGGCAAUCUGGUCAAGUGUUUCUUUGGAGACGUUAGCCAAGCAAAAGGUGCUAUAGCACAUUAGCGAUAAAAUUUUAAUAAACUUUGAGUAAUGAUAACCUAAGUGAUAAGGAGGAAUCAUUCUCGAAAAAUGACAUUCUGUAUUCAUUCAAAUGUCAUUCAUACAUGCCUAGUUAGGAGCAUUUGAUUCAUUCUGUUCAUGACAUCCUAAUCAUUAGGUAUAAUUAGGUUCAUAAAGUGAAUUAUACAGGUCAUGCUCCCUAGAGGACAGAUCAGAGAAAUCAUAAAGCCUUAUCUCCCUGAGCAACGGUGGAGCAGGUUGAAAAGCAGCAGAUCUUGUCUUCCCGUACUGGUGACGAAGUAGAUCGAAGAAAGCAGAUCUUGUCUUCAUGUAUUGGCGUGAAGUAGAUCGAAGAAAGAAGAUCUUGUCUUCCCAUACUGGUGGUGAAGUAGAUCGAAGAAAGCAGAUCUUGUCUUCAUGUAUUAGCGUGAAGCAGAUCGAAGAAAGCAGAUCCUGUCUUCCUAUAUUGGUAGCGAAGUGGAUCGAAGAUAGCAGAUCUUGUCUUCAUGUAUUGACGUGAAAUAGAUCAAAGAAAACAGAUCUUGUCUUCAUGUAUUGGCGUGAAAUAGAUCGAAGAAAGCAGAUCAUGUAUUGGCGUGAAAUAGAUCGAAGAAAGCAGAUCUUGUCUUCAUGUAUUGGCAUGAAGUAGAUCAAAGAUAGCAGAUCUUGUCUUUCCAUACUGGUGGCGAAGUAGAUCGAGGAAAGCAGAUCUUGUCUUCAUGUAUUGGCAUGAAGUAGAUCAAAGAGAGCAGAUCUUGUCUUCCCAUACUGGUGGCGAAGUAGAUCGAAGAUGACAGAUCUUGUCUUCAUGUAUUGGCAUGAAGUAGAUCAAAGGAUAGCAGAUCUUGUCUUCAUGUAUCAGCAGUGAAGUAGAUCGAAAAUACAAGUCUUAUCUCCCUGAAGUAGCAGUGGAGCUGACAGAAGUAACCAAUCCUAUCUCCUUGAAGUUGCAAUGGAGUGGAUUAAACCUGCAGAUCUCAUCUCUCUGAAGUUGCAGUAGAGCAGAUCGCAUCAGAUUUAUUUUUAAGUUGUAGCAGAACAAGUUGAAGCUAUAAGUCUUAUCUCCCUGAAGUUGUAGUGGAGCAGAUUAAAGAUAGCAAUUUUUGUUCUUUUAAAAAGCUACAGUGUACGAACCCUAUCUCCUUGACAUUGCAGUGGGGUAGAUUGAAACACUAGUUCCUAUACUUCAGAAGAUGUAGUAGGAAAGAAUGAGGUUACUUGAAGGAAAAAGAACUGAAUAAGUCGAGGCUCAGUAAGACCGGGCACAAUUGGGCUUUUAGUAUUUGCUCUGUUCCCGUUACAUGACAACGAGCAAAGAGGGGCAGCUAUAGGGCCCAAUUUUUUCCUGGCCCGUUACAGAAAUAAAAAACCAAACAAAAACCAAAAUGUUUCAGUCCAAUUUUGCUAAGCCCAAUAACCCAAUAGCACAACCCAAAUCAAUUUAUUUUAAAACUAACCUAGCUACAAUCACCGAAACCCUAAAAUCCCUUAGCUACUGCCUCCGGCAAGUGUCCAAUCGGCACACGUUUCGAAACCAGCCCUAUUCUCCGCGUCAUGCUCUCCACAACUACCUGCGAAAACGGACUAAAAGAGUCCCAAUAUUGUAAAAUAAAAAUACAAAGUAUUUUCUUAGGCUAUAAAAAGCCUAAGUUGUACACUGAUAAAAAAAAAGAACAGAGAACAAAAUAAAUAUUUUUACAAAAGUGAUUUUUUUUUGUUUUAUUUCGCAGUGACCAUUUUUUAUAUACAUACGUUUUAUUUUCUUUUAUUUUCAUUUAUUUCGUAUAAAAUAACAAAGAAAAAAGAAAAGGAAAACAUACCUUUUGUCGGAGUCGCCGGAUUGUUGCCAUCUCCAUCGCGGUCGGAGCGUCGGCAUGGGCGAACGGCGGCGCUAGGAGCUAGGGCUGAAAACCCUAGCAGAGGGCAUUUGGUUUUUUUUUCCUUUCAUUCUGUUGCAAAUUUUUUUUAGAGAAAAAAAAACUGUUUUAAAUAACAGAGCAAAACGACGCCGUUUUACCCAAGCAUGACCCGCGCGGUGACCCGACCCGGAGGGGAGGAUCCGCGCGUUCUGGCCGAAGGGAAAAUUUGCGCAAUUGGUCCCUCCCUUUUGCAAUGCGCUUCAAUUAAACCUGUUUUGUUUUUUUUAAUUUGGCCGCAUAUUUUAUUUUUGUUUCAAUUUGGUCCCUUAUUGCGCAGCGUUUUGGAGGGUGGGAUUAAUUUCCCUUCUAGUCCCCCAUUGUUGUUCGCGCGUUCAAGUUGGUCCUUUUUUAUUUAUUUUCGAAUCUACCCCAUCUUUUCAUUUUUAAGUUCAAUUUAGCCCAUUUUUUAGCUUUUUUUUUAAAUUCUUUUUUAUGUUUGUCAUUAUACCAUUAUUAUUAUUAUAUUAUUUGCUAUCAUUAUUGUUAUUGUAUUUUCUAUACAUAUAAAUACGCAUAUUUUUUAUAUUUAAUAUAUAAGCAUAUUUUUAAUAUAUAUAUUUAUAAGUACGCAUCUAUUUUAUACAUACAUACAUACUUUUUUUUAUUUUAUUUCCUAACCUUUAUGUACACGUAUAUAUACUUCUAUAUUUUUGUUUCAAAAUUUUUUAUACAUAUGCAUGUUCGUUUUUUUUAUAUAUAUUAUUUUUCAUAUUUUUUUACAAAACGUAUAUAUAUGUGUAUACAUACACAUUUUAAAAUACACACAUGUUUCCCAUAUUUUACAAUUCAAAAUACACAUUUUUUUUAUAUUAUAUAUAUACAUUCUUUAUAUUUUUGAGUUAUUAUAGACAUUUUUAUUAUUCUAUAUAUACUCCGUUAUUUAUGUACAUAUCAUACAUAUAUAUAAAUUUUUUAAUAUAUGUAUACAUAUUUUCAUGUUUUACCAAUACAUAUAUACUUAUACAUUUUUUAUUUCUGUAAAUAUAUACACAUAUACAUACUUUUAUAGUUUUAUUUUAUUUUCACGGUUUUCAAAUACACAUACGUGCAUUUUUUAUUAGUUUUUGAUUGAUAUAUUCCAUUCCAUUUUUUAUAUGUAUCCUUGUAUAUGUGUGUAAAAUAUAUGCGUGCACAUAUUUUCAAAUUUACUUGUAUAUUGUACUUGUAUGUAUAUAUUUUGUAAAUACAUAUUCAUAUAUGUUUUAAAUUAAUGUUUUGUUUCAUAUUGUACGUUAACUUUUAACAUACCUUUUGGGAAAUAUAUUUUGGUUUUGUCAGUAUAUCAAAAUCAUUUUCUCUUGAUUCAAAGUUUUUUGAAUAAAAGCAAUAUUCAAAGUUUGGAAUUUUUGAGGAAAAUUGAGCCCUAACGUAUUGGGUUCUGAUUUUCUUUGUUAAUCUUAAAUAACCAAGGAUAUUCUUUAUUCAAAAUGCAUGAGUAUAAAGAUCAUUUUCGGGAACUUAACUUGUUGUGUCCUAAUGUAUUGGGCGUGACAUAUUAUUUUCUCAAAAUGAAGAUUUUCGCAUAAAAUAAAAGUAAUAUUUAAAGUUCGGGGAUUUUGAGAAAUUGUACCCUAAUGUAUUGGGACUCGAUUUCUUUACAUGACUUGAACAAUUGAUUAUCCUUUUCAGAUUUCAUCAUUUGAGUUGUUUUAAAAAAAAUUUUUUAGCCCUCGACAUUAAGACAUUAAAUAAUCAAUUUUGUACCGAUUUUGGACGUCACAAGGGUGCUACCCUUCCUCGUGCGUAAUUGACUCCCGAACUCGUUUUCUCAAAUUUCGUAAACCAAAAUACGUUUUAAGGUGAACUGAUCACACCUCAAUAAAGGAUCGGUGGCGACUCCAAUUUUGUUUUUUUAAAAAGUCGACAACUAUAUUUUUUAUUUAAAAAUGGUUUCGACAAUAUGAAAUAAAAGAAAAAUAGAGAGUAGGGAGAGAAAUUUACCUAAAAGCUGAGACGUCGUUCGUCUGUCGUAAUCGAAGUCGGACGAGGAAUCGGGGCCUCCAAACGCUGGUUUGUUGAGCGGCGCACGGAGGAAAAGUUGCUUAGGGUUUGUAGAUCUAUUAAAAUGGCUUAAUGCCUUGGUUUUUUUAGGUUUCAUGCGUGCAACGAAAUGGCACCGUUUGAACCCCGUUCUAAUGGCUCCAAAGCGAUGUCGUAUUGAGGCUCGACCCGAUUCGAACUAGGUUCCAGAUCUGCGUGUUUUACCUCAUAGGGGAGAAUUUCGCGAAUAGUCCUCCGCUUUUAUAGAACCUUCAAAUUGAUCCUUUUAUUUCUUUUAAAUUUGGCUGCUCAUUUUGUGCUUCAUUUCAAUUAGGUCCGUGCAAGGAUGCUGCGUUUUGAGGGAAGGGAUAUUUUCCCAUUCAGUCCCCAAGUUAUUCGCGCGUUCCUUUGUGGCCCUUAAUGUUAUUUUAUUUUUAUUUUCUCUUUUAAUUUUGAAUUAAAUGCAGUUUAGCUUGUUUUUGUUUAAUUUAAUGUAUUCAAUUUUUAUUUUAUUUUUAAUAUUCAUCAUUCUUUUUUAAAAAAUAUUUAAUUUUACAUCUAGAUUAUUUUAUGUUUAAAUUUAGUAUAUUUUAAAUUUAUUAACAAUAUUAUUUUAAUAUUAUAACAUAUUAUUAUUCUAAAUGUAACAUUAACAUUAUUUUAAAUUUAUCAUGUACAAUCUUAUGCAUUCUUGUUGUAGUUUCAAUAUAAUUUAUAGAUUUUUUUACAUUUUUAUUUUAUAAUACAUUUUUUAACUUCACUUAUAUAGUUCUUUGCUUUAAGAUUUGUACAUUAAUAUUCUUACAUAAUAUUUUUCUAUACAUAUAUAUAAUUUGUGUUAAAUUAUUUUUUAUUAUAUAUAUAAUAUAUUACCGAUUUCAUAUUAUUACAUAUCUUUUUACAUAUUUUUAUAUAUACAUAAUUUAUUUCUUUUAAAACCCUACUUUAUUAUGUACUUUGUUUAUUUCAACUUUUUAUAAUAUUAUAUAUAUUAUUAUUAAACUUUUCAUUUCAUAUAUAUAUUACUUAUUUAGAUUAAUGUAUGUAUAUUAUUUGGUAUAUUACAUAUAUAUAUAUUGUAGCAACGUAAAAAUUUUAGCUUAGCUUGGUCGCUAAUUGUGGCGAUUUAUUGAAAUUUUUUUUGAAAUUUGACGUUUGAUUUUUGAAAUAAAUAGGGAGUUGCCACCGAUCCUUUUUCCUAGGUGUGAUCGGACACCUAUUAGAUCUUUUAUUAAAACAAAUAAAAGGCUAAGUUUAGGUCUACGUUAAAAUCCAGAAAAAAUUUAGGGUUCGGGAGUCGGUUAUGCACGAGGAAGGUAUUGGCACCCUCGCGACGCCCAAAAUUGGUAUCUUAUUAAACACAUGUUGUCUUGAUUUUCAAAAAUACGAAUUCAAUUUGACAUUUAAGUGUGAUCCGAUUGAAGGAAAUGAGAAGUUGCAAGUUUUUUUGUUUUUUAGAAGGACGUCCCGUUUUUAACACGAGCCGAUUAAUUUCACCCAACAUAGGAUGAAAUCAAUGACUUAAUGUUAAAAUCGGUACAUUGCCUUAUUCUUAAAAUUAAAAUGUAAAAAGUUUUUAAAAUGAUAGUAAAAAAAAAUCCAAGAAUAUUAUUGUCAAAAAAAUGCGAAUAAUGAUGUGAAUAAUAAAAUAUAUAAAAUAUAAAAUAUCAAAAUAUCAAAAUAUUAGAAUAAUAAUAAUUAAUAUUGAAAAAUAAAAAAUAAAAUAGAAAUAAAAAAAAUGUACAUAAUAUAUAUUAGAAAUAAUAAUGAUGUUUAAAAAUCAAUACUAUUAAUAAUACUACAUUAAUAUGUACAUAUAUAAAAAAAAUACGUGAUAAUAUUAAAAAUAUGUACAUAAUAUAGUGUUAAAAAUACAUACAUAAUAUAGUUAAGAUAUAUACAUAAGAUAACAUGUAAAAAAAAUAUAUAAAUAAUAUAAUAUUAAAGAUAUAUACAUAAAAUAGUAUAAAAUAUAUAUACGUAAUAUAGAAUUUAAAAUAUACCUAAUAUAUUAAAAGAAUAUAUAUAAUAUAAUAUUAAGAAAUAUAAUAAUAACAAAAAAGGAGAGAGAGGGAGAGGGUGGAUGAUUUUCGGCCACAAGGUCGGCCAUCGUCCGGUCACUGGACCGCCGCCGGCGCCACCGUACACGGCAGCCGGACCUCAAAAAAAACUUUUUCGGUAAAAAUGGGUAAGCUUCCUCCUUUUAUUUUUUUUCACUUUCGUAUAAAAGAAACAAAAUAAGAUUGAAAGGAAAACAAUAAGUAAACAAAGAACUUAAAAUGAGAAUAGACAAAGAAACCUCUUUUGCUUUGAUCUUUAAUUAAUCUUCAAAAAAACUAGCUUCUCCAAAAACUAGCCUUCACAAUAACUCUUCUCCUUAAUUACUUUAAAAAGAAACCUCUCCAAAAAUCCUUUACAAUAACUUUCUCUCCCAAAAACUUUCCAAAAAAAAAUCCCCCCCCUUUUACAAAAUAUGAUAAGGCUUAUAUAGCUAUUUACAAAAUAUUUUUUUAUUGUUUAUGUCUUCAUUUGUAGGUACAAGUGGUGGUGGAGCAAGUGUGGUUAGUGGAGUAGGUAAUGGAGCAAGUGUGGCUAGUGGAUUUGGUGGUGGAGAAGGUGUGGCUAGUGGAGUUGGUGGUGGAAAAGGAGUGGCUAGUGGAGUUGGUGGUGGAAAAGGUGUGGCUAGUGGAGUUGGUGGUGGAAAAGGUGUGGCUAGUUGAGAAAAGUUUAAGUUGUGGGCUAGGUUUUUUUAUUUUGAUUUGGGCUUAGGGUUUGGGCCAUUGGGGUUUUGAUGUAAAUUGGGCUUUGGGUAGUUAAGAUUUUGGGUUUUGGGUUUAAUUUUGGUGGGUUAGGUAAGGCUAAAUUGGGUUUUGAUGUAAAUGGGCUAAAAUUGGCCUACAACAGCUGCCCCUCUUUGCUUAUUAUCGUGUAACGAGAAUAGAGCAAAGAUAUAAAGAAAGGCCAAUUUUGCCCGGUCUUGCUAAGUAUGGACUUCUUUGGUGCUCUUCUCAUCCAGGUAGUCUCUUUCCAGUCCAUCGCAUCUUGUAGCUUUGGUUCAAUCCACUGCAAAUUCGGAGAUAUGCCUUAUAGCUUCAAUCUGUUCCAAUGUAAUUCAAUAUGCUCUUCUAUCGCUUCAGUGAGAUAAGGUUUUGGGUCUUCUCUUCUGCCACUUUAGAAAGGCAAGAUCUGAUAUCCUCGAUCAACUCCACUGCAACUUCAGGGAGACAAAAUCUGGUGUCUUCAAUCAGGUCUAAUAUUGAUUCUUUACUCGGCAUGUGAUCCUGAGCUCAACUCAUUUCUCGCAAUAUGAAUUGACUCUGUAAAACUAGACAUUAAAAACAGAAAUUGAAAAUAGCUCAGCACGUGAGCCAAGGCUCAACUCACCUCUCGCAAAAGUAGAUUUUGAAAAUACCUCGACAUGUAAACCCAAGGCUCAACUCACAUCUCGCAAUAUGAGUUGAUUUUUGAAAAGCAGAAAUUGAAAACGCCUCAGCGUGUGACCCGAGGCUCAACUCACCUAUCGCAAUAUGAGUUGAUUUUUUUGAAAAGCAGAAAUUGAAAAUAGCUCAGCACGUGAGCAAAGGCUCAACUCACCUCUCACAAUAUGAGUUGAUUCUUUUGAAAAGCAGAAAUUGAAAAUAGCUCAGCACGUGAGCAAAGGCUCAACUCACUUCUCGCAAAAGUAGAUUUUGAAAAUACCUCGACAUGUGAACCCAAGGCUCAACUCACAUCUCGCAAUAUGAGUUGAUUUUUGAAAAAUAUAAAUUGAAAAAAAUAGAAAUUGAAAAGCAGAAAUUAAAAAGACCUCAGCAUGUGAGCCGAGACUCAACUCACCUCUCGCAAUAUGAGUUAAUUUUUGACAAACAGAAAUUGAAAUUACCUCAGCGUGUCCUGAGGCUCAACUCACCUCUAGCAAUAUGAGUUGAUUUUGAAAAACAAAAAUUAAAAGUACCUCAACGUGUCUUGAGGCUCAACUCAUCUCUCGCAAUAUGAGUUGACUUUCCUUGAAAAGCAUGAAUUAAAAACAUCAAAAUACCCAAAACCUAUCCUUUGGUAGAACUCGGGUGUCUUUUCCUUUGAUUCAGUGCGACUCUCAUUCAAGAUUUCUUGCUCUACUGGAGUACCUGUAUAUGCUAUGUAUGAUGUUAUCAUGAUAUGCACAUGUUUGUCUUAAAUGCUUUUAUGCCUACAUGAUUAUGCAGUGCUCCUUAAGCAUGUUUGUCGUAUGUCCAUUUAGCCACGAUUGUUGAGGGUCUGUGUUCAUUGCUUUGAUUCUCGACUUUCUCCUCAGGCCUUAUACCUACCUUCAAGCUUCACGAGUAAUCGACGUUCCUCAGAUAUCACUCUUCUGCCCCCGAUUGAACUUUGUUCUUACUUUGAGACUCUUGUGCUUAUCAAAUUUUCAUCCAGGUAAUGCUUAACAUUUCUCUUGUUUAGAGUAUGUCAUUUCUCCAUUUAUCAUGUAAAUAAACACAUAAUGAGAUGCAUGAAAAAGGUCAGGUAGGGAAAAAUGAUAUUUCAUAUUCAUCUAUUUCAAAUGUGGCAAACAAAGCAAGUUAACCAAUUAGAGUAAAAAAUGUCAAAAAGAAAGAAAGGAUCGUAUUCAACGGAUGCAAAUACUUUAGAUAUUCGACACAUGAACUCUUCCACGUUCCUCAAUCAAGAAUCUUUUCGAGUCUGGCUCUUUGCGUAGAAGAUUUCGAGCUUUCAGAAAUGCUUCAAAUACUGUAGUCUCACUGUUUGACCCGCUGUUAAAACGCCACGCUCUUUAAGCCAGGUUUACCUCAUUAGGACGCCCUCUCGGGUUUUCAUCCUAAUCUUUUGUGCUAAUCAAGACGCCCUUUGCGGGUUUUCGCCUUGAUCCCUCUUUUUUUUUGGAUGCCCUUUUCAGGUUUUCAUCUCAAGCAUAAUAUUUCUUCACAGCAUCUGAGUUCACUGGAUUCGGUAACUUCUUUCCAUCCAUCUUGGUAAGGAUCAAAGCUCCUCCUGAAAAUGCCUUCUUUACGACGUAUGGUCCUUCCCAAUUUGGUGCCCAUUUUCCUCGCAGGUCCUUUUGUAUUGGGAGAAUCUUCCUCAGUACGAGUUCUCCUUCGUGGAAUUCUCUUGGCCAUACUUUCUUGUCAUGGGCCGCGAUCAUUCUCUUCUGGUACAUCUGCCCGUGACAAAUUGCUCUUAGACGUUUUUCUUCGAUGAGGUUCAACUGAUCAUAUCGAUCUCAAACCCAUUCUGCUUCUUCUAACUUUAAUUCCAUUAAGACUCGCAGGGAGGGGAUCUCAACCUCAAUAGGUAGCACAGCUUCCAUUCCGUAAGCCAGAGAGAAAGGAGUUGCUCCCGUAGAUGUUCGCACAGAUGUGCGAUAUGCAAACAAAGCAACUGGAAGCUUCUCGUGCCAAUCUUUAUAUGUUUCAGUCAUUUUCCCAAUGAUCUUCUUAAUAUUUUUAUUGGCUGCUUCAACAGCCCCGUUCAUCUUUGGGCGAUAGGGCGAGGAGUUAUGAUGCUUUAUUUGGAACUGCUCGCACACUUCUUUCAUCAUCUUAUUGUUCAGAUUCGUGGCAUUAUCUGAAAUGAUUCUUUCAGGCAAACCAUACCGGCAAAUGAUUUCCUUUUUCAAAAACCUGCAAACUGCAGUCCUCGUCACAUUGGCAAACGAAGCGGCUUCUAUCCAUUUUGUGAAGUAAUCGAUGACCACAAAAACGAAUCGAUGUCCAUUUGAUGCUUUUGGAGAAAUUGGCCCUAUGACAUCCAUGCCCCACAUAGAAAAAGGCCACGGAGAAGUCAUGACAUGAAGGGGUGAAGGGGCUACAUGAAUUUUAUCGCUGUAGAUUUGACAUUUGUGGCAUUUUCUGGCAAAAUUGAUGCAGUCAUUUUCCAUUGUCAGCCAAUAAUAACCGAGUCUCAUGAUCUUUCUGGCCAUAUUGAAACCAUUGGCAUGCAUUCCGUAAAUUCCCUCAUAGACCUCUUCAAGUAUUUUUCUGGCUUCAACAUCAUCCACACAUCUCAAAAGCAUCUGAUCCUUUCCUCUUUUAUAUAGGAUAUCCCCAUCAAUAACAAAUCCCGCUGCCAUUCUUCUAAUUGUUCUUUUAUCGUUCUCAUUCGCUUGUUCGGGAUACCUUUGAUUCUUGAUAUAUUCUAAGAUAUCAUGGAACCAAGGUCGUCCGUCUACUUCUUUCUCAAUGCUACAACUGUGUGCAGGGACCUCGUAUAUGCUCAUUUUGAGGGGCAUUAUUUCUACUUCUCUACUUGCUUUGAACAAUGAAGCCAAAGUGGCCAGGGUAUCAACCAGUUGGUUCUCUUCUCGUGGGAAGUAAUGAAAAGUUAUUUCUUUGAAUUCCUUGAUCAAUCCAGCUACUAAAUCGCUGUACUUAAUCAAUUUUGAGUCCCUCACUUCCCACUCUCCACGGAUUUGGUAAAUCACUAGGGCUGAGUCCCUGUACACCUCUAAGAUCUUGAUGUUUCGUUCGAUAGCUGCACGAAGCCCCAUGAUACAGGCCUCAUAUUCUGUGAUAUUAUUGGUACAGAAGAAGUUCAGUCUUGCGGUGAACGGAUAAUGAUUCCCGUCUGGUGAUACCAGGAUUGCUCCUAUUCCUUGUCCUAAAGCAUUUGACGCACCAUCAAAGCACAUCUUCCAUGACUUCUCUUUUGAUGACUCGGAUUCUAUUUCUGUGAUGCACAUUAAGUCUUCAUCUGGGAAAUCGAAUCUUAAAGGCUCAUAUUCCUCUGUCGUUCGAGUUGCUAAGAAGUCAGCUAUUGCGCUCCCUUUUAUCGACUUCUGACUUACAUAGGUAAUGUCAUAUUCCGAAAGGAGGAUCUGCCAUCGUGCCAUUCUUCCUGAUAGUACCGGUGAUUCCAUCAUGUAUUUUAUUAGGUCCAGUUUUGAAAUUAGCCAUGUCGUGUGAUACAACAUAUAUUGUCUGAGUCUCCGAGCUACCCAAACCAGAGCGCAACAAUAUUUCUCAAUGGACGAAUAUUUUACCUCAUAUUCAGAGAACUUUUUGCUGGGGUAGUAGAUCACUUUUUCUUUCUUUCCUGACUCGUCGUGUUGCCCUAGUACGCAACCCAUUGAACUUUCAAACACAUUCAAAUACAAUAUCAAUGGUCUUCCAGGAGUUGGCGGUACUAGCACUGGAGGACUGGACAAAUAUUGUUUUAUCUUAUCAAAGGCCACUUGGCAUUCCUCGUUCCAUUCUCCCGGGUUAUGUUUUCGAAGAAGCUGAAAGAUUGGGUCGCAUUGGUUGGUAAGUUGAGCGAUAAAUCGGGCGAUGUAGUUUAAUCUCCCUAAAAAUCCUCUAACUUCCUUUUGCGUGCGCGCAUGUGGUAAUUCUUGGAUGGCUUUUAUUUUAUCUGGAUCAACUUCGAUACCUCUUUCACUGACAAUGAAGCCUAGCAACUUUCCCGAGGUAGCCCCAAAUGUACAUUUGGCUGGAUUAAGCUUUAGCUAAAACUUUCUCAGCCUUUCGAACAACUUCUUGAGGUUCACUACAUGCUCUUCUUCCCCUCGCAAUUUAGCAAUCAUGUCGUCGACGUAGACCUCUAUUUCUUUAUGCAUCAUGUCAUGGAAUAACGUUACCAUAGCCCUCUGAUAUAUUGCCCCAGCAUUCUUUAACCCGAAUGGCAUCACCUUGUAGCAGAACGUUCCCCACAUCGUUAUGAAGGUAGUUUUCUCCAUAUCCUCAAGGGCCAUCUUGAUCUAAUUAUACCCCGAGAAUCCAUCUAUGAAAGAAAACAAUGAAUGUUUUGCUGUGUUGUCCACAAACGUGUCAAUAUGUGGCAAGGGAAAAUUAUCUUUUGGGCUUGCUCGAUUCAGGUCACGGUAAUCCACGGACAUUCGUACUUUGCCAUAUUUCUUUGGUACUGGGACUAUGUUAGCCACCCAUUCUAGAUAUUUGGAGGCUUGUAGGAAGCCAGCAUCAAAUUGCUUCUUGAUUUCUUCUUUUAUUUUCAACAGCAUUUUGGGUCUCAUCCGUCUUAAUUUUUGCUGGAUGGGCUUGCAUUCUGGCUUUAAUGGGAGCUUAUGGACCACUAAAUCUUCAUCUAGCCCUGGCAUGUCCUGGUAUGACCAUGCGAAAACAUCUUUGUAUUCGCGGAGUAAAAUGAUCAAACUAUGUCUAGUACUCUCUGAAAUAGAAGUCCCAAUCUUCACUUCUUGUUUCCUCUCUUCAAUGCCCAAAUUUAUUAUUUCCACAGAUUCUUCAUGAGGCAAAAUCUGUUUAUCCUCUUGUUCCACCAUUCUUAACAAUUCAGGAGACGAGACAUAAUCUUCAGCAUUUUCUUCGGCUUCAAAUUCUCCUAAGCAAACAGCCUUCUCAAAAUCAAUUUCAAGAUUCGUAACGGGCUUAUUCAUAUCGUCAAUAUCUGAGCACCUGAAAGUUGAAUGGAAAAGGAAGCUAUAGAGGGGCAUCCAAGUAUUGGAAUCAACAAAGAAAUGUCAUGUCAUGGCAAUGAGGCAAAUGUGAGUAUAGGCUAUGAAAUGAGAAAAUGAUUAUGAAAUUAGUGAUAAUGCGAAAAAUCGUGACAAAAUGCAUCUUCAUUGAUAUUCACUUAAAUGAUAAAGAGCGAAUGCAAGCUCCUACAAAAGAAUUCUAUUAUAUCUAAGGACACAAUAGAAUGUUAAUGUUUGAGCAUUACUCUGAAGACUUAUAAACUACAAGAAGGUCCUCGGCAGUCCAAUUGUUCAACAUGAAACCAGGGGGACAAAGGCGUAUCCUUGAGACAUCUUUACUUGUGUCAGCUCCUUUGUCAAUGACAUUUAUACUGAUGUUCUGAAAACCCUUUUCGAUCAUUAACAUUGUGCCUUGUGCAUUGUCCUGCCUCGGGUAUAUCAUUCCCACAGACGUAAAUGUUCUUGACAAAGGAGGGAAUUCCAUAGGCUCCCAUUCUGGUUCUCGGCCUAAGGUUCUCGCAAUCCUUCUUUCUUGAUCUUUCUUCCACUGUCUUCUUCUUUGACGCAUGUCUGGCUGGAACCCCAAACCGUAUCGGGCCUUAUGAUGCACUGGUUUUAGAGCCCUGACUAUUCCUUGUAGAUAUCUCCCUAAACCUCUUCUCACUCGAGCUCCCCUUCCUACAGUCAACUUGACACCCAUUCUAGUAUUUCUCGACAAUUUAGGCACGGGAAUUUUGUUUCCCUCAGUGAAGAAUGUGGCAUUGACGAAUUCAAGGGAUCGGAAGGAGCAUUCCACUACGUCCUUGCUCACUUCAAGGUAUGGCGCAUCAGCAGAGAUAGAUGCGACAAUGUCUUCUUCUCCCUCGACAGUGACCAAACAGCCAUCCAUGAUAAAUUUCACCUUUUGAUGGAGGGAUGAUGGGACCGCUCUAGCAGAAUGGAUCCAGGGUCUUCCCAAAAGGCAGUUAUAUGAGGAUGUAAUGUCCAUGACUUGGAACUCGACAUCAUAUAUGUAGGGACCCACUUCCAGAGGGAUCUCAAUUUUUUCCAUGACUUCAUGCCUUGUCCUGUCGAAUGCCCUUACCGUAGAAUGACAGGGCCUUAAAUGGGACAGAUCCAUCGAAAUUCUGGAAAGUGUGGCCAAAGGCAUAACGUUGAGUGCCGAACCAUUAUCGAUGAGCACGUUCGGUAUUAUGUAGCCCUUGCAACGGGUUGUGAUAUGCAAUGCUUUCACUGAGCCUCUACCAUUGGGCGGUAUUUCAUCAUCACUAAAAGAAAUGAAAUUAUCCGCAUUCAAGUUGUUCAUCCACCUAUCCAGUUUUUCAAUGGAUACAUUGUUUGCCACAUAAGCUUGAUUUAACACUUUCAGCAGAGCGUUUCGGUGUGGUUCUGAAUUCAACAGCAGAGAUAAUACCGAGAUUCGCGCUGGCUGCUUACUCAAUUGUUCUACCACGUUGUACUCACUGUGUUUGAUAAAUUUUAAGAAUUCCUGUGCUUCCUCCUCGUCCACAGGAUUUUUAGCUUCUUGUUCAGGCGCAGUUUCAUGCUCAUCAUCGGUCACAUGCAUCGGUGCUUUUCCUUUCCGUUUCAAGUCACUGUUCUUCUUUAUCUCCUUCGAAUAACAUCUUCCACUAUGAGUGAAAUGACCUAAUUCCCCGAUUCUUCCAGUCAUGGCUUUGGGUUUUUCAUCUUCAGGUGUGACGAUAUUAAUGUCAUAUUUCCAUGGUACUGCUUUAUUGUCCUUGUAAGGGAAAGAAGAUGGUACUUCAAUUAUCAUUUUUGGUUUCACCGGCUCUUUCAUCGCAUCGUAAUAAAUUACUAACGGUUGAUCAGCGCUAUAAGGGGGACCUGAUGACUGGCUAUCAGAGGCGCAUACUUCUCUUUCAUUGGUCUCUUCCCUUUUGUUAAGGAUCUUAAUCUCCUUAUUAUCCAUCCGGUCUUGAAGCAACCUUUUAAAUUCCUCACACGACUGAAUGUCGUGUCCCACAAUUCCAUGGAAAUUGCAAAAACUUUGACCUUCUUCUCCGAGAAUUCUAUCGGGGUGACAAAGCAAUCAUUUCUUAACCAGUACCUCCCAGAUUUUCUGCAAAGGCGUCCUUAUUUCCAAAACACAUCUUCUGACUUUCCAUUCGUCCACUUUCCCCACUAUACUCACAUCCCUUUCGAUAUGGUUAGGGAAUGGGUUCCCAGUUGCAUUACUGGCACUAUCGAAUCGUAGGAUACCUGCAUCAAUGAGUCCUUGAACUCUUCUCUUAAAGGCUAGGCAGUUUUUCGUGGAAUGUCCCUGGUUUCCCGUAUGGUAUGCACAACUAGCGAAUUGUAUGUUUUAACCUCAGCGAACGAGUAUGGAAUAUGCAAUGAAUGAAUGAAUGCAUGAAUGUCAAAUGACUGUUAGUCAUGAAAGAAAUGCAAGAAAUUGGUGUUAAUUUCAAGAUAGCCCCUAUUUAGGCAUUUCCUUAAUCAAAAGAGUCUAUUACACAACGUUUCGGUCACUCGUGUAAUUGACUCCUCUAUCAGAAACCCCUUUUUGGCAACCAAUCUCUAAUCAACCCUUUCCUAACAAGAUGUAUAUGAUGCAUGAUGAAAAAUAGAAAUACAGACAAACAACAUUGGUUAGCAAAACACAUAUGAUCAGAGAAAAAUUGUGGAAAAUCUAACAAAUUAAGCUACUUGGUCCAAUGGACUCGAUUCCCUUGCAUAGAAAGUGAAAGUGCAAAAGGUAAGAGGCGUUCCUCCCGUGCACUUAUUUUGGUGACUACUAAACGGACGGAGGUUCAGCAUGGCUCUAGUUAGGUGGCUCGUAUGGUUCAUUAUAUGCGGUUUUGGUUCUAGAUAGGUACUCGAAUUGCCCGUACUAUCAUCUACUAAGAUUAACACGGAGCCUCGGUCAUAGCCUAUCACAGGCUCACGAGUUCAAUUCGAGGGGUUACAUUUACUUAUGCCUAUGCGGAGGGACAAGUUAACUCACGAAAGCAUAAAUCAUAUGUAACCCGAAAGUAUUCACUAGCCUGUGCGGAGGGACGAGUUAACUCACGAAGGCGUAGUGUUUACUUUCACUUAAACGGACGGAGCCCGGGUAGAGAGCUCAUGUUAUGCGAAAAUGCAAGUGCACGGUGUGUGGGGAACAACUCAUAAACCUUUACGUUUCACUUAAAGAAACUAAACCAAAAUUAAAACCAUAAAAAUUAAAAACUGAAAAACAACCAAAUAAGCAAGUUAGAAGAAAUAUUUACAGCACGAUACAAAUGCAUGAAUUUUGAAAAUGAGAUUUUCGGAUCACGACCAAAUAUUUACUUUGAACAAGGAAAUUUGAAAAUUUUGACAAAACGUGUUUAAUUCCAGACACGACUCUCAAAAAGGCUUUCCCCAGCGGAGUCGCCAGCUGUAGCGACGUAAAAAUUUUAGCUUAGCUUGGUCGCUAAUUGUGGCGAUUUAUUGAAUUUUUUUUUGAAAUUUGACGUUUGAUUUUUGAAAUAAAUAGGGAGUCGCCACCGAUCCUUUUUCCUAGGUGUGAUCGGACACCUAUUAGAUCUUUUAUUAAAACAAAUAAAAGGCUAAGUUUAGGUCUACGUUAAAAUCCAGAAAAAAUUUAGGGUUCGGGAGUCGGUUACGCACGAGGAAGUUAUUGGCACCCUCGCGACGCCCAAAAUUGGUAUCUUAUUAAACACAUGUUGUCUUGAUUUUCAAAAAUACGAAUUCAAUUUGACAUUUAAGUGUGAUCCGAUUGAAGGAAAUGAGAAGUUGCAAGUUUUUUUGUUUUUUAGAAGGACGUCCCGUUUUUAACACGAGCCGAUUAAUUUCACCCAACAUAGCGAUGAAAUCAAUGACUUAAUGUUAAAAUUGGUACAUUGCCUUAUUCUUAAAAUUAAAAUGUAAAAAGUUUUUAAAAUGAUAGUAAAAAAAAUCCAAGAAUAUUAUUGUCAAAAAAUGCGAAUAAUGAUGUGAAUAAUAAAAUAUAUAAAAUAUAAAAUAUCAAAAUAUCAAAAUAUUAGAAUAAUAAUAAUUAAUAUUGACAAAUAAAAAAUAAAAUAGAAAUAAAAAAAAUGUACAUAAUAUAUAUAUUAGAAAUAAUAAUGAUGUUUAAAAAUCAAUACUAUUAAUAAUACUACAUCAAUAUGUACAUAUAUAAAAAAAAUACGUGAUAAUAUUAAAAAUAUGUACAUAAUAUAGUGUUAAAAAUACAUACAUAAUAUAGUUAAGAUAUAUGCAUAAGAUAACAUGUAAAAUAUAUAUAUAAAUAAUAUAAUAUUAAAGAUAUAUACAUAAAAUAGUAUAAAAUAUAUAUAUACGUAAUAUAGAAUUUAAAAUAUACCUAAUAUAUUAAAAGAAUAUAUAUAAUAUAAUAUUAAGAAAUAUAAUAAUAACAAAAAAGGAGAGAGAGGGAGAGGGUGGAUGAUUUUCGGCCACAAGGUCGGCCAUCGUCCGGUCACCGGACCGCCGCCGGCGCCACCGUACACGGCAGCCGGACCUCAAAAAAAACUUUUUCGGUAAAAAUGGGUAAGCUUCCUCCUUUUAUUUUUUUUUACUUUCGUAUAAAAGAAACAAAAUAAGAUUGAAAGGAAAACAAUAAGUAAACAAAGAACUUAAAAUGAGAAUAGACAAAGAAACCUCUUUUGCUUUGAUCUUUGAUUAAUCUUCAAAAAAACUAGCUUCUCCAAAAACUAGCCUUCACAAUAACUCUUCUCAUUAAUUACUUUAAAAAGAAACCUCUCCAAAAAUCCUUUACAAUAACUUUCUCUCCCAAAAACUCUCAAAAAAAAAAUCCCCCCCUUUUACAAAAUAUGGGAAGGCUUAUAUAGCUAUUUACAAAAUAUUUUUUUAUUGUUUAUGUCUUCAUUUGUAGGUACAAGUGGUGGUAGAGCAAGUGUGGUUAGUGGAGUAGGUAAUGGAGCAAGUGUGGCUAGUGGAUUUGGUGGUGGAGAAGGUGUGGCUAGUGGAGUUGGUGGUGGAAAAGGUGUGGCUAGUGGAGUUGGUGGUGGAAAAGGUGUGGCUAGUUGAGAAAAGUUUAAGUUGUGGGCUAGGUUUUUUUAUUUUGAUUUGGGCUUAGGGUUUGGGCCAUUGGGGUUUUGAUGUAAAUUGGGCUUUGGGUAGUAAGAUUUUGGGUUUUGGGUUUAAUUUUGGUGGGUUAGGUAAGGCUAAAUUGGGUUUUGAUGUAAAUGGGCUAAAAUUGGCCUACAACAUAUAUAUAUAUUUUAUUUACUUUAAAAUUCAUUGUGAUACUAUAAUUUCACAUAGUAAUUCUUUUUAUCUUCCUUUAAAUCUAUUUCAAACUCGUAUAUAUAUUGUUUAUGAUAAAUUUUAUGCAUGUAAUUUAUUUUAUAUUAAUAAUUUUCAAUUUCCUCCCUUGCAUGUUAUUCUUUUUUUUGUUUUCAUUUUUUAAGCUUGUUCGUGUUAAUUUACUUGAUAUUCCUUUUAAUUCUUUAGCUUUUAAUAUUAAUAUUUACCCAACAUAUAAUAUGAGAUUCUUACUAUUGUUAUAUUGUAUUGUUUAUUUAUAUUUAUUGAUUGUUUGACAUUCAUUAGUAUACGCUUUAUUUUAUGAAUCAUCAUCUCGCAUUGUAUAUUAUUAUUCAAUCGUUUUUAUUCGUUCAAAAGAUUACGUUUAAUAUCAUUUAAGUAUCGAAAUUGAUUUAUUCAAAAACUUUCAAGAUAGCGUAAUAUUCGGUAUUUGGGUUCUUUGAUAGAAUUGAGCCCUAACGUAUUGGGUUCCAAUUUUCCUUGUUGAAUCUAAAUAAUCGAGAAUAUUCUUCAAUCAAAAAUACAUAAAUAAAAAGCUCAUUCUCGGGAAUUCAAUACGUUGUGUCCUAACGCAUUGGAUAUGACACGUUGUUUUCUUGAGAUGAUGAUUUUUCUAAAUAAAAAUAAAGGCAAUAUUUGGUAUUUAGGAAUUUUGUGAAAUUGAACCCUAAUUUACUGGGUUUUGAUUUUUCAUUUGACCAAAUAAUCAGAUAUCCUUCUCAAAAUGCAUAGGUUUUAAAAAAAAUCAAAAGAUAAACUUAAUUUUGAAGAUAAAAAAUGUAGCGCCCUAACUUACUGGGUGUGACAUUUUAUUUCUUUAAAAUAAGAGUGUCUUAUUAUUUAAUUCAAUUUAUUCAAAGUUAAAAGGAUCGUAUUUUAAAACCUUUUCAAAUUUUUGACACUAAGACAUUAAACAAUCAAUUCGGUAACAAUUUUGGGCGUUACGAGGGUGCUAACCCUUCCUCGUGUGUAACUGACUCCCGAACCUGUUUUCUCAAAUUUUGCAGACCAAAAUCGUUUUUAAGGUGAGCCGAUCACACCCCAAUAAAUGAUCGGUAGCGACUCUCAUCUUUGUUUUUAAGUCGACUACUAAUUUUUGUUUUUAAAAAGUGGUUUCGACAUGUACAUUCAAUGUAGAGUCACAUACAGCCUGCGACAAAAAUAAUAAUUAUACACCGCUGUGUGGGGUGACCGAAAAUUCAUAUAUAGACUUAUUUCGAACGUUCUAAUUUUCCAUUCCGAAUGUUCUAAUUUUCCACCAAAAACAAAGUCGCUUUGGAAUUAAAAUUUUGGUCCUAAGGCCCGCUGGAUUUUUCACAACCACUAUCAUUAGACUAAAAUUAUCUCUCCACGUAUGAUCGGGUUUAAAAAAAUUUAUUAAAAUUAUUUAUUUAAUUUGUUAUUAUUGUUUAUAAUAGAAUAUAAAGUCUUAAAAUAUAAUGAUAUCAUCAUGGAGAAAAAUAUUUUAAUUUAAAAAUGUAUAAAUUUUAUAUAUUAUCUUUUAAAUAAUUUAAAUUAGGGAUAAAUCUCGAAAUCAUACAUGGAUUUGAUUUAAUGUGUAAUUGUAUACAUGAACUUUAAUUUGAUUUAAUAAUUUACAAGAAUUUGGUCAAAAAUAAAAUUUCAUGUAUAAAAUUCUACAAAAUCAAAGUUCAUAUAUAUAAUUGCACAUUAAACCAUAGUUCAUAUAUAGUUUUGAGAUUUAUCCUUUUAAAUUAUAAUGAUAAUUUUUAUAUAUUAAAAUUAAUAUAUUUAACCUUCCUUUAAAUGAAAGAAGCUACUUGUUGAGUUAUUAUAUUUAUUAUAUGUGAUUUAAUUUUAAAUUUUAUUUAUCAAUCUUCACAUAAUUAUUAGAUGCUUUGAGUAAUUUAAAAGAGAUAGACACGAACUGGAAUGAGGUGAAGGAAUUUAUGGCCAUAAAGAGUAAAGGUAUAUGUAUCAACUAAAAAAUAAAAAAUCAUUUAAAAAUAUAAAACUCUCACGGAAGGACAAUAUCUUUAGUUAUUGAAGGGAUCUGUUGAUUAUCAAAUGAAAGAUAUUUUAAAAACUUCUCUUAAAAAAGUCUGAUAAUCAACAAUGCUGAUAGACCAAUAAUUUGAAGCAGUCAAUGAACUUGUAGAAAGGGUAUAGCAAGAGGGAUGGAAGCUUGACGCCAAAAGUUAAGAGAUAUCUCCAUAAUGGUCACUUGUGUUGAGUGGUCUUGGGUGAUUGAAUUUUCUACAAAUGCCAUUAAAUUUCCCACAAGAAUUUUUCUACAAAUGCUUUUCAAUUUUGAAUCAAGUUGGUUUAUGAUUGGAAUUACUUGCUGUAAUAAGUUAGUUAUUUCAUUUUUUUUAUUUAAUACCAAAAUUAAAUAAAUUUUUAUUAUUAUUCUCAUUAAAAACCCAUUAAAGUUUCAGUUUUUCUAUUUAAUAUUGUAACUUUAAUUCUAUUGAAUGUUUAGGUUACUCUUUGUUUUUCAUUAAUACUUUUGGUUUUUUUUUACUAUAAAAAGCUAUUAUAUAUUAGAUAUUACUUAUUAAGAUAUCAACAUUGUUAGAGCAAAAAAAAAAUCUGUGUGAUGGUACAUAUGUUUUUUUUUUGGUGAAGUAAAAUAACAAGAUAAAAUCCGAACAAUUAACGCGACUCGAAUCCAGGUCACACUUGAGGUGUAAUUAGGUGAGAAAGACAUUUUAUAUAAUAAAAUACAUGUGAAAAAAAAUAUUGUUUCAUUAAUUAUUAAUAAAACAAAAAUAUGAUUCAUUUGCAUUUGGUAAAAUUAAAUUAAACAAUAAAAUGUUUUUUUUUUAAUUCUCGUAGAAGUAUAUUUCAUUGAAUAAUUCAAUUGCUUUUAUUGAAAUUAUCGUGGUAUAUACGAAUGUUGCUUAGAAGUUUUUUUGUAACAAAUAUUUUUCAUUGUCAUAUAUUGCAUAUGAUAUAAAGGCAAUAUUUGAAUGGAGCAUUGGUUAGUUUUUCACGGUGAAUCCUCCACAAUAUUCCUUUGUUUGAAGUUGCGGAAAUAUAUAUGUCUCAUGUUUUUAUAAGAUGCAUGUAUUUAAGUUGCGGAAAUUGAAAAGUCUUGACCUGAGUAGCAAUGGAAUUGUAGGUGUUGUGAAUAACCAAGGUUUGUUGCUUUUCAUCUCUGCAAUGAUUAAUCUCUGAAAUUUAAUUUAAGUUUUUAUAAUUAAUUCGUUUAUUUUACUUUUCUAUAUUAGAACAGUAACUUUCUCUUGCAUGCAGUCUCUUUAUCAUCUGCUUUCAACAACUUAGAAAUCCUUGACUUAUCCCACAAUAACUUCGAUGCCAGUAUCUUAUCAAGUAAGCUUCAUCUCUCAAUUUCUAUCUAUGUCUAGUAACUAAUUGUAAGUUUAUGCAAAAAUAAUAUAAAAAUACCUACAUAAUUAACGGGAGAUUUGAAAUGCAUUUUACUAGUUUUUUUUUUUUAAAUAGUUAAAGUUGAUAUUUAUGUAUAUGGGAUAAACCCAAAUUUACGACCAACAAGAAAGAAUAGAGAAGAUUAGGCAUAUAAAUUUAUGUGGGAAAACUCUUUCAAUCAACAGGAUAAAAAAGGAGACUUCAAUAAUGAGCAAACAAACGAAGAGAAUAAGAUGGAGAUAUUCAAAAACAAACCCUAACCCUAAAAACAAAGUUCUUUGGCUAAAAUACAAAAUUCCCUCAAAGCUCUCUCGAAUUUUUCUCUUAAUCUUCUCUCAAUCUUGAUGUUAUGUGUAGAGCCCAAUUCUUGCCCGGGCCUUAACACAAAAAAUAAACAAAAUAAACCAAAAAAAAAAGUCCGUUACAGCAGUGGCCCAAACCCACAAAAUUAACCCUAGCCCGAAGCCCAGUAGAGAAGCAAACCCUAAUUUCCCUAAGGGCGCGCCACACGCUCUGUCAGGCUCCCUCGCGCACGCCACCGCCACCGUCGUCGCUUCCCAUCGCCACCUUCCCAUGCGCGUCAGAACACCUACAAGAAAACUGUAACACCCCUUAACCUCAAACCGUCGCUGAAACUGGGUUACGAGGCACUACCAGACAUAUCAAACAAUUUACAAUUAAUUCCUAGAUAAAUAACUAACAUAUUAAAAUAAAACAUAAAUUCUUAUAAAUUUUAACAGUUGACUUCAUUCAUUUUUUUUUAUAAAUUUCGGCAGCAUUUCUGCUUAUUUUUACAUAAAACCCCUGCAAAUUUCAAGAUUAUAACCUGACCAAUUCCAAUGUUUCAACCAACAUUUAUAUCCUCAAGCAUAAUUAAAAUCAUACUUAACAUUUUAACUACUAUCAUAUAGAUUGCAUAAAAAGAUUAAUCAAAUAACAUAUAUUACAUCUAGACUAAAUACUUUGUAACAUAAUACAUCAAAAUUAAGUCUUCCAUACAUGCCAUAAUUUUCGAGUGAUGAUUACAAAAUACCAAAAGUUGUGGAUAGUGUAGAUGAGUUCCCGACGAUUUCCCGAAUUCCAAGCUGAACUGGUAACACUAUAAAACUGGGAAAAACAAAGAGAAAUAAGCAUAUAGCUUAGUAAGUAGACAUAUGACAAAUAAACAAAUUUUUAACAUGAUUCCAUAGAAACAUAAUUUUAUUCACACAUAAAUUUCCUUGCUUGUUCAAUUUCCAGCAAGCUGUUUUUCUGUGUCACGGUCACUAAUUUAUUUUUAUCUGGAGCUGCUGGGCUCCAAAUUAAGUUCCGUAAAUUUUCCUUGAAACUAUACUUACAUACCUUUCUAUCAUAAAAUUUUUAGAAUUUUCGGUUUAGCCAAUUAGUACAUUUUAUUCUUUAAACUUUCCCUGUUUCACUGCUCAAUAGCUCUGACCUCUCUUUACUUAAAUUUACUUAACUCUUUGUACAGAAUUCAAACAAUGUUCUUGUUUGUUUCUCUUGAAAAUAGACUCAUUGAUAAAUUCAAGCAUGUAAAUUACAAGCCAUAAUUAUUUUUGUACAAUUUUUUGUAAUUUUCCAAAUUUGGAACAGGGGAUUUCGAAAUCAAUUCAACCCUGUCUCACUAAAAUUCAAAUAUUUCAAAAUAUAUAAAAUCUUUUGCUUGCUCUGUUUCUUUCAUGUGAAAAUAGAAUCAUUUAGCUUCAAUUUCAUAUAUUAUUCAUUCUCUAAUUAAACUUCCACCAUUUAUGGUGAAUUUUCAAAGUCGCUCAACUGCUGUUGUUCAAAACUGUUUUAUUUCAAAAUUUACUCUUUUGUAGUUUUGAUAUCUCAUACCAUCUUAUACAUGGGUCGAUUAAGUAUCAAACUCACUAUUCCUCACAUUAUCUUGUCCAUUUCAUAUAUACAUUCACUUUUCCAAUUUCCCUGUUGAACACUCGGAAUAUUAUCCGUUACUCGGUGGAUUAAGCACUUAGCAACCACCUUAAAUUCAGUGAUACGUGGAAUCAGCACAUAGCAACCCCUUUCACAGUCAAGGAUACGGUGGAAUCAGCACUUAGCAACCACCUCUAUAUUCAGUGAUACGGGGAAUCAGCAUAUAGUAACCCCUUUCACAAUCAAAGAUACGGUGGAAUCAGCACUUAGCAACCACCUCUAUAUUCAGUGAUACGGGGAAUCAGCACAUAGCAACCCCUUUCACAAUCAAAGAUACGGUAGAAUCAGCACUUAGCAACCACCUUUGAAGUCAAUAAUUCAGGGAAUCAACACUUAGCAACCCCUUGGGAAAUCUGCACUUAGCGACCCCUUUUUAUUCAAUGUUUUCCGAUCUAUUCCGAGUGUUCAAUCGGAAACCUUGUUUUUCAACACUUUAUCACCUUUCUCAAACUUAACCACAUUUUUCUGAUCUACAUCAAAUAUUUAUUCUAUAUUCAAUCAAAUCUCAACAAUAUAUUGAAUAACAUUAAAAUAACGCAUUAAUUCACAUGCAUACUUACCUUGGUGUAAAAUAUUGUAAUUUUGCAAUUUACUUCACGAUCUUUUCUUUUCCCUGAUUGAGGUUGUCUUUUCGUCUUUCUUGAUCUAUAAUAGAAAUUUUAGUUUAUUUAAUAUUCACAUUUAUUACAACAGUCCUCGACUCAACUUUUUGCAAAAUUAUGAUUUUGUCCCUAAACUUAUCAUAUUUACAUUUUUCCCAAAGCUCGAAAAUUAAAUUUCACUCCUUAUUCUUAUGUUUUACAACAUGCUGAACACUUUUUCCUUCUAUGGAAACAUCAAAUUCUCACUCUAACACGUACUUAUGAACAUUAAAUAUUUUUACCGAUUAUGACAAUUUACCCGUUUUCACUUAAAAUCGCUUAGCAAAAGUUGUUUAACAUAAUUUCUAGCUUCAUAUUCUACCAUAAAACAGAAAAAUAAACACAUUUCACCUAUGGGUAUUUUUCCAAAUAUAAACCCUAGGUUAAAAUAACAGUAGAAAUAGGUAAACCGAGCUACGAGAAUCUUAAAAAUGCGAAGAACAUUAAAAACGGGCUAGGAUGCACUUACUAUGAGCUUGAGAAAGUGAAGAAACCCUAGCUAUGGCUUCCUUCAAAUUUCGGCAGCAACUAAUGAGGAUGAACACCAUUUUUUCAUCUUUUUCCCAUUUUAAUUCUAUUUAUUUACUAAAUGACUAAAAUGCCCUUACUUAAAAAAAUCUAUUUCACCCAUUUCUUAUGUCUAUUUUUUUCCAUCAAUUAGCUAAUGGUCUAAUUACCACAUAAGGACCCCCAAUUUAUAAUUUCAUAACCAAUUAACACCUUUAACACAUAAAAUUCAACUUUUGUAUUAUUUACAAUUUAGUCCUUUUGACCAAACUGAGUGCCCAAACGUCAAAAUUUUUGAAUGAAAUUUUUACGAAAUCUUUCCGUGAAAUUGUAGACCAUAAAAAUAUAAUAACAAUAAUACUUUCCCUCGUCGAAUUUGUGGUCCCGAAACCACUGUUCCAACUAGGCCCAAAAUCGGGCUGUUACAAAAACAACAAAACAGAAACGACAAACGUACAAUCCAAAGCACAAAAAGACAAAAGAAGAGAGAUGUAGUUUUUUUCCGGUUAUAAAAGGCCGAAUGGGGCGAUUGUAUUUCUUCUUCUGUCAUUUUUGUUACAGAUUAGAAAUAAAAAGGAAAACAAAGGUUGCCUUCUGGUUUCUCUGAUUUAUUCAUUUAUUUCUUUUAUUUAUUUUUAAUGAAUCAGUUUUUUUAAAAAAGAAAAAGAACUCUUAAAAAGUAAAAAAUGAAGAGGAAUACCUGGGGUUGCCUGCGAAAUCCAUCGUCGGAGCCAUUUCGUUUGCCGAAAUCGGACGAAAAGGGGGGCAUGGGGGCCUUUCCUUCUCUCGGUCUUAAGGCCCAAAAGGCUAAGCCUUUGGGCGUUUGAAAAAUGGGCCAAAAAUGCGAUCUCCGUGUCGCUCCGACCACCGCUUACGGUAGGGUCACGGCGGCACAAGCGACGGCCCUAUUGGCCGGAUUUGAGGGCUGCGUGGGAGAGAAUGUUUGAGCUUUCUAUUUUUUUUAAAUAAGGGUCAAACUAUUUUUUUUUAUUUUUAACAUUUAUAUUGGGAAUAAAACGACGCCGUUUUGGGUUUAGGCAACAAUGGCCAAAACGACGUCGUUUCACGCUUGACCCGAAUACUCAACCCGUUUAGCAGAGGAUCCGCGCGUUUUCAAGGCCGAAUGGGCUAUUUGCGCUAUGGGUCCCUCCGCUUUGAUGCUUGGCUUCAAUUCGGUUAUUUUGUCCCUUUUUAGCAUUUUUAAUCUGACCCCGUAGAUUUUGUACCAGUUUUGAUUUGGUCUAACGCGAAACGACGCACUUUAAGGGUUAGGGAUUAAUUUCCCAAUUGGCCCCUGCAUCUUUGUGCUUGCUCCAAUCGACUCCAAAUUAUUUUUUUAUAUUUCAAAUCUAACCCACUGAUUUUAUUUAAAUUCCAAUUCAAUCCUUAGUCAAUAAAAAUUCAAAUUUCACCCUUUUUUAAUAAAAAACGAAAAUGGUCAUUAAAUAUUUUAUUUAACAUCCGUUUAAUUAUUUAUUUUUAAUUGCUAACCAAACUUAUAUAUCUUUCAUUUCAUUUAUUAUUCAUUUUUAUGUGUAUUGAUUUGUAUGUAUUAUUUGUGCCUUUAUUUUCACUAUUUAUUUAUUCGUUAUUUUCAAAUAUUUUCAAAAUUUAGAUUCAUUAGUAUUAUGUUUAUUGUGAUUGUAUUAUUGUUAUUGUUACAUUAUUACUUGCAUUAUUAUUAUUCAUGUAUAUUAGCAUUAAGAUUUAUUAGUAUUAAUGUUAUAUGUGUAUUUUAUGAUGUAUAUUAUGUCAUAAUUAUUUCGAAUGUAUGUUGUAUUAUCGUUAUUAGUCGUGCACGACCCUUUUUCUGUUUUAAACAAUUUCUCCUUCAACACAAUCAAAAUUACACGAAUAUUAUCUUUAUAUAUUUUAUUAGUUCUUACUCAAAUUCAAAAAAAGGAAAAUUUUUAUAAAUAAGGCAAUAUUUUACGUUUGGAAAUUCGAGAAAACGUACUCUAACGUGCUAGGUUUCGAUUUCUCGUUUGACCAAAUAGCCAAGUAUCCUCUUAAAAUUUCAAAGUAUGGGUUUUGGAAACCAUAAGGUAAUUUUGGUUUCUAGGGUUUAAAGUAUCGUAUCCUAACGUGCUAGAUGUGAUAUUCUUUCGGAACAAGAGAAUCUUAAAUUCCAACCCAUAUUAUUUGAAAUUUUUUUUAGGAUUGUAAUUUUUAAAACUCUUCAAAGUUUUCAAUAUUCGACAUUAAGACACUAAUUAAUCAAUUAGGUAUCAAUUUUGGGCGUUACGAGGGUGCUAAUCCUUCCUUGUACAUAACCGACUCCCGAACCUGUUUUUCUGAAUUUCGUAGACCAAAAGCAUUGUUUUAAUAAAUCCAAACCAUUUAUUAAAAACAAUCGUUUUAUGAGGUGACCUGAUCACACCUCAUUAAAAAAGAUUGGUGGCGACUCCAAUGUUCGUUUUUACUUUCAAAUACCAAGUCGACCCCCUUUUAUAAAAAAAUGGUUUCGACAUUAUGAAUAUAUUUAUUCUAGGGUUACUAGUGCCCUUUUUAUAGGCUAAGAUUAGAGUUCUAAUAUUACUAAAAUAUCUAUAGAAUAAUCACAGUUUAACUAGGAAAAGUAACCCUCUUGAAAGUCUAAUAACACAGCUACUCUAAGUUAGAAUUUGUCGCGUUAUCACGACGUACCAAGCUCCCCGUUGUGACAUCGCCUCAGCUUUGCUCUUUUUCAAACAUUGUCGUGUCGUUGCGACAUCGCAUGAUUCCUCGUCGCAAUAUCACCCUUACUUUGACUCUGAUCCGACCCGAAAAUGUGAGACACAUUCCACAAUAUCUAAAUAUAUAUUGAAUUUAAAAAUAAUUGUACAAAGGAUAUGUAAUCCUUGAAGAUUAGAUACAAGUAAUUACCAUUUUAUAUUAAAAGUUAGAAAUAUAAAUUAAAUAUUCUAAACUUUUUUUUAUGUGAAUAAGUCAUGUGUUGAUAUAUUUUAUUGCUCUUGAAUAGAAUUGAAGAGUUUGAAAAACUUGAAGACGUUAGAUUUAAGCUUCAAUGGAAUCAGAAGCCUCCGGCACUUUCAAGGUAUAUCUAACUUUGAUAUUUUAUAUACAAUCAACUAAGUCCUAUAAAAAUAUAUUUAUGAACAAGUUAAAAUGAAUGCUUGAAACAAAUAAUUAUUAUUUGAUAUUAUACAAACAAAUUCUCCUUGAAAUUGUAUUACAUAAGUAUUUUACAGAUGAGAAAUUGCAACCCAUGAUGAGUUUGGAAGUGCUUGAUUUGGAUGGUAAUUUCUUGAAGAACAAUGAUUAUCAAGUUUAAAGUCUUUGAUUAUUAGCCAUAACGAAUUGGAAAUUUUCAUAAAAUAAAAAUAACAAGCUAUAUGUAAAUUACAAUUUCAUCAACCUUUUUUAACUGUUAAAAGAAUUAUAUCCAAAUAUAUUCGUUCUUUUGGUAUUUAGCUUUUUAGGUUGUAAACUAAAGUCAUAAUGAUUUUUUGUCCUCCAAUUUUAAAAACAAAAAAUCAUUUUACCUCUCAAUUUAAUUUUUCAUCUCUUCUAGUCAUUAAACUUCAAUUUUUUUUUGUCAAAUCACCCCAAAAUGAAAAGAAAAGUUAAUAUUUGUUAAUUUUGCUAAUGUGACAUAUAUGUGAAUUGUCAUAUAGAUGACAUAUCAACAUUUAAUUAAUUUUUAAAAUUUAAGUAUUUUUUAAAUAUUUUUUAUUUUUUGAAAUUUAUUUAAAAAAUUAAAUAUUGAUGGAUCAUCCACGUGACAAUCCACAUGUAUGCAAUAUCAACAAAAUUAAAAAAAAUUGUUAAAUUUUCUAUUCAUUUUAGGAUGACUUGAUGAACAUAAGUUUAAGAGAUUAAAAAUCAAAAAAUUAAAUGAAAACCUUUUUUAAGUUAAAAAGAGUUAAAUAAAUUAUUAAUAACUAAAAUAAAAUGUUUUUAAUAAUUUUUUUAUGGAGAAAAGUAGUUGAAUUGCAUGAACCAAAAUUACUGAUUUUUUGUGAUAUAACUUUGUUUGACUGACAAAAAGGGUAUUUGAUUUAUUUGAAUAGCAUUCAAUAAUCUCACAAAAUUGAAGAAGUUGGAUAUGAGUCGCAAUUAUGUUGAGAGACUUGGUAAGUGUCCAUAUAUUUUACUUUAUCAAAUUGCUACAUUUAUUAUACUAAUAUCUAAAUGCUUUGUAGAUGAGGAAAGGUAUAAUUUGACGAAUUUAGAAGUGCUUAAUUUGAAUUACAACUCUUUCGGAAAAAGCUCAUUGGCACAGCUUAGUGGGUUUUCCAAUCUAAAGGAAUUGAGUAUGCAACAAAACCAGGUGCAAUUAUUUAAUAUAUUUAAUUUUCCUUUAAACAAAAUUAACUAUUUAUUAAGUUAUAUUUAUUCUCUAUGAUUUACUUUUAAAUUUUAUUUGUCGACUUUUAGAGAUUGAACAAUUUAGAGAAGCUAAACAUUAGAUAUCUAAUGAACUGAUGUCAACCACUAAUUUGACUCUCAAAAAUGGAAGUUUAGAAAAGCAUUUUAGUAGUUCUUUUAAGAAAAAAAUUAUGUCUAAAUAUAUAAUGAGUUUAAAAAUAAUUGUAUUAAAAUCUGUAAUCGUUGAGGAUUAGAUACAAGUAAUUGCGACUUUAAUAUUAAAAGUUGGAAAUAUGUUGUUAUUUUAAAAUUAAAUGUCCUAUAUUAAUUAUUUUUAUAUGAAUAAGCCUUGUGUUGAUAUUUGAUAUAUUUCAUUGCUCUUGAAUAGAAUUGAAGAGUUUGACAAAGUUGAAGACGUUAGAUUUAAGUGGCAAUAGAAUUGAAAGCCUCAAGCACUUUCAAGGUAUACUUAAAUUUGAUUUUCUUUAUACAAUCAACUAAGUCUUUAAGGCGUUGACCUUAUAUAUUUAUAAACAAGUCAAAGAUGCAACUUUGAGAUAAAUAAUUAUUCAUUGAUAUUAUACAAAUAAUUUUUUUCUCGAAAUUGUAUCACAUAAAUCUUUUACAUUUAUUAAAAGAGAGAACCGAAACAAACUACUUGUUCAGUUAUUAUAUUUAUUUUAUGUGAUUUAAUUAUAAAUUUUAUUUUUCGAUAUUCACAUAAUUAUCAUAUGCUUUGAGUAAAUUAGAGUCAUUGAGAAAAAUAUUUUAAAUUUAAAAAAAAUGUAUAAAAUUUAUAUUUUAUCUCUUAAAUAAUUUAAAUAAUAAUAAUUUUUAUAGAUUAAAAUUAAUAUACUAUCUCUUUUGAAAUAAUAUAAAAAUUAUAUUAAUAUAUAAAAAAUAAAUUAUAAAUUGAAAACUUAUCUCUUAAAUAUAUAAAGUAAAAUAUAUGUACCAAAAUAAUAGGAUUUCAAUUUUAAUUUUUUUUCUAUGUGUUAUCAAUUCUUUAAAACAUUUGACUAUUAAGUUCAAAAAAUUUUAUUUUAAUUAAUACUUGUGCAUUUCACGGAAAAAAAACUAGUUAAUAUAUAUAACCAGCUUUGUAGAUGUGGAAUUACUUAUUUUACAUUCUAUAAAUAUAGCAGCACCUAUAUAAAGUAUACAGUACGCCUUUUAUUAAAUUAGUUCUUUAUAAUAAUUUGUUGUCUUAAAUUUUAGCCUAAUAAAUUCUAUUUCUAAGUGAAAUAAAAUUAAUAAAUUUUAAUUAAGAUAUUAUUUCAAUAAAAUAUUUAAAUUUCAUAUAAAAUAUAUUAAUUAUAUUUUAUUAAAUAAAAAUAGUUUUUAAUAAAUGAAGUUACAUUAGUAAAUUUUAUUAAAGAUACAAUUUAAAUCUCAUUAAUUAAUUUUUAUUAAUAUAUUUUAGUUUUUUUAAUUUAAAAAUUAAAAUAUGAUCUAAAUAUUAAAUGUUGUUAUAAGUGUAUAAUAAUUACUUAUCUAUAACAUCCAAUAGUGGCAAUAUAAAAGUUGAAUAUAAGUGAAUUUUUGUGACUAACAAAAAAUGUAUUGAAUUUAUUUGGAUAGUAUUGAAUAAUUUGACAAAGCUAAAGCAGUUGGAUUUGAGUGGCAAUAAAAUUGAGAGCCUCCAAUCUUCUCAUGGUAUGUGUUGAGAUGUUUUACUUUAUCAUAUUCUUACAUAUACAUACCACUAUCUUAUUUAAUAUUCCAUUAGUAAUAAAUUUGUUUAUCUCAAUGCUUUGUAGAUGGUGAGAGGCCACUUAAUUUAACCAAUUUAGAAGAGCUUAAUUUGGAUUUCAACUCCUUCACAAACAGCUUAUUGGCACAACUUAGUGGGUUUUCCAAUCUAAAGUCACUGAAUAUAAGGAAUAACCAGCUUAAAGGAUCAAUAAAUAUUAAAGGUGGAAUUACUUAAUAUAUUUAAUCUUCCUUUAAAUGAAAUAAACUACUUGUUGAGUUAUUGCAUUUAUUCUAUGUGAUUUAAUUUUAAAUUUUGUUUGUCAAUUUUUACAGAAUUAUUAGAUGCUUUAAGCAACUUAGAGGAGCUAGACAUGAGCGAGAAUGAGGUGAAGGAAAUUGUGCCCAUAAAGAAUAAAGGUUUAUGUAUCAACUAAAGGAAAUCUUACUAAUUGUUUUCCAUUAGAUAUCUAGUGAACUGAUGCCAACCACUAAUUUGACUCUUAGACAAUGGAAGUUUGAGAAAGCUAAAGGUUGCUUCAUUAAACCGUGUGUUCACCGAUGGAACUGCUUCUCUAAUACAGCUUCUAGAGACAUUCUCAUCUGUUAAUACAUUAUAUUUGAGUGGCAAUUACUUCAAAGACACAUUUUCUACUCAAGUUAUAAUAUAUAUGUAUGUGAAUAUAUAGUUUUAUAGUUUGGUCCCAUUUAAAAAUAUUAUUUACUUAACGUAAAUCAUCUAAAUAACGCUUAUAAAUUUGUAAAGAUCAACUGCAUGUAUCGAGCAAAAUAGAGGAAUUGGUGCUGGAUUAUUCAUCUCUCAGCAACAACAUUCUUCAAAGCUUUGGUGGACUGGCUUCUCUCAAAGCCUUGUAUUUAGGUUCCUGUGGGUUGUCUGGGACAUUACAUACCCAAGGUAUAUUAAUAAUUAUGACAUAAUUAUUUAGGCAGUCUCUUGAUUAAUUAUUUUUUUAUCCUCUUAGAAAAUUGGAGUAACUUGCACAAAUUUAUUUUAUAGGAUGGUGUGAUUUACGGAAGCUUGAGACGUUGGAUCUUAGUGAAAAUUCUCUUGGGGGAGCACUCCCUUCAUGUUUGGAAAACUUGUCAUCUCUUCGUUAUUUGGAUAUUUCCGGUAAUCAAUUCAUCGGAAAAGGUGCCUCCACCGCUCUAGCCAAUCUCACAUCGCUUAGAUUCAUGUUUCUUUCACGAAAUCUAUUCGAAGUUCCAUCAAUUUUCAUGUCAUUUGCCAACCACUUACACCUCAAAGUCCUCUUUAGCGAUCAAAACAAGUUAGUCAGAGAGCCUACCAUUCAAACAUGGGUCCCAAAGUUCCAACUAAAAGCCUUCCUUUUCUCGAAUUGCACAACAAAGGAACUCCACAUUGAAAUUCCAAAAUUCCUCUACUACCAAAAUGAUCUGAGUAUGGUUGAUCUUUCAUACAAUAAUUUUUUAGGGAAGUUUCCUUUUUGGUUGUUAGAGAACAAUACAAGAAUGGGAGCAUUUUUAAUGAAGGGUAACUCUUUUAUGGGCCAUCUCAAUCUUCCAUCUCAUCCGAAACCAAAAAUGUCCCUUGUUGAUAUAUCUGACAACAAACUAGAAGGUCCAAUUCUAGCAAGCAUUUGUUCAAUCUUUCCACAACUAAAUGGGUUAAACCUAUCAGACAAUUUCUUUCAAGGAAAUAUUCCUCCUUGUUUAGGUAGUUUGAACACUACAUAUUUAAUAUUAGAUCUGUCACAUAAUCAUCUAUCUGGCGGAAUACCAGAAAUGUUAGCUCAAAGUGACUCGUUGGAGCUUCUUAGGUUAUCAAAUAAUGAUCUAAGUGGGAAGAUAGCCCCAACGAUCUUUUGCUCAUCUUCAUUACAAUUUUUAUAUUUAGAUGGCAAUAAGUUUGAUGGAAAUAUACCUGACAUUGAUAUCUCAACUUGUCAUCCGUAUCCUCUUAGUGAUAUGGAUUUAAGUAACAACAAUUUGUCUGGAGAGCUCCCAAGAUGGAUAUGGAAUAUGUCAUCUUUAAAUGCAUUAUUAGUAUCCAACAAUCAGCUCAAGGGUCUUAUUCCGAAGGAAUUGUGCCAUUAUUCCCUUCAAAUUUUGGACCUUUCAAAAAACAAUUUUUUUGGCCCAAUACCAUCUUGCUUCAAUGUACACAGUAUCAAACAUCUCCAUUUGAGCAAAAAUAGGUUAAGUGGUACCUUGACAAAUGCAUUCUUUAAUAGCUCUUCCUUGGUGACUUUAGAUCUUAGUGAAAACCAGUUGACUGGUGAAAUUCCAUACUGGAUUGGAAAUCUUUCAACUUUGAGUGUUCUCCUUCUAAAAGCCAAUUAUUUUAUUGGAGAAAUUCCCAUUAAGAUAUGUAAAUUGUAUUCAUUAAGCAUCAUUGAUCUUUCUCAAAACAAGUUUUCUGGUCUGAUACCUUCGUGUUUGAGUCGUUUAACUCUUGAGCCAAAUGAUAAAAAUCUUCGACAAUAACCUAUGGGUUGGAUUUUGAUGGAAUCUUGGAGGGAGCUAAUUAUAUUGGAAUGACCAGAUUGGAUUUGUCCGAUUUUGGAUUCAAUCUACAUUUCUUUAUUGAGAAUCUAGAAGAAAAGGUGGAUUAUACAACAAAGGGAGCAUCUCGCACAUACAAAGGAAACAUUCUUGAGUACAUGUCUGGAAUUGAUUUAUCAUGUAAUAGAUUAACAGGUGAAAUUCCCAGAGAGAUUGGAAAUUUGAGUGAAAUCCGAUCACUAAACUUGUCGCACAACAAUUUGACUGGAUAUAUACCGUCAACGUUCUCAAAGCUCAAGCAAAUUGAGAGUUUGGACCUGUCUCACAACAACUUAAUUGGAAGAAUACCUGUUCAAUUGACGGAGUUGUACGCCUUAGCAAUCUUCAAUGUGUCAUACAACAACUUGUCAGGGAGUAUUCCGUCUCCGAAAUUUCAAUUUGGAACCUUCGACGAAAGCAGUUACGUGGCGAAUCCUUUCCUCUGCGGGUCUCCCCUGCAUAAAAAUUGUAGCAACCUUGAUUCACUCCCGACAGCAGCACCAAAGAGCUCAAACGAGGAAGAAGAAAGUGGUUUGAUGGACAAGUAUGUUUUCUGGGUGACCUUUUUUGUUUCUUACGUAAUUGUGUUACUGGUUAUUGUUCUCAUCCUGUACAUAAAUCCUUAUUGGCGACAAGCAUGGUUCUCUUUUGUUGAACACUGCAUCAAGACCUGCCAGUAUUUUAUUGAGGACAAUCUUCUAUGAUUUUCCAUCUUCAAAAGAAGCGGGUAGCCUUGUGCUUUGGUGGUUUACAUCUGUAUGUAAAUUUUUUCAUGUGUUUCUAUUUUUCAAAGUUUGAUUGGGUUAUCUGCUUUUAAGUUUUUAGAGGUAGAAUACAAUAGCUCUGUGAUGUAAUAAUUGCCAGUUUAGUAUAAGAAAACAAUAUAUAAAACUAUGCAUUUUCAGUUAAAACAUUUAAUAUUGCUUUAUAAAUUUUAGUGUUGUGAUAGUAUAAUGUUAAAUUCAAUAUAUGUUUCCUUUUCCAUGAUUACGUAAAAGCGAAAUAUACAAAUCAUAUUAUAUUAAUAUAAUCCACAUUCUUUAAAUCAUAUGCUCAAUUGAAACUUAUAUAUAUAUAUUAUCAAACAUGAAUGAUAUAAACAGUCUUCGAAAAAAGUAUGAUUUUCAUGUUUAGUUAUUAUUAUUUAAUAUUUAAUUGUUUUACUAUUAUUUGAUAUCAAUAAUAUUUAUAUGUUUGUGAAUGUUGUUUGUUAUUGUCUCGUGAAAUAUUAUGUUAAAGAUAAAAGAAGUACUAAGUAAUAGUUCUUUUUAGGUGAAAUUUUGACUCAAGUUUGAAUGGUGAGUUAUUUUAUCUAAUUACUUACGUUUGGAUAGCAUAAAGUAAUUAAAUGGCACUUUUGUAAUUACAAAGAUUGUACUUGAUAGAUGAAAGAACUAGGUAAAGGAAGAAAAUAACUAUCCAAACAGAAAGAAGCAGAGAGUGAAAUAAUAGAAUAAACUUCUUGUUGUUUAUUCAAAUUUGCCUACCUCUUAAUUCUUAAUGUACAGUAUAUAAAGACUUUCUGAAUUAAGUAACAACCUCACUAACUGACUAACUACUUCUAUUCUCUAAUAUUCAUCCAUAUUCUCUAUAGGCAAGACCCGUAGAAAACUCCAAAAACGAGUAAAACUCGAUGACGAAAUUGGCUUAGUGAGAACAUCAGCGACCUGAUCACACGCUGGAACUUCUCCAACAGCAACCGUGCCAUCAGCAACCUUUUCACGAACAAAAAAUAAAUCUAACUCAACAUGCUUAAACUUUGAAUGAAGAACAGGAUUUGCAGCAACUGCAACCGCCCCAGGACUGUCACACCAAAUUUGAGGAACACUAUUAGACUGAACAUGUAAUUCUUUAAGUAGCAACAAAAGCCACGUAACCUCACUAGUAACUGCAGCAAGACUUCGGUAUUCUGCCUCAGCAGUAGACCGAGCAACAACCUGUUGUUUCUUCGUACACCAUGACACAGGUGUAUGUCCGAAAUAAACACAGUAUCCAGUAGUAGACCUCCGGUCAUCAAAAUCUAAUCCCCAGUUGCAUCAGCAUAUCCAACUAAGGACAAACUAGUGGAUGGACGAAACACAAUUCCAAAAUCAAUCGUACCACCUAAAUACCUCAAAAUGCGCUUCAGGGCAGUCAUAUGAAUGGAAGUAGGACAAUGCAUAAAUUGACAUAUUCGAUUAACAGCAUAGGCAACAUCAGGCCGCGUAAGAGUGACAUACUGUAAUGCUCCUGCAAGACUCCUGUAUUCAGUCGGAUCCUGUAGCCGCUCACCACCAUCGCGAGUCAUAACAGAGGAACUAACCAUCGGUGUAUGAACACUCUUCGUAUUCUCCAUCGAACAACGUAUAAGAAUAUCACGUAUAUACUUCUUCUGACAAAGAUGAAGGCAACCUGACGAAGAACGAUUAACCUCUAUCCCAAGAAAAUAAUGAAGAUCACCCAUGUCCUUAAGCGAGAACUCACUAUUCAGCAAAUUAACAAACCACUCUAUGACAGAAGGCAUAUCUCCAGUAAUAAUAAUAUUAUCAACGUACACAAGCACAUAUAAUGUUGACGCUGGUACAACUCGAACAAACAAGGAAGCAUCAGACUUUGAAACUACAAACCCCACGGAGACUAGAAAUCCUUUUAGCCUUUCAAACCAGGCACGAGGAGCCUGACGAAGACCAUACAACGCUUUCUUCAAGCGACACACCAAAGGUCUGCCAUCUGAGCCAUAUUGAACAUAACCGGGAGGUUGAUGCAUAAAAACUUCAGUGUCAAGGUCACCAUUUAGAAACGCAUUAUUCACAUCCACUUGUCGAAGCGACCACCCCCUAGACACAGCAAUAGACAAAAUAACUCUGAUAGUAGCCGGUUUGACCACUGGACUAAACAUUUCCUUAAAAUCACAACCCGGAACUUGAGAGCAACCUUUUGUAACUAAUCGAGCCUUAUAUCGAGCAAUAGUGCCAUCAGAAUUCUUCUUGAUUCGGAACAACCAUUUGCACCCAAUGACCUUACGAUUAUAUGGAGCAGGAACGAGCUCCCAUGUGGAAUUACGCAUAAGAGCAUUAUACUCAUCUUGCGUAGCAGUGCGCCACUCAACAGUAGCCAGAGCUUCUUCAAUUGUAGUCGGUUCAACAGCUUCAACACUUAAAACCUUAGGCUUGUAAACCCCUGCUUUAGCGUGAGUAACCAUUGGGUGAGUAUUGCCCACAGCUGUCCUAUUAAUCUGACUAGACAGUCCCAUAUUAGACGAAGAGAGAGCAUUGGUAUCACUGGAGAAUCCUGAGCCAUGCUCUGAUGGAAGAUCACUCAACUCAGUUCCAUCAUUAGCUGAAUAAUCAUGAGCUGGAAGACUACCCAACCCAGUCCUAACAUCAGUUGAAGGAUCAUGAAACUGGGGCUGCUCCACACUAACAUCUAAUACAGGAUCAGUAGGCUGAGACGACACCCCUUGUACCGACGGUGUCAUCAUGCAUGGCUCAAGAGUCGAGGAUGAAGGUGGCCACACAAGAGGAACAACUGUCGAACUAGUCUGACCGGUUGUUGAUACAGACUUGUCUGAACUAGUCUCGGUAAACAAAAACCUCUGCUCAUCAAAGACCACAUGCCUUGAAAUUAUAACCUUACCAUCUGGUAAAAGACAUUGAUACCCCUUGUGACGAGGACUGUAGCCCAAAAAAGUUGACGGCUGAGACCGAAAUUCCAACUUACGACCUACAAACGGACGUAAGUAAGGAUAACAACAGCAACCAAACACUCGAAGAUGAUCAUAGGUCGGAUCACUUCCAUACAGUUCUUUAAACGGAGAACUAUCCUGAAGUACAACCGUGGGAAGUCGAUUUAUGAGAUGAACCGCACAACAAAACGCAUACCCCCAGUAUUCCAUAGGCAAAUUUGCAUGAGCCAACAACGUAAUCCCCAUUUCAACAAUGUGACGAUGUUUUCGCUCGGCUACUCCAUUUUGUUCUGAAGUAUACGGACAGGUCAGUCGAUGAAUGAUCCCCUGAGAUUCUAAGACAGACGUAAACCCACGAUAUUCACCUCCCCAAUCGCUCUGAAACUGCUUAAUAGACUUGCCAAACUGUGUCUUAAUCAACUGUUGAAACUGAGUAAAACAUUCAAGUGCUUGAGCUUUUUGACGUAAAAGAUAAACCCAAGUAAACCUGGUACACAUAUCAAUAAACGAAACAUAAUAUCUCUUAUCACCACAUGCAACAGGUGCAGGACCCCAAAGAUCAGACACAACCAAUUCAAAAGGACGAUAGCUAGUAGUCGAAUGGGAGAAAGGCAACUUAUGUGACCUGCCUUUUUGACACGCAGUACAUAUACCAUCCAGACCAAUUUUAUUUGAAACAACAUUACAUUUAUUUAGAAUAUUUUUGACCACAGAAGUCGACGGGUGGCCUAAACGAUUAUGCCAUAAAGUAAAUACAGAAGUAGUUGAAACUGUAUGUGGAACUUGAGAAUGAGCAACAAACGGAGUAGUCGUAGGCAACGUAGAAACCGCUGGGACAGAAAACUGAUAUAGACCAUCAUGAAUGCGGCCCGUCAGCAAUAUCUCCUGAGUCAUCGUAUCCUUAAUAACACAAUAGGUAGGGUGAAACUCAAAAAACACAUCAUUAUCACGAGCAAACUAUGAGACAGAUAAGAGAUUUUUCCGUAUACGUGGCACACAUAAAACAUUUGAUAACCGUAACGAUUUAUCUUGAGUAGGUAAAAUGGCCGUACCAAUUGAUGAAAUUAUCGUAGGAGUACCAUCACCCAUUAAAAGAGAUGACUUACCUGAGUAUGGCGUGACAUUACGUAAAGCUGACAUAUCACGACAGACAUGAUGACUCGCUCCCGAGUCAGGAUACCAAGACGUGGUGCCACUGCACACUGGAAUGUACGAAUCAUCAUUACCAGUACUAGAUGCAAGCUGAGCCGUAUUAACAUGAGAAUCUGAUACUGAAGGAUCAGAAUAAUUAGACGCAUGUAAAUCCCCUAGCCGUGGAAGCCCAAUACAUGGAUUAGAUUCGGUAUAGACCCGAGCACGCGGUUUAGUAAAUUUCAGAACCGGACCACCAACACCUAGUCCAUCACCAAUCGGUUCAGGCGAGCCGGGAUCAUCUUGAUCAAGUUGAACAAAAUUAGAGGAUGGUACAAUAUUCGGCCCAGCAUUAAACUGAACAUUCAGUCCAUGAGAAGAGUGUUGAACAUUCGGUCCAUCAUUAAACUGGACAUUUUGUCCAUGGGAUUUGUUUCCACUAGAACCGCGCCACUGUCCAUUUCCAGUAGUGAACCCGUGUAAAGUGUCUCCACUAUACCCUUGCCCAGCAUCAUGACCGAAUUUAGACAAGCUGGGCUUGUAGGCAUCAUUUUGUGCAUUGGACACAUGUGGCCCACGUGGUAAUGGCCUAUUUUGCAUGCCAGCACACACAUUUUGACUAACAUAUCUAUUUUGACCAGCAUGACUCCCUUGACCAUAAAAAAUUCUUUGACUAUUCUGAUGAGGAGCAACCAUCUGUUCAUCACCAUUUUGCACAAAAGUUCCAGAAUCACAACCUUCAACACCAGACAUUUCAUUUGAGUCUCGGUGAUACCGAUAAUAGCACUUUUGAGCCACAUGACCAAACCGACUACAGAUCUGGCAUUGAACACAAGAUCUGAUAAACCGGCCACGACCACGAACAGACGCACGACCUCCACGACCGGCCCCUUCUACCGAUGGCUCAUUUUCAACAAGAUUCGCGUUCAAACUGACCUCCUGCAACACUCGAUCUUGACGACUCUCACAAUCGACUAGCGCAUCCACCAGACGUUGCAACGGUAGAACUACAGGCGACAAACGAGUAGAGGAGAUAACCGCCUCAAACUCCGACGGCAAACCCGCAAGCACCACUUCGAUCUUUUCUUCAUCGGAGAUACGAGAGCCAGAAGCAUCUAGCAUACCACAUAAAUCUUUAAUCCGAGCAACAUAAGCCUUAAUCGAAAGAUUACCUUUCUUCAACGAGUGAAGUUCAUGCCGAAUCCUCGACUGCUUGGCGCCCGUAUCAACUGCAAAAAGAUUACCGACCAUGCUCCAUAUGUCGCACGCCGUGCAAGCAUCAUCAAAGGAGGAUUGAUGAGAGGAAGUUACAGUAGACAGAAGCCAGGACAUUAGCAGUUGAUCUUGCUGCGUAAAGACUUGAGCCGCCGGAUUUGGAGCACGAGAUCCACCGGGUAGAGCGAUGAAUCGCAACGGCGGAGCAACAGUGCCAUCUAAAAAACCUGCGAGUCCAUAGCCAUUAACAAUCAGCUUUACCUGUUUACGCCAUUGAAGGUAAGUACCUUCAUCGAGUUUGACCACUUCAUGUCGAGGAAAAACUGUUGUGACUCGAUCGGCAGCAAAUACACCGGAGCUAGGUUCACCAGACGCUGAAUCAGCGGAAGCCAUGAGAAGCAAUGACCAGAAUCACUUGGCGAAUGAUACCAUGAAAGAACUAGGUAAAGGAAGAAAAUAACUAUCCAAACAGAAAGAAGCAGAAAGUGAAAUAAUAGAAUAAACUUCUUGUUGUUUAUUCAAAUUUGCCUACCUCUUAAUUCUUAAUGUACAGUAUAUAAAGACUAUCUGAAUUGAGUAACAACCUCACUAACUGACUAACUACUUCUAUUCUCUAAUAAUAGACGUGUUUGAGUGACACAAUUCCCUAUGUCAUGUUUGUUAAUAUAAAUUGUAAUUACAUAGUUACAUUAUAAAAUUUUUGGUGUUAAAUUUCGCAAAAUUCUGAUAAAAUAGUGAGGUUAACUGAGAAGCGAAUUUAUUAUUUUUGGAGCUUGUUAUUAUUUUUGAAAUUUUUAGUUAUUAAUGGGUAAUGAUGUCGACUAAGAAUCGAAUUGGCCCAAGGGACUAAAUUGAAAGAGGAGUGAAAAGGGAAAGUUUUUAAGUACUAAUAAGCCCAAGGGCUUAAUGGCCAAUUGGCCAUAGUCUUUUAAAGCACUAAAAAUCACGUCCUUUCUAGCCCUUAUUUUCAACUUCUCUCUUUGGCCGUCUGUCUACACUUGCACCGUUGAAAUCCCUUCAAAUCCUCGCCACUUUGUGUCUAAAUACCAUCAUCGAUUGCCACCACUGAUAUCAGCUGCAAUUGCUCUAAUUCACUGCGGACAAUUGCCUUAAUUUGUAGAUGCUCAUUAUUCACAUUAAAGUUUAUUUCUCUAAUGGAAUUGAUGCUAUGGUUAGUCUUAUUUUCAAAGAUGAUUAAGUUUCAUUUGAUUAGAAUUAGUUGGAAUAUGUGCGGUUAACUUCUAAUUAAAAUUAUUUAGUUUAAGAUUCAUUAAUAAAUUAUUUUUACCGUGGUUUCUUUGAUUUAUUGCUGUAAUUUUUUGUUUACUUUUAUUUGUUGUCAAAGGGUAAAUUAUCUGAUACUUUUACAAUGAACUUAGAAUUAUUUUUGAUGAAUUCGAAGCGAAAAACUAGAUAAUUCGAUGAAAGUGAAGCUGGUUGUGAAUUAAUUGCUCCUAAGCUACAAACACUAAGAAAUUCAGUUUGUUACCUUUACGUUUUAAAAUAUCUUAAUGUUGUUAAAUUAUUAGCUUUGUUGUGAUUCUUGCAUGUAAAAUUUUACUUGUGUAGUUGUUUAUUAAAUUGUUUUUAAUGAUGGCUCCUAUUGUUAAAUUGAUAUUCUUUAUUAAUUGAUUAUUUUCCGAAAAUUAUUGUUAAAAGUACGAAUUUAAUAAUUGACUAAAUACUUGAUAAAGUUAGUUGGAAAUUCUUCGGAUAUAAUUAGCAUGUUGUAGAGUGUAGAGGUCUCCAUCAUUGUUUGUUGUUCAUUGUGUGGAUUGCCUUAAGCAUAUGGGAGUAUUGUCAUUGUUGCCUCUUUGCGCAUAUAGUGUGAUGGUAGGUCAUUGAUUAAGUUGCAUUUAUUACGCAAUGCAGUACUGUCAUUGUUGACGCUUGUGCCAUUUUCAUUGACCGUUUGGUGUUUGGUUGGACACUCUUUUGUCCGAAUGUCUUUCCUUCUUGUGUUACUUAGGCAAAAUAAUUAAAUGAACUUAAACAUUAAAUUGAAACACUAUCAUUAUUUAUUGAAUGUAUUGCUAAUGUUUCAUUGUUAUUUUAAAUUGCUACCUUGUGACUGACUUGUGAUUGUAUUGUGUCUUUGAAAAUUAUUUUAAUUAUACACUUUGGUAGUUUAAAAUGUAUUGGAUUACUACUAAGCUGUAAAAAGGCAUAGCACUUGGGUUUUUAAUUUCUUGUGCAAGUAAUAUUUGGAUCGCAUAGUUUGUGAUAUCGUGAUCGAGCAACAUCACCAAAGAGUUUAGCAUGUACUUAGGUGUUGUUAAAUUGGUCAACUUGUUUACUUUAGUUUUAUUUUAGAGCUUAUUGAUUGAUUGAGCAUUGUUAAAUUAUUUUAUUAUUUGACUUUACACUAAUGUUUAAAUUUUAUGAUUUUAUGUGAAAAUGAUUGAAUGAUUGAUUAUUUGGGUCGCUCAGGUGACCGUUGUGACACUUUCGAUCCAAUUGAACUUUUGAGUCGGGUUUGAGGUGUUACAAACAUAAUUUAUAUUUUUUAAAAAAUAUUAAUUAGUAUAAAAAUUAUUAGUAUGAUCAAAAAUAAUUUCUAAACAAAUUGUCAAAACCAUUUUUUUGUAAAACGGGGGUCGACUUUUAUUUUGAAAACGAAAACGAACACAGGAGUCGCCACCAAUCCUUUUUGAUGAGGUGUGAUCGGGUCACCUCGAAAAGUUUUUAAUAAACGAUUUGCUUUUAUUAAAAUAACGAUUUUUGGUCCACGAAAUAAAAAAAAAACGGGUUCGGGAGUCGGUUACGUACGAGGAAGGAUUAACACCCUCGUAAUGCCCAUAAUUGGUACCUAGUUGAUUAAUUAGUGUCUUAGUGUCGAAGAUUGAAAACUUUGAAGAGUUUUUAAAAAUACGAUCCUUAAAAAAAUCGAAUAACAUGGGUUGGAAUUUAGGAUUCUCUUGUUCCGAAGGAAUAUCACAUCCAGCACGUUAGGAUACAACACUUUAAACCCUCGAAACCAAGAUUACCUUAUGGUGUCCAAAACCCAUACUUUGAAAUUUUAAGAGGAUAUUUGACUAUUUGGUCGAACGAGAAAUCGAAAUCCAGCACGUUAGGGCACGUUUUCUCGAAUUUCCAAACGCAAAAUAUUGCCUUAUUUUUAAAAUUUUCUUUUUUACAAAUUUGGGUAAAAUUAAUGUAAUAGUUAAUAAGAUGUACUUUUAAUAUAUGCGAACAUGGUGUGAAGGUGAAAAAUUUUUUUUACGCAAUAUAUAGUACAAUAAUAAUGAAAUAACAUAAAAUAACCAUAUUAGUAGAAUAUUUAAAAAGUAAAUAAUAAAUAAUGGAAUACAAUAAUAAUGACGUAAUUAUAAUAAUAACACCAAAUAAUAAUAACAAUAAUCAUAUUAGUUACUAUUCUAAUACUAAAAAAAUAUAAAAAUGAAAUAAACACUAAUAAUGAUGAUGAUAAUAAUAAUAGUGAUAAUGAUAAUGAAAUGUAUAAAUAAAGGAAUAAAUAACAAUAUAAAUACUAAAUCAAGAAUAGUAAGGAAAUGGAUAAAUGAAUAUGUAUAAAUAAAUAAAACUGAACGAAAAAGAAUAAAUAAAUAAAUAAAAGCUUGAAAUUAAGCGAAUAAAGGAAUAAAUUGAGGUUAAAAUAAAAUUUUAAGUCUAGAUUAUAAUAAAAUGGAUGGAUAAACGUAAAAGGGACUGGAUCAAAUUUUGAAUGGAAUUUAAAGGUAUAAAUCGGAAUAAAAAAAUGACGUAAAGGACCACAUUGAAAAGCGCGAAUAACAUAGAGGGGCCAAAUGGGAAAAUAUUCCCGCCCUUCAAAACGCAUCACUUUACACGGGGCUAAAAUGCAAUAAAAGCAAAAUUCUAGGGCAAGAUCAAAAAAAGAACACAAAAAAAUUCAAAUUGAAGCGGGCCGAGGAAGCGGAAAGACUGAACAAGUAAAUAUCCCUUCCACUUAAAAAAACACGCGGAUCCUUAUCCUGGAGCGGGUUGGGUCAACCCAUUUCGCAUCAAAACGACGCCGUUUUGAUAAGUUAUAUAAACCAAAUUUUUACCAAAAGUUUUAUUUUGCCCAUUAUUUUAAAAAAAACUUUAAAAAUCUUUCAAAAUUUCUCUCAAGCCUUCCCGCGUCUGGCCAUAACUCCGACCAGUCGUCACCGUACCGUAACCUUAUCCUUUCGACCCUCCUAAAUCCAAAUCUGGGUUCAAAAUUCCCAAAAUAUUAACAAAAAUACCUCAAAAGCUCAAGAAACCUUUCGAUUUUCGGUCACCUAUCCUCAGAGGUGACUUCCUCAGCCAUCCACGGUGUUGAAAAACUCGAAUACAGGUUAGUUUGUUACUCCCUUUUCAUUUUGUUUUACUUUCGUAUGUGUAAAUAUGAUAAAAAUAAAAUAACAGUAGACCAAAAAUGAAACGAAGAUUUAGAAAAUAGCAGUAGAUGUAAACCUUUCGGGAUUUUUCUAAUUAUUUUGAGUUUUUCGAGUAUUCGAUCCCUUUUUUUAUUACAUUGAUUGAUGGGGCCUUUUAUAGCCGAUUUACAUGCUAUUUUUUGUUUGCUUUCGCUUUUGUUCUUGUUGAUUCUGUGUCUGUCUCUUUUUUGUUCUGUUUGCAGGUCUUGGCAAGGUCAACAGAUGUUGAAGGGAUAACCCCUGCCAUUUUCGUACAAGGCUGUAGACGCCUGUCAGGCUUCGGGCGACGAGUGCGCUAUAGGGGCACGAAGAGGGAGUGCGGCACACAUGGAGCACUAGGGUUUCUGUUUUCCUCUGAAAGCAGUUAGGUUGUGGGCUGAAUUGGGUUAGGUUUUCUUUUUUAUUUUGGGCCAUACCAGGCCUGGCAUGUAAUUAGGGUUUGGGUUUGUUAUUUGAGUUUUGGGCCCGGUCAAAAAUGGCCUAUUACAGCUGCCUAUCUUUGCUUAUUGUCGUGUAACGGGAAUGAAACAAAGACUUUAAAAGGGCCAAUUUUGCCCGGUCUUGCCGAGUCUUGACUCCUUUUAGUGUUUCUCUUUUCAAGUAGCUUCACUCUAUUCCACUGUGUCUUGUUGCUUCAAUACACUCCACUGUAACUUCAAAAAGAGAUACGACUUGUAGCUUCAAUCUACUCUGCCAUAAUUUCAGAAGGAUGAGAUUUAUGGUUUUAGUCUGCUCCACUAUAACGUCAGGGAGAUAAGACUUGUUGCUUCAACCUACUCUACUGCGACUUCAAGGAGAUAAGGUCUGUUAUGGUAGACUUAAUCUGACCUACUGCAACUUCAGAGGUAUAUGAUUCAUCGUUUUAAUCCGCUCCACUUCAACUUCAGGGAGAUAGGAUUAAUAGCUUCAAUCUACUCCACUACAACUUCAGAGAGAUAAGAUUUGUGGCUUUAAUCUGCUCCACUGCUCUACUGCAACUUCAGGGAGAUAAGGUUUGAUGUGAUCUGCUCUACUGCAACUUCAGGUUUCAAUCUGUUCCACUGCAGCUUUAAGGAAAUGAGAUUUAUAGUUUGUCUUCAAUCUACUCCACUACAACUUCAGGGAGAUAAGAUUGGUUUAUUUUUUAACCUGCUCCACUGCAACUUCAAGGAGAUAAGGUUUGAUGUGAUCUGCUCUACUGCAACUGCUCCACUACAACUUCAGGGAGAUAAGGUUUGAUGUGAUCUACUCUACUGCAACUUCAAAGAGAUAAGAUCUGUAAUUUAUAGCUUAAAUCUGUUCCACUACAACUUCAGGGAAAUGAGAUUUAUAGCCUGUCUUCAAUUUUCUCCUCUACAACUUUAGGGAGAUAAGAUUGGUUUAUUUUUUAACCUACUCCACUGCAACUUCAGAGAGAUAAGGUUUGUCAAGAUCUUCAAUCCAUCCCACUGCAACUUCAGAGGCAUAAAAUUUGCCGCUUCACUAAUCUAUUAUGCGGUGAACUUGACCUGUGGAAUCCAUUUCAUAGACCUAUUUAUGCCUAGUGAUUAGGAUGUCAUAAAUCAGAAUGAAUCAAAUGCUCCUAACUAGGUGUGUAUGAAUGAUAUUUGCAUGAAUGCAGAACAUCAUUUUUUGAGAAUAAUCCCUCUUUAAUGUUUGGGUUAUCAUUGCUCAUUGUUCAUCAAGGUUUUAUCGUUAAUGCAUUACCCUACCUUCUUGUUCAACUGGUGUCUUUAACAGAAAAUCCAAAGAAAUAGUCACAAUUUAGACUAUUCUUUUUCAAAUGUUUCCAACCCUCAGGUUUGGUUAGUUCUAAACAAUAAUCCUGUUUCGAGUCCUCGUAUCAUUUAGAAGCUUUCAGAGUAAUAUGCAGAACUUCUUUUGCUUGAAUAUUAUUGAUCCAUUAAUUAUUAUUUCAAUGAAAAAUGCUUGGAAAGAAUUAUCACAAUGGACAAGAUGGAAUUUCAUUAGGAGCAAAGCUCGAACUGAAUGAAUUAAUCAAGAUAACAAGUUUUUUCCAAAAUUACAAAAUGAGAAUCAAGACAACGUAUUUUGCCAAAAUAAAAAAUGAAUGAAAUGGAAUAGGUGCCUUAGAUAUCGUAGUAUGAACUUCUCUGCACAAAGCCUUUGGAGGACCACUUUAAACUUGAUAGAUGUCCAGGAGGUCCGCAGUAUUUCGUUGAUGUCCCAAGACGCAUAAUCUCUCUUUCUUGUUAAUUCAAGCAUAGUAAAAAUUGUCGCAUGCCCCACCUUUGAUCACAAUUUGAAUUGCCCUUUUUCCCCAGGUUUUCAAUUCAAAACCCCUUUGGUCUCAAAGUGCCCUUCAUGGGUUUUCGCCUUGGCCUCUCCUCUUUUGUUUUAGGCGAGGUACUUUUUCAUUGAAUUCGAAUUCACAGGAUUAGGCAGGAUUUUUCCAUCCAUCUCAGUCAAAAUUAACGCUCCUCCAGAAAAGGCCUUCUUUACUACAUAAAGUCCCUCACAGUUUGGCAUCCACUUUCCUCUAAAGUCUUUUUGUAUGGGAAGGAUCUUCUUCAGUACCAAAUCCCCUUCAUGAAAUUCCCUAGGACGAACCUUCUUAUUGUAAGCUCGUAUCAUUUGCUUCUGGUACAUUUGACCAUGACGGAUAGCUCUCAACCUCUUUUCUUCGAUCAAGUUUAGCUGAUCAUAUCAAGAUUGGAUCCAUUAUGCUUCGUCUAACAUUAGUUCUGAAAAAACUCGGAGAGAGGGAAUUUCAACCUCAAUUGGCAGUACUGCCUCCAUUCCAUAAACCAAAGAGAAAGGCGUUGUCUCGGUAGAGGUCCUGACAGAUGUUCGAUAAGCAUAGAGGGCAAAUGGUAACUUCUCAUGCCAAUCUCUAUAAGUCUCAGUCAUUUUUCCCACAAUCUUCUUGAUGUUUUUAUUGGCUGCCUCCACUGCGCCAUUCAUUUUCAAGCGAUAUGGCGAUGAAUUGUGGUGCUUGAUCUUGAAUUGACUACAGACCUCCGCUAUCGUGUUGUUGUUCAAAUUCAAAGCGUUGUCAGAUUUAAUCCUUUCGGGUAUCCCAUACCGACAUAUGAUCUCCUUUUUUAGAAAUUUACUGACGGUCGAUUUUGUGAUGUUGGCGUAAGAAGUAGCUUCUACCCACUUAGUAAAGUAGUCAAUUACUACGAAGAUGAAUCGAUGCAUGUUUGAAGCUUUUGGUGAUAUUGGUCCAAUGACGUCCAUGCCCCACAUGGAAAAAGGCCAUGGAGAAGUCAUGACAUGAAGAGGUGAAUGAGGCACAUGAAUUUUGUCCCCAUAAAUCUGGCAUUUAUGGCAUUUCUUAGCAUACUUGAUGCAGUCCCUUUUCAUGGUGGACCAAUAAUAUUCGAAUCUCAUGAUUUGCCUGGUCAUUGUAAAACCAUUAACGUGUGUUCCAUAGACACCAUCAUGAACCUCUUCUAAGAUUUGCUUAGCCUCAAUAGCGUCCACGCAUCUUAGCAACACUUGAUCAUUUCCUCUUUUAUAUAGGAUCUCUCCAUCCAAGACGUAGUCAUUAACCUGCCUUCUUAACGUCCCCUUGUCAUCCUCGCUUUCUUGGUUUGGGUAUUCCUGACUCUUCAUGUAUUGUAAUAUAUCGCGAUACCAAGGGUGAUCACCCUUUUCCUCUUCUUUGUCGACAUUGCAACAGUGGGCUGGUGCUUCAUAAAUGCUCAUUCUGAUGGGCCUCACAUCCUUUGUUUAUUUACUUUGAUCAUAGAAACCAAAGUAGCCAAAGCGUCGGCCAUCUGGUUUUCUUCUAGCGAAAGGUAAGAGAAGGUGAUGUCAUCAAACUCGUCAAUUAGCCCUAUAACCAGCUUUCGGUAAUUGACUAAUUUGCGAUAUCUUAUCUCCCACUCCCCUUUGAGCUGAAAAACCACCAGUACAGAGUCCCCAUAUACCUCUAACACUUUAAUCUUAUGUUCCAUGGCUGUACGAAUCCCCAUAAUACAUGCUUCGUACUCGGCCAUAUUAUUUGUGCAAUCAAAACCCAAUUUACAGGUGAAUGGAUAAUGAUCUCCGCUUAGGGAUACCAAAACUGCCCUAAUUCCGUUGCCUACAGCAUUUGAAGCCCCGUCGAAGUUUAAUUUCCAAGCACCGCUUUCUUGAGUGUAUUUUUCAACAGUUCCCACAUACAUCAGAUCCUUAUUUAGGAGAUCAAAGUUCAAAGGCUCAUAGUCUUCUAGAGCUCGACUAGCUAGAAAAUCUACUAUCGCGCUUCCUUUUAUAGCUUUUUGAUUCACAUAGACUAUGUCAAAUUCAGACAGUAGAAUUUGCCAUCUGGUCAUCCUUCCAUUUAGAGCGGUUUACUCCAUCAUGUAUUUCAGAGGGUCUAGUUUCAAGAUUAACCAAGUCGUAUGGUACAACAUGUAUUGUCGCAACCUCCGAGUAGUCCAGAUUAAGGCGCAACAUAAUUUUUUGAUUGGGGAGUAUCUUGUCUCACAUUCGGUGAACUUCUUACUGAGAUAGUAUAUUGCUUUUUCUUUUCUUCCCAACUCAUCAUGUUGGCCGAGCACGAAUCCGAUGGAGUUUUCAAAUACUGUUAAAUAUAGUAUCAGGGGCUUGUCUGGGCAAGGCGGUGUUAGUACUGGAGCGUUGGACAAGUAAUACUUGAUCUUGUCAAAGGUUUUCUGGCACUCCUCGUCCCAUAUGCCCGGAUUAUGUUUCUUAAAGAGACGGAAGAUAGGGUCACAUUUUUCAGUUAACUGUGAAAUAAACCGAGCAAUGUAGUUUAGUCUUCUUAGAAAACCCCGGACUUCUUUCUGAGUGCGUGGUGAAGGCAAUUCUUGUAUGGCCUUGACUUUGUCUGGGUCAAUCUCAAUUCCCCUUUCACUGACUAAAAGUCCUAGCAACUUUCCUGAUCUAGCCCCGAAAGUGCAUUUGGCUGGGUUAAGUUUUAGCUGGAACUUCAUUAACCUUAGGAACAGUUUUCUCAAUACUUGCACAUGUUCUCCUUCUGUCCUAAACUUUACAAUCAUGUCAUCAACACAGACUUCUAUCUCUUUAUGCAUUAUAUCAUAGAACAAAGUUACCAUGGCUCUUUGGUACGUUGCCCCUGCAUUCUUUAAUCCGAAUGGCAUCACCUUAUAGCAAAAUGUUCUCCACAUAGUUACAAAUGUGGUCUUAUCCAUGUCUUCAGGAUGCAUUUUUAUCUGAUUAUACCCCGAGAAGCCAUCCAUGAAGGAGAAAAGUGAGUAACCUGCUAUGUUGUCCACCAGAGUGUCGAUAUGGGGUAACGGAAUAUUGUCUUUUGGACUAGCUUUGUUCAAAUCUCUAUAAUCUACGCACAUCCGUACCUUCCCAUCUUUCUUAGGGACAGAGACUAUGUUGGCUACCCAAUCCGAGUACUUGACCACUUGUAAGAACCCCGAGUCGAACUGCUUCUUGACCUCUUCUUUUAUUUUUAACAAAACAUCAGGCCUUAUUCUUCGUAGCUUCUGUUGCACCAGUUUACAUUCUUCUUUUAUGGGCUGUCGGUGUACUACAAUAUCAGUACUUAGGCCAGGAAUGUCUUGAUAGGUCCAUGCAAAGACAUCUUUAAACUCUUGAAGUAAUCCAACGAGGUCUCGUUUUGUUUCCUCAGUAACGCAAGCGCCAAACUUUACUUCUUUCUCUUCUUCUAAACCCACUACUUCCACGGAUUCCUUAUAAGGUAAGAUUUGUUUCUCUUCUUGCUCCACCAUUCUUAACAAAUCAGGAGAUAAUACGCUGUCUUGGUCAUCUUCAAAACCCUGACGAUCAUCCGUACUCAUGUCUUGUUCAAAUAGGGACUUUGAGUCAGUAACAGCGUCGCUCACAUCAUUGAUAUCUGAAGACCUGUUAUUGGGAGAAAGGAAGGUCCAAAGAAAGAAGAAUCUAAGCAUAAUUGUUUACACAGUAUGAUUAUAAAUUGAAUGAAAAGAAUAGAAGAAUAUUUGCUCAAAAUGAGACUGAAUGAUGUGUUUUCAUUGAAAUAAGAUUUUGGACAUGUGUCUUUUACAAAAUAUUCUUAUUGCCCCCAGGCUUAGGGCAACAAGUGUUCUAGAUAUUACUCUGAAUUAGUUCUAAAUGUUAUAGGGAUCUCUUCUGCAGUCUAGUUGUCUAGAACACUUCCAGGUUCGUAAGGGCGGAUGCCUGAUACACUUCCUUCUUCGAGUUCUUUUUUGAAUAUGGCAUUGAUGUUCAGGUUUUCUAACAUUUCCUCCGUAGUAUCCCUUCUUGGUGUCCUUCGUUCAGGAUAAAUAGUUCCCCCUGAUAUAAAGGUCCUAGAUAUGUGGGGGAAGGUCAUAGGUUCCCAAUCGACUUCUUUUCCACUCAAACGCGCCUUCCUCUUCUCUUGUCUUUUUUCUAACUCUUUCCUUCUUUACUUCGCAUUUGGCUUAGAUCCUAAACCAAAGCGGUCUCGUUUAUCUUUUAUCAUUGGUACCUCUAUCCUUCAUUGAAGACAUCUUCCGAAUCCUCUCCCAGACACUGCUCCUUUUCCAAUCGUCAUUUGCAGUCCCAUCCUCGUAGUUUUGGAUAUGCUAGGCAUCGUGAUCUUAUUCCCCUCAACAACAAAAGUUGCGUUCACGAAUUCUAAGGAUCAAAAGGAACAUUCAAUCGCCUCAUCAUUCGUUUCUAAAUAUGGUGUGUCGCUGGUUACCGAUGCAAUAAUGUCUUCUUUAGCGCUUAUAGUAACUAGUCGGCCUUCUAUUACCAAUUUCAACUUCUGGUGCGAUGAUGAAGGCACUGCUCUAGCUGAAUGAAUCCAAGCUCUUCCCAACAAGUAAUUAUACGAAGGUUUGAUAUCCGUCACUAGGAAAUCUACCUUGUAUGUAUUCGGGCCAAUCAAGAGAGGUAUUUCUAUUCUUCUCGUUACUUUUCUUUCAGUGCCAUCAAAUGCUCUCACUAUAUUCUGGCAUGAUUUCAUGUGAGAGUUAUGCAUCGGUAACCUGUUUAAGGUGGAUAAGGGUAAGACAUUCAAGGCCGAUCCAUUAUCAAUUAACACCACCGGAAACGUGUAUCCCUUGCAGCGAGUGGUGAUAUUUAGGGCUUUGGUGGCUCCUCUCCCCCCCCCCCGAUGAUAUUUCAUUAUCAUUAAAGAAGAUGAAGUUGUCGGCACUUAUAUUGUUAACCAAGCAGUCUAACUUGUUCACCGAGAUAUCGUUAGCGACAUAAGUUUCAUUUAGUACUUUUAUCAACGCAUUACGAUGUGUCUCUGAACUUAGAAGCAACUUAAGCACCAAGAUGCAAGCUGGUUGCUUAUGUAGUUGUUCCACCACGCUAUACUCACUGUGCUUUAAGAAUUUUAGAAAUUCUCUAGCCUCAUUUUUAGUUACCGGCUUGUUAACAUGCGAUUCAAUUCUAAUCGUUUUUGCUUCCCCUCGCUCAACCGCUAAGGUUUUUCCUUUUGUGGUUUCCACUCUUGCAUUUGUCGAAUCGUAGCAUUUUUCGCUUCGUGUAUAGAAGCCUAUAUCAUCACCCUUUUUUGAAGUAUUUAUUGGGUUCUCUUCUCCCGGGAUCGUCACGUUGCACUCGUAAUUCCAAGAAACCCAUUUGCUAUUCUUAUAAAGAAAUUAUAUGGGUUUUUAGAUUAUGACCCUUGGCGCUAUUUCUAUUCCAGAUUCUGUGCUCCUUGGCCUUGAAAUAAUCACCACUGAGUGAUUAACCCUUUGGGCUUCCCCGUAGAUUCUUCCUCCGAGGUGUAAAUUUCCCCUUCUUCUAAUCCUUCAACCUUUUCAUAAAACUUCAACUCUUUGUUAUCCAUUAAGUUUUGCAUCAUGGUUCUGAACUCGGUGCAUUUUUAAGUGUCAUGGCCCUCUUCAGCAUGGAACUCGCAAUACUUCAUCGUCCCUUUGGGCCUCUCCGUUGAAUCUUGCUUGAUAAAACCUCCCUCUAUCAUUCGUUUCCAAACCCAUUUCAACGGGGUUUUUAUCUCUGCUACGUCAGCUUUAACUCUCCUUCCCCACUCUCGAUUAUUGCGUUUACCUCUUUAUCAGAAUGAUUGGUUAACGGAUUCCCUGCUACAUUUGGUUCUGGUGGGUCGUCAAACUUUACAAUCCCCAUCUUAAUGAAUCUUUCCACCAUCUUCUUAAACGCAGUGCAGUUCUCAAUCGAGUGUCCCGUUAUCCCUGCUUAGUAUUCACAUUGGGUAUUCACGUCGUACCAUUUAGGGUAUGAAGGUUGCAUGGGUUUCAGAUAAAAUGGAGACACGACGUGUGCAUCGAAUAGAUUCUAAUACAGUUCUCUAUACGUCAUUGAGAUACGUGUGAAUUGGGGUCUUUCUACAUUCGACCUUGGAUGGGAUUCCUGCCUUAAAAAGCCUUGAUGGCUAGUGGUUAUUGCUCUUGCUUGUCCCACCGUGAUUGGUUUAGAAUAGCCUUUGUUAAACAUACUUGCAUUGUUUAUCUCGUGCUCUUUCUUUCUUGGGGCUGACCUCUUGGCACUUUCCCCCGCUUCUAUCUUGCCGCAUAUUAUUGUAUUCUCUAUCAUUUCUCCAGACAUCACUAUGUCUGAAAAGCUUUUAGUGGCGCUGUCUAACAUGUGAUUGAUGAACAGAGCCUUCAAAGUAUUGAUGAAAAGCAUGGUUGUCUCUUUCUCCAGAAGUGGUGGUUAGACUUGCAUUGCUAUUUCUCUCCAUCUUUGGGCGUACUGUCUGAAGCUCUCACUAGGCUUCUUUUCCAUGUUCUGUAAUGUAAUUCGACCGGGUGCUAUAUCCUUCACAUGACUGUACUGCUUCAUAAAAGUCUGUGCCAAGUCCUUCCAUAAAUUGACUUUAGUCUGGCUCAAUUGGUUGUACCAUUUAGCCGCCGACCCGAUCAAGCUGUCUUGGAAAUAGUGCAUCAAUGUUGAUCAUUAUUGAUGUAUCCUGUUAUCCUUCGACAGAACAUAGUGAUAUGAGCUUCAGGACAGCUAGUCCCGUUAUACUUUUUAAACUUUGGCAUUUUGAACUUAGGUGGAAGCACCAGAUCAGGAACCAAACUCAAGCCUUUGGCGUCAAUUCCACAAUGGUAGUCGGCGUUCUCCAUGGCUCUAAAUUUCUCCUCUAUCCAUCUACACGAUCCUCAAGUUGUUUUGGCAAGUCCAUUCUUACCUUUUCUAUUUCUGCCACGUCAUCGAGAUCAGGGACCACGGGAUUGGUAGGGUUAUCCCCGGGAUUAGAACCCGAGCUUAUUGGAAAGUUCAUUGACACUAGGGCCCCAACCUGAUAUUGGGAUCUGAUAGUGACAGGUACCCUUCAUGGGUACACGUCCGGUUGCGCUUAGAUGUUAGUUAGGGUAAAACCUGGAGGAUAGGCAGGGUCUUCAUGAUCAUCCCCAGAAUUGACCACAGGGCUCUUCCCUUUAUCAUUUUCUCCAGCCAUUAACUGUGUUAACUAGCUCAAUAAAUUUCUUUGGGAUUCUUACAUGUCUUGUUGCAUUUUAGCUAGUUUUUCCUGCAUCUGAACUUGCAUCUCUUUUCACAAUUGUUCCAAUCUUUCUAAUAUCUGAUCCAUUACUUUUGUCUUGCGGCGGGUACCGUAGUGAUAUAUAGUUGGCUGAUUUUUGUUGGUUUCCAAGGUAACUGUCAUAAUUUUAAUUAAUUAGGGCUCUUUUUUGAAACUUUAAUGCAUAUGAUGAGAUGUAAUGCAAAUGAAUCAAAGCAAAAAGAGGCAUUGAUUCUAAUUCAAUUUCAUUAGAAAAACUCGAUUAGAAAACAAAUUUCUUUACAUAAAAUGGAUUACAUAUAUGGCUUCGCCUUUAUACUCAAAGCCUUAACCCUCUUAAGGAGCCAAGCUAACUCUCAACCUCGGCUUGAUUCUGAUUCAUAUUUUAAACUCAAUACAUCAGCCUGAACUGCUAAGGUUUGCAGAUGAUCAGCUACUUCCUGCACUUAAGUUACAACUUCACCCAUAAUGUAAUCUUUAUCUCUAAUCUGACUUUGGGAAUGAUGGAGCUGUUCUUGCCACUGUUCGUUACGCCUCUCAAGAAGUUCCACUCGUAAUUCAGAGUUUUGCAAUGCGUCUUCGAGCUUUUCUAUUUUCCCCUUCAAUUUUUCGAUCUUUCCUAAACUUGCUCUUAACUUGAUCAUUGAGUUGCGACUACGGUACAGGUGAAGCGACUUUUCUAACUAUACUACCCGAGCUUUUAAUCUCGCUUCUUCAUUUCAACAUUCUAACAAGUUUUUCUCUAAAGCUCUCUCUCGAGCUUGGGCGUCUUAAAAUUUCUUUUCCCACUGAUCAGCCAUGGUCUUUUCUUCCUUGAUCUCCUGUCGCCAUUACUCCGACGUUUUACCUAAACCGACAGUUCUUAUUGACAAACGCAGCUUCUUAUAAUCUAUUUUUAGACUAUCUAAAUCCUCUUCAGCCUUGUUCUUCCCUUUCCUUAAUUUUUCGAUUUUUAACUUGUGGAUAUCGACAUCUAGUCCCAAACGCAUCUUUUCCUCUUCUAGCUGCUCUAUCUUCUUUCCUAACUCUGAACUUCUUUUUUCAAAGUCCUGUUUGAUGAUCUCUAAUUCUGAUGGAACUUCUUGUAGAUGGUCCUCUAUAGAUCGAAUGCAUUCUUUUCUCGACCCGGAGAUGUUGUUAUUGACCCUCUUACUCCAACACCCAUAAUAUUCGAAAGUUGUCAUUGCUCUUACGGUAAAUCUUUUCAUCCGGUGAACUUGUUUCCAAGCGCUAAACAUUUCUCGAAUCUUUCUCUUGUAGUUAUCACCCUUAUAAGAAAACUCACACUGAGUCAGCCCUUAUGUUGUCGGUAUGAACUAUCUUGAUUUAUAUUGUCUUAAUACGAGCAAAGGGGUAUAUUCGACAGCUCUCCAAAUUCUAAGUAAAAGGACCAAGUCGAAGUUUUCACAUCGAUAUAGGAUAUCGUCGGGCACCAUCCAAUGAGCUUUCCAUUCAACAUCUUUCUCUUGAAGAGUUUGGAGAAUCACCAUCCAUUUCUCUUCUGUGAUGUCGUUUCAUCUUGGUGUAGCCACUAGUUCCUUUAAUGGGGAGUAGUUUUCUAAGAAUACCCAAUAGGAGACCUUUUUCCACUUUCCAAAAGUGUCUAUGGAACCACACCAAUAAUAGUUGCGCGCAUCCGAUGAACCUUCCUUCACCCGCUCUUCGACACGCAUUUAGAGAUCUAAAAGUUUCAGCCAAUAUUGCUGAGACCGGUGUGACCCCCUUGUCAAGCCUAUCAAACAGAUCUGAAACUGCUUCAUCCACAUGCCCUAAUGCCUUGGGGAAAAUAACUAAACCAUAAAUGCUCAAGACAAAGAUAUCAACUCACUUGGUGCAAAAAUCAUGAAAAACCAGCUUGAAUAAACCCUUAGGACGUUUUUGGCUGAUGAGAAUGCAGAAAAAUAAAGAGAAAUCUAGAUAAUUCCACUUUAGUCCUAACUUUUAAAGUAAAUUUUUGCAAUAUUCUAAUUUUACCCUUAAUUCUCCAAUUCUCCUUAUUUUUCUCAGCUUGUGCCGCCCAAAAUAUCUUCUUUUGGGCUUAUUUACAAUUUAUGUCCCUCCUUAUUUAACAAUGGAGCUAUUUAAUCCUUCUAGUAACUUUUACACCUUUUUUAAUUUAGUCCUUUUCACUUAAUUGACUGCCCAAACAUUAAAAUUUUCUAACGAAAUUUUAAUACCAUAUUACUAACAUUUCAUAAAUAUUUAUAAAAAUAUUUUUGACUUGGUUUUAUGAGAUCGAUGUCUCGAUACCUUGUUUUUACCCAAUUUCUUCAAUAAUUUCUUUUUCUAACUAACCACUAAAUCGGUAAAAUUUUUCUAUCGAUAUUUUCAUACGAUUUUCUAUCAUAUCAAUAUUCAUGCAAAAAUAUUAAAAUAAAUUUCUUUUAAAAUCGGAUUUUUGGUUAUGAAACCACUGUUUCGAUAACCUUGAAUUUAGGCCAUUACAACUCUCCCCCCUUAGGGAUUUUCGUCCUCAAAAAUCUUACCAGUAAAGAGGUUCGGGUAUUGUUUCCUCAUUGCCUCCUCUGAUUCCCAUGUCGCUUCCUUAAUCCCGUGCUUUUUCCAUAAUACUUUCACCAAAUUUAUCUUUUUAUUUCUAAGCUCAUUUAUUUCCCGUGCUAAUAUCUUAACCGGUUCUUCACUAUAAGUCAUAUCCGGCUGAAUCUCCACUUCUGUCAGAGAAAUAACAUGUGAAGGAUCUGAUCGAUACCGUCGUAGCAUAGACACAUGAAAAACAUUAUGAAUUCUAUCGAGUUCCGGUGGUAAUGCCAAUCGAUAAGCGACCGCGAGUUCCGGUGGUAAUGCCAAUCGAUAAGCGACCGGUCUAAUUCUUUCUAUAAUUUCAUAUGGCCCAAUAAAUCUUGGACUCAACUUACCCUUUUGACCGAAUUGGAGAACUUUUUUCCAAGGAGACACUUUUUUGGAAUACCUUAUCACCCACCUAAAAUUCAAUCUCUUUUCGUUUAAGAUCAGCAUAUGGCUUUUGACGAUCGAAAGCUGCUUUUAGACUAUCUCGAAUCAUCUUGACUUUUUCUUCUAUUUCCCGGAUCAAAUCAACCCCAUGUAUCUUCUUUUCACUAAGCUCUGUCCAAUAUAAUGGUGUUCUACAUUUUCUACCAUACAAAGCUUCAUACGGAGCCAUUUUAAUACUGGACUAAUAACUGUUAUUAUAAGCAAAUUCAAUCAAAGGUAGAUACCUCUCCCAAUUACCUUCUAACUCUAAUAUACAACAUCGGAGCAUAUCUUCCAAUACCUGAAUUACACGCUCAGAUUGGCCAUCUGUCUGAGGAUGAAAUGCAGUGCUGAAAUACAAUUGAGUACCCAAGGCUUCUUGCAAUUUGUCCCAGAAACGAGAUGUAAAUCGGGGAUCUAUAUCUGAUAUAAUAGAUAUUGGCACUCCAUGUAGCUUGACAAUCUCAGAUAUAUACAGUUCAGCCAAUUUAUCUAAAAAAUAAUCCAUAAGUACUGGGAUAAAAUGUGCUGAUUUUGUUAAUCGAUCAACGAUCACCCAAAUGGCAUCUUUCUUAUUCGGUGACAAUGGUAACCCAAAUACAAAAUUCAUAGUAAUUCUUUCCCACUUUUAUUCCGGUAUAGUGAUUGGCUGAAGUAACCCCGAAGGUACCUGAUGUUCAACUUUAACCUGCUGACAUAUUAGGCACUUUGAUACAAACUCAGAAAUAUCACGUUUCAUACCUGGCCACCAGUACAUCUUCUUCAAAUCAUUAUACAUUUUAUUACCUCCCAGAUGUACGGACAUAAUACCACUGUGUGCCUCGUGUAAAAUCUUCUGUACAAGCUCUGAAUUCUUCGGUACACAUACUCUGCCUCUGAAUAAUAAACAACCAUCAGUCCCAAUUUGAAAUUCUGAAUCAUUACCUGACUCACAUUGUACCCAUUUAGCCUGUAGCUUUUCAUCAUUUUUCCGAGCUUCAUAUAUUUGUUGUAGAAAUGUCGUUUAACUCUCAACUCAGCUAUGACUGAACCAUUAUCAACCAAAGACAAUCGGGUAUUCAUAGCUCGCAAAGCAAACAAAGAUUUUUGACUCAGAGCAUCAGCUACAACAUUAGCCUUACCCAGAUGGUAAUCAAUAACCAAAUCAUAGUCUUUUAUCAGUUCAAGCCACCUGCGCUGUCUCAAAUUCAAAUCUUUCUGUGUCAUCAAAUAUUUCAGGCUUUUAUGAUCAGUAUAAAUAUGACAUUUUUCACCAUACAAAUAAUACCGCCAUAUUUUCAAUGCAAAUACAAUAGCAGCAACUUAGAGAUCAUGUACCGGGUAAUUUCUUUCAUGUGGCUUAAGUUGUCUUGAAGCAUAGGCUAUUACUUUACCUUCUUGCAUCAAGACACAGCCUAAACCAUUUAAUGAUGCAUCACUAUAAAUAAUAAAUUCUUUACUCGGUUCAGGUUGUACCAACACAGGUGUUUUCGUCAACAAAUCUUUCAAUCGGUCAAAACUCUGCUGGCAUUUAUCAGUCCACUCAAAUUUAACAUCUUUCUGUAAUAAACGAGUUAUCGAAGAAGCUAUCAUAGAGAACCCCUGUACAAAUCUCCGAUAAUAACUGGCUAAACCCAAGAAACUUCUAACUUCAGAUACAUUCUUCGGUGGACUCCAAUUGACAAUAGCUGAGAUUUUACUCAAAUCUACCUUGAUGCCUUCUGCGGAUACAAUAUGUCCAAGAAAACCCACUUCUCGAAGCCAAAAUUCACAUUUACUGAAUUUAGCAUAUAGCUACUUCUCUCGCAGAAUUUGCAACACAAUUCUCAAAUGUUCUGCAUGCUCAUUUUCAUCUUGGGAAUAGACCAAGAUAUCAUCAAUAAAAACUACCACAAACCUGUCUAAGUACGGUCUAAAUAUCCGAUUCAUCAGGUCCAUAAAUACUGCAGGUGCAUUAGUCAGCCCAAACGGCAUAACAAGAAACUCAUAAUGCCCGUACCUGAUUCUAAAAGUUGUUUUCGAUACAUCUAACUCCUUUACCCGUAACUGAUAGUAGCCCAAUCGGAGAUCAAUCUUUAAAAAUACAGUGGCACCCUUCAACUGGUCAAACAGAUCGUCAAUCCGAGGCAAUGGGUACUUAUUCUUUAUAGUGACUUUAUUAAGUUGUCAGUAAUCAAUACAUAAUCUUAAGGACAUGUCCUUCUUUUUCAUAAAUAAAACUGGAGCACCCUAAAGUGAAUGACUUGGUCAGACAAAACCCCUGUCAACAAGUUCUUGCAACUGUGUCUUUAACUCCUUUAAUUCUGUAAGAGCCAUACGAUACGGAGCUAUAGAGAUUGGAGUAGUUCCCGGAAUCAGAUCUAUAGAAAAUUCCACUUCUCUUUCUGGUGGCAACCCUAGUAAUUCCUCUAGAAACACAUCAAAAAAUUCACAUACAAUUGGCACUGCCUGUAUAUUUAAUUGGCACUGCCUGUAUCUUUAACUCAGAUACCUUAGUGUUUAACACAUAUGCCAAAUAAGCAUCAUACCCUUUUCUGACACACCUCUGAGCUGUCAUAACCGAAAUCACAUUAGAUAAUUCUUCUGUCUGAUCAAAUUUAACCCGAAGUAAUUCUCUAUUCUAACACUUCAGCAUAAUAUAUUUCUGUCUACAAUUUACUACUGCAUCAUGCUGAGUUAGCCAAUCCAUACCCAAUAUCACAUUGAACUCAUCAAAAGGCAAUAACAUCAAGUCAACAGGAAAACAAAUACCUUUUACCAUCAGUGGACAAUUUUUACAAACUUUAUCCACCAUCAUAAACUGGCCCAGUAGGUUCGAGACUUUAACCACAAAUUCAGUAAGUUCAACAGAUAAAUUUUUAACAAAUACUAAUUUUGUGCAUAUGUAUGAAUGUGUAGAGCCAGGAUCAAUUAAUACAGUAAUAUCAGUAUCAAGUAAAGAAAAUGUACCAGUAAUAACAUCGGGUGCUGAGGCAUCUUCUCUAGCACGGAUGGCAUAUGUCCUAACAGGUGCUCGUGCCUCAGACCUGCCUGCAGUCUCUUUCGUAACUCCUCAGCUACCACUAACAUUACCAGAUGGUCGAGGUGGUCUACCCCUCGAAACUGGAUUACUCGGCUUCGAUGUAUGUUUAGCUUCUUUUUCACCCCUUUCUAGACAAUCUCUGAGGAAAUGAUCGGAAGAACCACAUCGAUAACAAGCCCCACUCUUUAAUCGACAUUCACCAAAAUGAGUUUUAUUACAGUACUGACAUCUCGGCUUAGGGGUACCAACACUACCAGCACUGGUCACUGAUGGAGUGGAAGGUCUUGGAUUAGUGCGUUGAAAACCUCGCUCUCUAAUCGAAUACCCACUGGCUGAGGUUGAACGAUCCUGGUAUUUCUUCAAUUUCUUUAAAGUAAAAAACUGGGAUUUUUCCAUAGAUGUUUUACUGAAAACCCGAGCUUCUCUUUCAGCUUGUUUCUUUUCUUUGCUCAAUUUUUUUGCUUUAUAAGCUCACUCUGCAAGGGUAGUAAACUCUCGAAUUUCAAGAAUUCCGAUCAAUAGCUUAAUUUUUUCAUCCAACCCUUCUUCAAAUCUUUUGCAUAUUCCAGCUUCUGAUUGUACCCAUUCCCAAGCAUAUUUACUCAAUCGGACAAAUUCUCUUUCAUACUCAGAUACUGAUCUGUUAUCCUGUUUCAGCUAAAAAAAUUCUUUUCUCUUCCGAUCGAGGAACCUCUGACUGAUAUAUUUCUUUCUGAACUCGGUCUAAAAGAAUUCUCAUUUAAUUUCUUCUUUUGGAACCACCGAAGCUUUAGUGUUUCACCAAUGAUAAGCUGUGUCUUUUAACAAUGAUACUGCACAUUUCAGACACUCUUCUGGCGUGCAAGAUAAUUCCUCCAAAACCCGAGUAGUAUUCUCUAACCAAAACUCAGCCCGUUUGGGAUCAUCAUCAACUGCAGCUCUGAAUUCUUCUGCCACAUAUUUUCUGAUUUUAUCAACCGGAGCUUUCCCUUUUUUGCUAGGUUCAAUACCUGUACCCUGUGAAAUCUCGGGAAUCGGUGGAGGAGGAGGAGGAGGAGGAGGAGCUUGAGCUUGCUGCACUAUAGGGUUAGUUUUUAUAUAUUGAGUAAAUCAUUCAUUCAUCAUUUGAUAGAAGGCAAUUUUAGCCUCUUCACUUUGGUCCCUUAUCUCGGACCUUCUACUACUAGUAGCUUCAACUUCUCUUUGUUCUGAAGCCGGAGCAUGACUCUCGGCUUCCUUGGGUUGAACUUGGUCGGCAGACAUUUACUAUAAGAAAAUCACAUUUCAAAUGGUCAGGAGAUAUCACACUAUCAAUAAGAAUUUAAAUCCCAUGUAUAGCUAAUCCAGUAUUUUCUACAUCGGUCCGAGAACUGACUAAAUCGUAGCUCUGAUACCAACAAAAUGUAACACCCCUUAACCAUAUCCGUCGUUGAAAUAGGGUACGAAGCAUUAUCAGAUUUUAUCGAAUUAAUUUUCUAUUAUUACGAGUUAAAUACUAUUCAUUUAUCGAAACAUGUCAUGACGUCCCUUGAAUGGGCCUCCGAAGCCCAAAACAUACAUCGAGACCAAACCGGGAUUAAAUCGAAACCAUAAGAAAUUUUUCGCAAAAUCCCAAAGUUUUUUUUUUAAAACUCAAUACAACCCCUUUAUAAAUAUCUAAUCUUCCCUGCAAUUUUAAACCAAGACCAAUCCAACACAACCAAUCCAUUUCAACAUACUUUCAAAAUAGAUUUAACAUAUUCAUAAGAUAACCUCAUCACAUACCAAAACCAAAAUUUGUUAGCCAUACCAAUGGCUAACCAUUCAUUCAUUUCACAUUAACAUUUACUUUACUAGCUUAUACAUGCCAUUGAUUUCUAAAAUAAAGUUUCUUUAUAUACCGAGAUCUUGAGGUUGAUAGUGUGAUGCGUCUCCGACCAAAUCCGACCUCCGAGCUCUUAACACUACAAAACAGGGGAAAAGGAAACAGGGUAAGCACUUUGUGCUUAGUAAGCUCAUGUAAUAAGAAUUAUACUUACCUAAUAUUUUCAAUACAAUACAAUACAAUACAAUAAACAUUCAUACAUCCAUUCAAUGCAUUAUUCCCCUAACAUGCACGAACUCAACAUUCAAGUUAGUUCAGUAAUUUCCAUGUAUCAAUAAUAUAUAUAUCACGAUUGAUAAGCUCAUCAAUUCCAUGAUUUCCAUUCCCUUGUUAUUUUUCCAUAUUUAUCCCGUUGAACUACUUGGAAUUUCGAUGGAUUUUCAGGGGUACACCUAAGUGUACAAAUCUGGGUUCGUCAAUUCAUAUUCAUGUGCGCACAUUUUCAUUUCAGAGAGCACACUCCCGUGAACCUCAUCCUUACAGCGGGAUUACCAGUCCAGGCUAAAUCCCCUGUAAUAUAAACUCAUAGAAUAUUGUCGGGAUUACCAGUCCAGGCUAAAUCCCCUGCAACGACAAUUACUCUAAUGAGCUUGGAUUUGAAUUACCAGUCCAAGCUAAAUUUAGACCCUAAUUUGGAAUACCCGUCCGGGCUAAAUUCAUUUUCCACAUAUUCUUUGAGAGGGCUGUAUCAGAAUAGGAUCACCCAUCCGGGCUAGAUCCUUUUUACCGUCAAUUCCUUUUCAGAGAUCCAUCGAAUUUUCCUUUCAUUCAACCGGGAUUUAUUUUCUCUUUUCAUCAAGAAUAUCAAUACUUCUUCAAUUAUCAUACAAUAAACAUCCAAAUCAUAUUCACAUCAAGAAAAAUAUAUUUCAAGCAUUUAAGAAUAUAAUUCAAGUUACACGAACUUACCUCGAUACUUGUUCGUAAAUAAAAAUCUACUAAUUCCAAACUUUUUCUUUUCCUCGAUCUAGCUUUGUAUUUGAAUUUUCUAGAUCUAAAUAAAUAAAUUUAAUCAUUAAUCUAAUACAUUUCAUGUUCAUAUGUAACAUUCUCUAUAAUUCCAUUAUUAUUUAUAGUUCAUUCAAAGCUGUCUCAUUGAGUCAUAGUCGCUAAAUUAUUUAUAUCUUGAGCUACGGAAUUCCAAAUUAAGAUCUGCUAAUUUUUCCCAAAACUAGACUCACAUAUCUUCUUACCAUAAAAUUUUCAGAAUUUUUAGUUCAGCCAAUAAGUACAGUUUAUUCUUUAAAGUUUCCCUUGUUUCACAGUUCAACAGUUUCGCCCCCUCUUCACUAAAAAUUAAUUAUCUCAUUGUACAGAAUUUGGAUGAUGUUUCCAUUUAUUUAUUCUAAAAAUAGACUCAUUAAGGAUUCUAAGCAUAUAAAUUAUAACUCAUAAUAAUUUUUUUACAAUUUUUAAUGAUUUUCCAAAGUCAGAACAGGGGAACCCGAAUUCAUUCUGACCUUGUCUCACAAAACCUAUUAUAUCUCAUUAUUUACAAUUCCAUUGACUACACUAUUUCUUCUAUAAGAAACUAGACUCAAUAAGCUUUAAUUCUAUAUUUUUUUCAUCCUCUAAUUCAAUUUACAAAAUUUAUGGUGAUUUUUCAAAGUUAACCUACGCAGCUGUCCAAACUGUUUUAAUGCAUGAUAUUAAUUACCAUUUUCCCCUAAGCUUUCAAUAAAUGAUAAUUUCAUCCUUACUCAAUUAACCUCUCAAUUGAGCUGAUUUUUCUCAAUUAACACAUUAUUCCAUCACUUUAAAGUACUUUAUAACCUUUGGAAAUCAGAAUUUUAGCACUAGACUUUAAUUCCAAACUUUUUCACAAUUAGGUCCUACAAAUCAAUUUUUAUUGAAAUUACCUAAUAAAAUCAUCUCAUAAACAAAUUAAAGCUUUAAUUUCAUGCUAUAUCAUCAUAUAUUUCCAGCACAUAUUCAUAGCAACUUUCAAUUUAGUAAUAGGACCUAGUUGUAAAAGUCUUAGGAACAUAAAAAUUACAAGAAAAAAAGCAAGGAUUAACUCACUUGGUGAAAAAAUCAUGAAAAACCAGCUUGAAUAAACCCUUAGGACAUUUUUGGCUGAUGAGAAUGCAGAAAAAUAAAGAGAAAUCUAGAUAAUUCCACUUUAGUCCUAACUUUUAAAGUGAAUUUUUGCAAUAUUCCAAUUUUACCCUUAAUUCUCCAAUUCUCCUGAUUUUUCUCAGCUUGUGCCGCCCAAAAUAUCUUCUUUUGGGCUUAUUUCAAUUUAUGUCCCUCCUCAUUUAACAAUUGAGCUAUUUAAUCCUUCUAGUAACUUUUACACCUUUUUCAAUUUAGUCCUUUUCACUUAAUUGACUGCCCAAACAUUAAAAUUUUCUAACAAAAUUUUAAUAUCAUAUUAAUAACAUUUCAUAAAUAUUUAUAAAAAUAUUUUUGACUCAGUUUUACGAGAUUGAGGUCUCGAUACCUUAUUUUUACCCAAUUUCUUCAAUAAUUUCUUUUUCUAACUAACCACUAAAUCGGUAAAAUUUUUCUAUCGAUAUUUUCAUACGAUUUUUCUAUCAUAUCAAUAUUCAUGCAAAAAUAUUAAAAUAAAUUUCUCUUUAAAUCAGAUUUGUGGUUACGAAACCACUGUUCCGAUAACCUUGAAUUUAGGCCAUUACAACUCCGACCAGUCGUCACCGCGCCGGCCGCCGGUCACCAAUGACGGCGCCGCCGUAUUCGGUGGCUGAAAAAAGGUAAAACCUCCAACCCUAUCCUUUCGACCCUCCUAAAUCCAAAUCUGGGUUCAAAAUUCCCAAAAUAUUAACAAAAACGCCCCAAAAGCUCAAGAAACCUUUCAGUUUUCGGCCACCUAUCCUCGAAGGUGACUUCCUCAGCCGUCCACGGCGUUGAAAAACCCAAAUACAGGUUAGUUUGUUACUCCAUUUUUCCUUUUGUUUUACUUUCGUAUGUGUAAAUAUGAUAAAAAUAAAAUAACAGUAGACCAAAAAUGAAACGAAGAUUUAGAAAAUAGCAGUAGAUGUAAACCUUUCGAGAUUUUUCUAUUGAUUUUGAGUUCUCUGAGUAUUCAAUCCCUUUUUUUAUUACAUUUAUUGAUGGGGCCUUUUAUAGCCGAUUUACAUGUUUUUUUUUCUUUCGCUUCUGUUCUUGUUGCUUCUGUGUUUGUCUAUUUUCUGUCCUGUUUGCAGGUCUUGGCAAGGUCAACAGACAUUGAAGGGAUAACCCCUGCCAUUUUGGUGCAAGGCCGUAGACGCCUGUCAGGCUUUGGGCGAUGAGUGCGCUGCAGGGGCACGAAGAGGGAGUGCGGCGCACAUGGAGCACUAGGGUUUCAGUUUUCCCCUGAAAGCAGUUUGGUUGUGGGCUGAAUUGGGUUAGGUUUUUUUAUUUUGGGCCAUACCAGGCUUGGCAUGUAAUUGGGGUUUGGGUUUGUUAUUGAGUUUUGGGCCCGGGCAAAAAUGGCCUAUUACACAAAUAAUAAAAAUUAAAAUCAAAUCAUCAUAUUUAUUAUAUUAGUCUAAAAAGCAACUGAUAAUAUAAUUGCUAAUAAAAGCUAAAAGAAAAAUCAACAUUGUAUGCAAUUUUAUCUAAUUAUUCUAGUGCAUAUUUGUUGCUUUAUUCCCUCUUCAAAAUUUAACAUAUGCUCCUUAUUAUCGUCUGUUGGUUUUUGAUCAAAUUCGUCAUCACCAAAAUUUGAAUUUGUAUCAUUAAGAUUAUCAAGAUUUCCUUCUUUCAUGUACUCUUUGAAGUAUGGAUCAUCUUGAUUCUACUUAUAAUUCAAGUUAUGAAAUAUGCAAUAUGCUAGUGUCAUGGGGUUAGACCUUUCAUCUCGCAAAUUGUGUGGCCUUAGACAAUUUCUUCGCUUCAAAUGUGUCUAAGUCAGCCUAACUUUCGCAAAGUGAGAAUUCUCGCAGAAUUCCUCUCUAAGGCAUUGAAAAUAUAGUGGAAGCAAUCUCAAAGACAAAAGAAAGCUAAAAAAAAACAUAAUAGCCACAAAAAAAGUAAAAGUACACCAAGUUAAAUGUUCUCAAUUAGUAUUUACUAAUAAAAAAAUGAAAUACAAUGGAUGAUUACAAAUUAGGGGAGGCUCUCUAUUUAUAGUUGAGUUCUCCCAAAACGGAAGAUAUAGAUUGAGUUACAUCGACGGAUGAGAUCGAAGCAUAUCUACAAUUAAGAGAUAAUCCCCAAGAUUACAAAAUUAAAUCUUAUCAUAUUACAAAUCUUCUAAGAUUUAUUUCCCUAUUUACCAAGGUAACCCUAAUUUUCCAUAAGUGCUUUGUUAGGCCACCAAGGCUUUAAGUAGAUGGGUUUCGUCACUUGUUCUUCAAAUUGGACCAAUUCAAGUGGGUUAAAUGAGGCCUAUUUUAUAUGUAGACCUCAAUAGGAUGCUCUUUGUGCCUUGGUCACGAGCUUUGAACCGUGGCCUGUGACACUAGUAUGAUCCAAUCUUUUUUUUUUAAAUGUUAUAUAAAUAUGAAAAAUAUUUUUUUUAGAAUAACAAAUGUCUUCUCAACUAAAAUUUGAAGUAGUGGUGGAUCCUAGGACAAAGUUUUGGGGUCAAAAAGAUCUUAGGAGUUUAAUAAGGAUUUUUUUUAAAAAAAUUUGGGAACUAAUUAAAUUUUUUUGAGAUUGAUGAGAAUUUUCAAAAUUUUGAGGGGGUGUGAUUAAAAUUUUCUAACAAUUUCAAGAGAGAAAUGAACAAAAAAAAAAAAUUUCUUCCUUUUCUUCUAUGUUGCAUCCAUUGAAAUGAGCAAAAAGGAAUAAAUCAAUUUUGAUUUUAGGGUUCCAAAUCUUAAAUGAAAGUAAGAGUUUGAAAACACAAAAUAUUAAUUUCCUUACUACAGGUUGAAAUUACGUGGAAUUAUUAUAAUUAGGUACCAAAAUGAAAAAGAAACCAUACCAAUAUUUCGUUAACAAAUUAAUAAAGAGUGGUUAAAAGAUAACCAAAUGAUAAUAUUAAUGAUGAAAGUGAAAGUUUUUUCGUAGUUCGAUGAUCAAAAUAAGAAAUGCUAAUAAUUAAGUUUGGAAGUAAUAAUAUUUAUAUGAUAAUAAUAAAUUUCAAAAGAAAAUUAUUUUUAAAAAAAUUGUAAUUAUAACAAUUUAAAUAUAUAUAAAAAAAGCAUCCAACAAAUAUAUCGAAAUAUUGCAAUAAAAGGAUGAAGAAAUCAUAAUAUAACCAUACAUGAAUUAGAAAUCAUUUUAUUUCAAAUAUAAAUGAAAUUUGAUAAUGAAAUAAAUUAAAUUAAACAAAUUAUAAAGUAAGAUAUGAAUAUAUAUAUAUAUAAGUUGUGAAAAAUUUUAAAAUAAAAUAAAAAAUUGUUCUAGAAAUCAUUGACUCUCACGUUCCACCCUCUUUUAUUUAUUAAUUAAUUAUAUUUUUUACUCUUCCACGGUCCUUUAUUUUUUGAAAGGAAAUCUCAUUUGGCUUGACACAAAAGUCAUACAUAAUAUUUGUUGUAUAUAGACUUAUUUCAAAUGUUUGAAUUUUCCAAAAACACACACACACAAAGUCGAUGUGGAAUUAAAAUUUUGGUGCCAAGGUCCACUACAUUUUCCACAACCACUAUAAUUAGACUAGAAUUAUCUCUCCGCGUACACUUGGGUUUAAAAUUUUUAAUUAAAAUUUAUUAUAAUCUUAACAUAGAAAUUAAAUUUGUGAUUAUUUUUAUAAUAGAAUAUAAAGUCUUAAAUUAUAAUGACAACAUAGUUGAGAAAAAUAUUUUAAUUUUAAAAAUGUAUAAAAACUGUUAAUUUUUUUAUUUAUUUUGGGACUAUUUGACAAAAAAACGUAAAUUUAAGGGCUAAAAAAGGUAAAAUAAAUAAAAAUAUAUGGAGACCUAAAAUGAUUUUUUUUAAAAAUAAAACUUUCAUAUUGUUAGUUUAAUGACUAAUGUUAUAAUUUAACCUUUAUUUUUGAAAGGGAAUCUCACUUAAAACGAUCCCACCACUUAGACUACAGUGGCGAAACUAGGACUGGUAAGGGCCCCUUAAAAUGAAAAUUUUUUCAUAUAGUCCCUUUAAAAUUUUUAAAAUUUUAAAUUAGUAAAGGUAAAAUUGUACUUUGGUCUCAUUUAAAAAUAUAAAAAUUUGAUUAAUAAACCUUUAUAUUAAUAUGUACAAAUAAUUUAUAAAUUAAAAAAUUAUCUUUUUAAAUAUAUAAAGUAAAUUUAUAAAUUAAAAAAUUUAUAAAAGAUGGAAUUACUUAAUAUAUUUAAUUUUCCUUUAAAUGAAACAAAUUAUUUGUUGACUUAUUACAUUUAUUCCGUAUGAUUUAAUUUUAAAUUUUAUUUUUUAAUCUUCACAGAAUUAUUAGAUACUUUAAGCAACUUAGAGAAGCUUGACACGAAUCGUAAUGAGGUGAAGGAAUUUGUGCCCAUAAAGAAUAAAAAUAUAUGCAUCAACUAAAUAAUAUAAAUUAUUUAAAAAUAAAACACUUUUCAUUAUUUGAUAGAUUCAUUGAUUACCAAAUAUACGAUAUUUCAAAAAAAAAACAAUUAAAGAAAUCCAGCACUUGAAAGUGCUGAUAGAGCAAUAAUUUGAAGCAGUUAAGAAACUUGUAGGAAGGGUAUAGAAAGAAGGUUGGAGGCUUGACGCCAAAAGUCACCAUAGUGGUCUGCUUAGAUCGUUUGGGGCGACUGAAUUUUCCACAUUGAAAACGAAGCCACUAUUGCUACGAAGACCCUUGAAUUUUCCACAAAGAAUUUAUCCCAUAAAUAGAAUUUAUCAUUACAUUAUAUCAAAUUAUGAAUAAUUCAGAGAUUUGCACAUGUACCUUUUUAUUUUAUUUUAUUUUUUCUUUUUUAUUAUUAAAUUCUUUUGAAGCAAAUAAAGAUAAAUUUAUUAUUUUAAAAUUAAUUAAUUAAAAUACUCAUAUUUUUAAAAUGUUAUCAUGGAAGGAGACUCUUUCAUUGUCAAAAUCCAAACAAAAGGAGGAAGAUUUCAUAGAUGGACAACUAGAACUAAACCUGUUUAAUUAUAAGUCGGAUCAGGCCUGCUCAAAAAGUGAGAGGGUUUGAGUAAAAUUAUAACCUUAAAAAAUGGGUUUAGACAAAAAAAUAAUGUCUGUUUAAAAACGGAUCAGACUUCAGGUAAGGCAUUUUUCACCCGAGUCCAAUCCGAAUUCACAAAAUGACAAAAAAAUCUACUAUUUUUUGUUAUUUUAAUUCUAUUUUCUUGUUAUUUUCUUCUUAUUUUGUUACCAUUUCACUAUUAUGUUAUUACUAUUUUGUUGUUAUUGUUUGGAUAUUAUAUAACACUUGUUUUAUUGUUAAUUUUGUUAUUCUUUUAGAGGCAUUUGUUUGUUAAGUUGCAUCUAUCUUAGUGUUAUUUAAGUAUACGUAUUUUUUAAAAUUUAUUUUUACUUUGUUGGAAAAUAUUUAAUUUAAUGUUUUUAGUAUUUUUGAUGUAUUAUAUAUAUUUAAAAAUUAUAUAAAAAUAAUAUAAAAAAUUAAUAUGGGCAGGUUGGGCCCGGGCCUAAAUUUUUGUUUGGGCCCAGUCGAACCCAACCCAUGAGCAUCUCUAUGGAGAAGCAAGAAAUGAAACUUUAUUGAUAAGUGUCAAAAGUAACAUAUUUUAGUCUCAUCCUUAAUAUUUUUUUUAGGUGAUUAUGUGACAUUAAUUGUGAAAUAUAUAUUUCUAAUCUUUUAUAUUCAUGUUUUGAUACUUAAUAAGGCGCUUGAAAAUAAUAUGAGUGAUAAAUAGUGGAAAUUAGAACUUUGAAGUAUUCCAGACGCUACGCACAUGCAUCAAAUUUUCACACAAACAAUUUAUGAUUUUUAAGUUUUUUUAGCAUUCUAACAACAUAUAAAUAAGGAAAUAAGAAGGGAGGAAGACAACCACGAAAUUACCUUCAGAACAUUAUUAAAGCCUAUUAAAUUAAAUUUUCUAACUCCUUUUGAAUUUGUAUUAGCAAAUUCAAAUAUAUUUACUCCAAAAUUAAAUUCGUCGUUUUUCUCUUCUAUUUUAUUUUAAUUUCUAACAUCUUAUUAAGUCUUUACAAUCUUGUUAUUAUUUUUCAAUCCAUAAUUUGUUAUUGAUGGGUGUCGAUUCCACCAAUAUAAACCUACGCCUAAUUUGCAAAUUUAAGCAGUAUAGGAAGUAGAGUUGAUCCCUUAGAGACUGGGUUUACUGCAAAUUAUUGCUCUCUUGACCAGAUUUAUAUCGGGGCAGUUGUCGUGCUCAAGAAGUUCGGGGGGAUAAAAUUUGAAACCUGAAAUAAAUAAAUAAAAUGCGUAAAAAGUAAAAGUUGAAAAUAAAAUAAUAAAAAGCAGUUAAAUAAAUCUGAAGAAAAAUGAAUUAAACUAAGCUCAGCUUUAGGCACGGGUUUUUCUCGUCUUUGAACUGAUCCUCGAAAUUAGAUGAACUCCUCUUUUCCAAUAAACUAGUUAUAGCUACCAAGGACGCCUCGGACACCAACUCUUCCUUGUGUAAAUUAGUUAAGAAACGUCCAAUAACUAACCCUUACCGAUCGAACAACCAACGAAAUGUUCAUGAUUUAGAACUCCGGCAGCUUUGCGUUCUAGAAGAUUCUAGCUCGAACCAAUGCCCUCAACCGCGUGGGACAUUUAAAUCUGGUUACUACUUCCCUUAACGGAACCAAACAGCAAUCCCCACUUGGCACGCCAAUGUGUUCACAGAAAACCGAUUAGACAAUCGAUCCUUUCGAAAUUCCAACUGUACGUCUAACCACACUAACUCAAACGACGUCUUUUUUGACUUAGUGUUGAUUUGACUUUGUGAGUUGACGAAGUCAUACUCUUAAUCCGGAGAAAUAAUAAGUACUGGAAUUUAGGAGUCAAAUUGCUCGGGUUCGUAACUCACGGAUCUUAACGAAGUUAACACCGGCCUAAAGCUGAAAUGGAUACUUAAUAAAAAAAUUGGUAAUUAAAAACUUGAUUAAUGACUUGAUUCAAGACUUGAUUCCUAAAUGAACAAUGUAGCCCCCUAUUUAUACUAGUGGCUUUGCUAAAUUAAGAGCCACUAGCCAUAGAGAAUCAAGGAAAUAAAAUAUUCCAUCAUAUAAAAAUCCCUACAUAAUCUCCCACUAAUUAAGUCAACAAAAAUUUCAGCUAAUUAUAUCUUGGAAAAUUUUUGCUUUGGCCCGCCUUCUUUGCUCUUUUCUUCAAUCUAGCCCAAUUGCUUCUCCUUUUUCUCUUUUGACCCCAAAUUGUACACCUGUGUAAAAUUUAAGUUAAACAUGGAAAAAUUAGUGGUGCACUCUCGUAAAUUAACCAAUUUAAUUACAUAAAAUAUGUAAUUUUAGCAUUUAAUCAAAUCCCUCUACUUAUUUAAUGCUAGUCCUCGAGCAUUAUGCAUGUAUCUACAAAAGGAAAAAUUUCUUCUAAAAUAGGACUUGACUCCCAUGGUUUGCACAAUUCAACAAUUUAAUCCUAGCACAUUAACAUCUCAAAUAACCUAGCCUAAGAAGGAAGUAAAUAUAUUUCAGAAUUUAUUAGAGCUUGAUAGACUUACCUUUCAUUUUAUUAUUUUUGUACUUGGGACAUUUUCGAAUUUUUUGACGCGAGACAUGAUGACAACCCAAGCACCAUGUUCCGGUUACUUGAUUCGGAUGUCUCUAAGCGGGAUAUUUCACCCUACUCGUGAUAGCUUGUUAGCGGAGUGAGUGCAAAGAAAUUGGACAGCCACAUGAACCUUUUUACGUGAGAUGUGAUGACAACCCAAGCACCACGUUCCGGUUACUUAGCCCGAUGUACAACCCCAAUUUUUCACUCUUAACAUUCGUAUCAGAGGAGUAUUAUUAUUCAUUUUUUCUUUUUUUUUUCCUUUUUUUUAAGACAAGAAGACAGAAAAUUGACAUGUGAUAUAAGGUAGGCAGUCAAGCAAACUCAUAAUUCGUAAAAAUUUCUUACCCACUAAGUCUAGGUUAUUGAAAAGUUUAUGUGUAAAGAACUAAAUGGCUAAAUAGGUCAAACCAUAAGUGUUCCAUCCCAAUUUAUCAAAAGAAAAAAUUUUACCUUUCACGGAAAACAUGCAAAAACAGCGACAAUGGAUAAGCAAAAUAGAACCAAUAUAUGUUCCUUUCCCCCUACUUGUUUUACAUUGUCCCUAAUGUAAUUUGAAUUGAAUUAAAUGAUAAAAAGUAAAGGUAAGUAGGGAAAGGAAAAAGAAACUCCCCAUGUAUUUCAACGUCAUGGAGGGUUGCCUCGUAGGUGUGUCCACGGUGUUAAAUAGUGGGUAGGUGGAUUGGGCCUUGGCUGAAAUUAAAAGAAUUUUAUGGGCUGACAUGGGAGAUUUAAUUUUGUCUUGGAAUGUCUCCCAAGUCUUCCCUUAGACAGAACUGAUCCUCGACAUGCAUUUUCAUUUUCCGUUUACCAAAAAUUUUAUUUGCAUAAAGGGAAAAAUUUGGGUUGCCUCCCAACAGCGCUUUGUUUAACGUCGUUAGCUCGCCGAUCUGUUAUUCAAAUUCUGGGCUCCCCAAGAACAAUUGUAAGUGUUGCCAGUCCCCAGCAACAGCGCCAAAACUGAUGGGUGUCGAUUCCACCAAUAUAAUCCUACGCGUAAUUUGCAAAUUUAAGCAGUAUAGGGACUAGGGUCGAUCCCUCAGAGACUGAGUUUACUGCAAAUUGUUGCUCUCUUGACCAGAUUUAUGUCAGGGCAGUUGUCGUGCCCAAGAAGUUCGGGGGGAUAAAAUUUGAAACCUGAAAUAAAUAAAUAAAAUGCGUAAAAAGUAAAAGCUGAAAAUAAAAUAAUAAAAAGCUGUAACACCCCUUACCCGAGACUGUUGCUGGAGUCGAGCACGAGGCAUUACCUGACUUACUUACUAAUUCGGAGCAUAAAAUUUGCUUUUAAAAUUAAUUCAUUCACAAUCAAUCCAUAUGUCCCUAAAAGAACUCUCGAGACCCCAAAAUCAUGUAAUAAAAAUGGUUCGGGUCCAAACCGGGAACAUUUAUAAUUUUCCGAAUACUUAAUCAAAUUAAAACAAUUUAUUUCACUAUUCACAAUAAAACUGUCCACCUGCGCAGCAGUCACUUAUUUAAUUAUAACUCGAGUUACGAAACUCAAAAUUUAGAUUCGUAAAUUUUCCCUGAAACUAGAAUCAUAUAUCUUUUUCACUGUCCAGCCAAUUAGUACAGUUUAUUCUUUAAAUUCUCCCCUGUUUCACUGCUCGACAGCUCUGACCCCUCUUCACUAAAAAUUAAUUAUCUUAUUGUACAGAAUUCAGAUAAUAUUAUCGUUUGUUUCUAUUGAAAAUAAAAUCACUAAGGAAUCUAGGCAUAUAAAUUAUAACUCAUAAUUCCUUCUAUACAAUUUUUAAUGAAUUUUUAAAGUCAGAACAGGGGACUUCAGAAACCAUUCUGACCCUGUCUCACUAAAAUUCAAAUAUCUCAUAAUAUAUAACACUUUUUCUACUCUAUUUCUUUCAUGUGAAAAUAGACUCAUUCAGAUUUAAUUUCCUAUCUCACUCAGGUUCUAAUUCAAUUUAUUCUAUUUUUGGUGAUUUUUCAAAAUCACGUCACUGCUGCUGUCUAAAAACUGUUUCAUUGCAAAUUUUUACUCUCUUUUUUGGUGAUUUUUCAAAAUCUGAAGAAAAAUGAAUUAAACUAAGCUCAGCUUUAGGCACGGGUUUUUCUCGUCUUUGAACCGAUCCUCGAAAUUAGAUGAACUCCUCUUUUCCAAUAAGCUAGUUAUAGCUACCAAGGACUCCUCGGACACCAACUCUUCCUUGUGUAAAUUAGUUAUGGAACGUCCAAUAACUAACACUUACCGGUCGAACAACCAACGAAACGUUCGUGAUUUAGAACUCCGGCAGCUUUGCAUUCUAGAAGAGUCUAGCUCGAACCAAUGCCCUCAACCGCGUGGGACAUUUAAAUCCGGUUACUACUUCCCUUGACGGAACCAAACAGCAAUCCCCACUUGGCACACCAAUGUGUUCACAGAAAACCGAUUAGACAAUCGAUCCUUUCAAAAUUCCAACUAUACGUGUAACCACACUAACUCAAACGACGUUUUUUUUUACUUAGUGUUGAUUUGACUUUGUGAGUUGACGAAGUCAUACUCUUAAUCUGGAGAAAUAAUAAGUACUGGAAUUUAGGAGUCAAAUUGCUCGGGUUCGUAACUCACGGAUCUUGACGAAGUUAACACCGGCCUAAAGCUGAAAUGGAUACUUAAUAAAAAAGAUUGGUAAUUAAAAACUUGAUUAAUGACUUGAUUCAAGACUUGAUUCCUAAAUGAACAAUGUAGCCCCCUAUUUAUACUAGUGGCUUUGCUAAAUUAAGAGCCACUAGCCAUAGAGAAUCAAGGAAAUAAAAUAUCCGAUCAUAUAAAAAUCCCUACAUAAUCUCCCACUAAUUAAGUCAACAAAAAUUUUAGCUAAUUAUAUCUUGGAAAAUUCUGCUUUGGCCUGCCUUCUUUGCUCCUUUCUUUCUUCAAUCUAACCCAAUUGCUUCUCCUUUUUCUCUUUUGACCCCAAAUUGUACACCUGUGUAAAAUUUAAGUUAAACAUGGAAAAAUCAGUGGUGCACUCUCGUAAAUUAACCAAUUUAAUUACAUAAAAUAUGUAAUUUUAGCAUUUAAUUAGUUAUUUAUUAGUUUAGAUUUUUUUCUAUGUUGAAUAUAUUUUAGUAAAUAAUAUUUCAUAUUUAACUCUAAAUUUGUUUUUUUAAUAAUAUACACUAGUUAUUCAAUAUAAAUUAAUGUAUCUAAUAAAAUAUAUUUUAAAAUCUAUAUUUUAAAUAUUUUAAGAUUAGAAACCUAAUUUAAAUUUAUUCAAAAGGACAUUUUAAUUAUUAAGUAAUUUAAUUUUAUAAAUAAUUAUAUAUAUCUAUUUGAACAACAAAUACAUAGUAUAUUUAAAAUAUAAUUAAUUAAUUAAAAAUAUUAUUUUCUAUCAUUGUUUUUAUGUAUCUACUUAAAUUUAAAACUAAAAGGAUGUAUGAUAAUGAAUAAGAAAAAUAAUCAAUUAUUUUAUUGAAAAUAAUUCAACUCUAAUUUAAGAUUAAAUAAAGACAGAUGAAGGCUAUUAUAUUAGAAUUAACUUUUUUUUAGUUUUUAUAUAAUUGGAAUUUACUAAUAUGAAGUAAAAAAAAUGCAUUUUAAUAUUGUAACAUUCAUUUACUUUAUAUCAACAAAAUGUUCAACCUUGAAAACAUUAGUUAUGAUUUUUUUUUUGAUAUAUUUACUCAAAUGAUAAAAAUAUUAAUUGAUGUAAAUAAAUAAAAAAUGAUGCAUUUGCAUUUGGUAAGAUUUAAUUAAACAAUAAAAUGUUUUUUUUAUUCUCAUUGAAUAAUUUACUUAUAAAAAUAAUUGUUUCAAAACAUGAAUAUCAGAUCAUAUCUAAUUACCUACAAUAUGAAAUGAGAAAAUUCAUAAAUUUAUUUACUUCAAUUGAAUAAAUUCAAAAAAAAAAUAAACUAAAUAUUCUUAUAUAAAACAUUUACUUUAUAAUUUUUUAAUAAAUUUCAUAUAAUUAUUUGUAAUUAAAUCUAAUAUAAAUAAAAAGACAAACCCGCAGAGCGGGGUUAUAUCCCUAGUAUAGUAAUAAAAUCAAUGCAAUGGGACCCAACUUUUGGAAGAAGAGAGGAUUUCAAGUUGUCUAUAUAGGCUUUGGUUGAUUGAAAUGCAGGAAGGUAUCAAGUGAGUGGUUUGUUGAUUUAGAGAAGAUGGAGGCUAAAUCGUUGUGGGUACUACUCGCUACACUUGUGUUUAUCAUACAAGGGUGGCCACAGACUGAGGGGUGCUUGGAGCUGGAGAGAAUUGCUCUCUUCCAACUCAAAUCUAAUUUCUUCAAUCACCCUUCAUAUUUGAAGGACUGGGUAGAUGUGAAGGGUUCGAAUUGUUGUCAGUGGGAAAGAAUUGAGUGCAACAUCACCAGUAACCGAGUAAUUGGUCUCUAUCUUUAUUCUGUACGUCAAAGUGAUACAUAUGGGUAUCUCAAUAUCUCUUUAUUUCUUCCAUUUGAAGAAUUAAAGAAUCUUUAUUUGAGUGACAAUAAAAUUACAGGUCUUGUGAAUAACCAAGGUUUAUUGCUUUUCUUCUCUCCAAUGACUGAUUCAUCUUUAAAAUUUGAUUUAAUGUUUUCUAAUUAAUUCGUUUAUUUUACAGAUGAGAAAGUGCAAUCGAUGAUGAAUCUGGAAGUGCUUGAUUUGUCUCGUAAUCUCUUGAAGAACAAUGAUGUGGCAUUUCUUAAGGGGUUAGCUAGUUUAAAGUCCUUGAAUAUGGGAGGAAACCAAUUGGAAGGGUCAAUAGGUAUUACAGGUAUGUAAAAUUUCGUAAAAUAAAAAUAACAAGCUAUACGUAAAUUACAAUUUCAUGAAUCUUUUUAACUAUUAAAAAAUUAUAUCCAAAUAUAUUUCCUUCAUAUAGGUAGUAAAAUAAAGGCAUAAUGAUUUUUUUGACCUUCCAACUUUAUAAAAAAAAAUCAUUUUUAGUCCUUAAUUAAAUUUUUUGUCUAUUUUAGUCUUUACACAUGUUUUUUUUUUCAAAUCACGCCAAAAUAGAUGGUUGGUAAUGUGGCAAACAUGUGGAUUUCCAUGUAACUGACAGAUCAUUUAAUUAAAUUUUUUUAAAAUUUAAGUUUUUUUAAAUUUCUAUUUUUUAAUAGUUUUAAUGAUGUUUAAUUUUUAAAAAUACUUUUUAUAUUUUUUUGAAUUUUUCAGUUUAAAAAAAAAUUAAAUGCUGACGUGUUAUCCACAUGACAAUCCAUGUGUAUGUAAUGUCAACAAAGUUUUAAAAUGUUAAUUUUUUUAUUCACUUUAAGAUAAUUUGACAAAAAAAUACAAGUUUAAGGAUUAAAAACAUGAAAAAUUAAAUGGAAGCAUAAAAUAAUUUUUUUUUAUAAAGUUGAAAGGUUAAAUAAGUUAUUAUGCUUAAAAUAGAAUGUAUUUGAUGACUUUUUUUUAUCAAGGAAAGUAGUUGGAUUUCAUGAACCAAAAUUACUUAAUCUUUGUCAUAUGACUUUGUUUGAGUGACAAAAAAGAUAUUUGAUUGAUUUGAAUAGUAUUGAAUAACUUGACAAAGCUAAAGGAGUUGGAUUUGAGUGGCAAUAAAAUUGAGAGCCUGAAAUCUCCUCACGGUAUGUGUUGAUUUACUUUACUUUCUCAUAUUCUCGCAUAUACAUUCCAAUAUCUCAUUUAAAAUUCUAUUAGUAAUAAAUUUGCUUAUCUAAAUGCUUUGUAGAGGGGCUAGUUAAUUUGACUAAUUUAGAAGAACUUAAUAUGGAUUACAACUACUUCAAAAACAACUCAUUGGCAUAGCUUAGUGGGUUUUCCAAUCUAAAGUUAUUGAGUAUAAGCGAAAACCAGCUUAAAGGAUCAAUAAAUAUUAAAUGUGGAAUUACUUAAUAUAUUUAAUCUUCCUUUAAACAAAGCAAACUAUUUGUUGAAUUAUUGUCUUUAUUAUGUGUGAUUUAAUUUUAAAUUUAAUUUGUCUAUUUUUAUAGAAUUAUUAGAUGCUCUGAGCAAUUUAGAGUCACUGAGAAAAAUAUUUUAAUUUUAAAAAAUGUAUAAAAUUUAUAUAUUAUCUCUUGAAUAAUUUAAAUUAUAAUGAUAUUUUUAAUAUAUUAAAAUUAAUAUAUUAUCACUUUUACUAUUAUAUAAAAAAUUAUAUUAACAUAUAAAAAUCAUUUAUAAAUUAAAAAUUUAUCUCUCUAAUAUAUUAAGUAAUUUAUAAAUUAAAAAAUUUAUAAAAAUUUUGAUGUUGAGAGACUUGGUAAGUGUCCAUAUAUUUUACUUUAUCAAAUUGCUACAUUUAUUAUACUAAUAUCUAAAUGCUUUGUAGAUACAAUUUAAAUCUCAUUAAUUAAUUUUUUAUUAAUAUAUUAUAGUUUUUUAAUUUAAAAAUUCAAUCUAAAUAUUAAAUGUUGUUAUAAGUGUAUAACAAUCACUUAUCUAUAACAUCCAAUAGUGGUUAUACAAAAGUUGACUAUAAGUGAAUUUUUGUGACUAACAAAAAAUGUAUUGAAUUUAUUUGGAUAGUAUUGAAUAAUCUGACAAAGCUAAAGCAGUUGGAUUUGAGUGACAAUAAAAUUUGAGAGCCUCCAAUCAUCUCAUGGUAUGUGUUGAUAUAUUUUACUUUAUCAUAUUCUUACAUAUACAUACCAAUAUCUUAUUUAAUAUUCCAUUAGUAAUAAAUUUGUUUAUCUCAAUGCUUUGUAGAUGGUGAGAGGCCACUUAAUGUAACCAAUUUAGAAGAGCUUAAUUUGGAUUCCAACUCCUUCACAAACAGCUUAUUGGCACAGCUUAGUGGGUUUUCCAAUUUAAAGUCACUAGAUAUAGGGUAUAACCAGCUUAAAGGAUCAAUAAAUAUUAAAGGUGGAAUUACUUAAUAUAUUUAAUCUUCCUUUAAAUGAAAUAAACUACUUGUUGAGUUAUUGCAUUUAUUCUAUGUGAUUUAAUUUUAAAUUUUGUUUGUCAAUUUUUACAGAAUUAUUAGAUGCUUUAGGAAACUUAGAGGAGUUAGACAUGAGCGGGAAUGAGGUGAAGGAAAUUGUGCCCAUAAAGAAUAAAGGUAUAUGUAUCAACUAAAGGAAAUCUUACUAAUUGUUUUCCAUUAGAUAUCAAGUGAACUGAUUCCAACCACUAAUUUGACUCUUAGACAAUGGAAGUUUGGGAAAGCUAAAGGUUGCUACAUUAAACCGUGUGUUCACCGAUGGAACUGCUUCUCUAAUACAACUUCUAGAGACAUUCUCAUCUGUUAAUACAUUAUAUUUGAGUGACAAUUACUUCAACGACACCUUUUCUACUCAAGGUAUAAUAUAUAUGUAUGUGAAUAUAUAGUUUUAUAGUUUGGUUCCAUUUAAAAAUAUUAUUUACUUAACGUCAAUCAUCUAAAUAACUCUUAUAAAUUUGUAAAGAUAAAUUGCAUGUGUCGAGCAAAAUUGAGGAAUUAGUACUAGAUCAAUCAUCUCUCAACAACAACAUUCUUCAAAGUAUUGGUGCAUUGGCUUCUCUUAAAAUUGUCUUUGAGUGGUUGUGGGCUGUCUGGGACAUUACCUACCCAAGGUAAAUUAAUAAUUAUGACAUAAUUAUUUAGACAAGCUCUUGAUUAAUUAUUUUUUAUCCUCCUAGAAUAUUUAAAUAAUUUGUACAAAUUUAUUUUACAGGAUGGUGUGAUUUACGGAAAUUUGAGGUGUUGGAUCUUAGUGAAAAUGCUCUUAAAGGAACCCUCCCUUCAUGUUUGGCUAACUUGUCAUCACUUCAUUAUUUGGAUAUUUCCGGUAAUCAAUUCGUCGGGAAAGGUGCCUCCACUGCCUUAGCCAAUCUCAAUUUGCUUAAAUUCAUUUCUCUUUCACGAAACCUUUUCGAAGUUCCUUCCAUUUUCAUAUCUUUUGCCAACCAUUCACACCUCAAAGUACUCUCCAGCAAUCAAAACAAGUUAGUCGAAGAGCCUACCAUUCCAACAUGGGUCCCAAAGUUCCAACUAAAAGCCUUCCGUUUGUCAAAUUGCACAACAAAGGAACUCCACAUUGAACUUUCGAAAUUCCUCUAUUACCAAAAUAACCUGAGUAUUAUUGAUCUUUCAUAUAAUAAUUUUGAAGGAAAGGUUCCUUUUUGGUUGUUAGAGAACAAUACAAGAAUGGAAGCAUUUUUAAUGACGGGUAACUCUUUUAUGAGUCAUCUCAAUCUUCCAUCUCAUCCGAAUCCAAACAUAUCCUUUGUUGAUAUAUCUGACAACAAAAUACAAGGUCCAAUUCCAACAAACAUUUGUUCAAUCUUUCCACAACUAAAUGGGUUAAACCUAUCAGGCAAUUCCCUUCAAGGUAAUAUUCCUCCUUGUCUGGGUAGUUUGACCACUUGGAAUUUAUUAUUAGAUCUGUCACAUAAUCAGCUAUCUGGAGGAAUACCAGAAAUGUUAGCUCAAAGUGACUCGUUGAGGUUUCUUAGGCUAUCAAAUAAUCAUCUAAGUGGAAAGAUAACCCCAACGAUCUUUUGCUCAACUUCAUUACGAUUGCUAUAUUUAGAUGGCAAUAACUUUGAUGGAAAUAUACCUAGCAUUGUUAUCUCAACUUUCCUUUCAUAUUCCCUUGUUGAUAUGGAUUUAAGUAACCACAAUUUGUCCGGAGAGCUCCCAAGAUGGAUAUGGAAAGUGUCAAAUUUAAAUGCAUUGUCAGUAUCCAACAAUCAGCUCAAGGGUCUCAUUCCGAUGGAAUUGUGCUAUUUGGAUUCCCUUAAAAUUUUAGACCUUUCAGAAAAUAAAUUUUCUGGCCUAAUACCAUCUUGCUUCGAUGCACAAUCUAUCAUGCAUCUCCAUUUGAGCAAAAAUAGAUUAAGUGGCACCUUGACAAAUGCAUUCUUUAAUAGCUCUUCCUUGGUGACUUUAGAUCUUAGUGAAAAUCAGCUGAGUGGAGAAAUUCCAUACCAGAUUGGAACUCUUUCUGCUUUGAGUGUUCUACUUCUAAAAGCCAAUUAUUUUAUUGGAGAAAUUCCCAUUGAGAUAUGUAAAUUGUAUUCUUUAAGUAUCAUUGAUCUUUCUCAAAACAAGCUUUUUGGUCUGAUACCUUCUUGUUUGAGUCGUUUAACUCUUGAUCCAAAUGAUGAAAAAUCUUCAACAAAGACCUAUGUGGAGGGCUCUGGAGGAAUCUUUGAGCCGGGUAAUUACUUUGGAGUGACUGAAUUUGAAUUUUUCACUUUAAGAGGAUACUGAUGAAGUUGGUUCAGCAUGCAGCAAACUCAACAGCAUGCAGGCCAUGAAGACCAAGUCGUGCAGGAGCUGCUGGAACGAGCUGAACUAUUCCUAUUUUGUUCAUCUAGUAAUCUUAAGUUAAUGUAUUGUACUUUAGUUCAUUUAGAACUAUGUUAGGUUUAUGAUUGAUGUAAUUUUGAUGACAAUUGAGCUGUUAAGUCAGCUUUGUUUAAGUGUGUAAGCUUAGUUUUUCAAGUUUCAAUGUAUUAGUGGUAGUAUGUGAUGAUUAGGUAUCAUUAUGCAGAUUUUGACAAGCAAAUUGCUUGGUUUAUGUAUUGGCAUUAUGCCAUUGUUCAAUAUAUGGAUGAAAUCAGCUUUGUUCAUCAAUAUUCUCUCAAAUUUCCUCAGCUUAUUUUCUUCUUUCUUCAACUCGAAAUUGUUUGUUUGCUCAGCAAGAUUCGAGGCUUGCUCGACAAGAUACUUGCUGAGUCUGUUUGAUUCUGCUGUUGCACCAACAAUUGGUAUCUAGAGCUUAUUUCUUAAGGGACCUGUUAUACAAAUCCAUGGCUUCAUCAAGCUUUUCACCAGCUGCACCUCAAGUCUUCAAUGGGGAAGGCUAUCACAUAUGGGUGGUCAAAAUGAAGACCUACCUGCAGGCUUUCGAUCUGUGGGAGGUGGUCAACUCUGAUGUUGAACCAGAGCCACUUAGAGCUAAUCCAACGGUGGCUCAGAUCAGGCAGCAUGCUGAUGAAAGGACCAAGAGGCACAAGGCUAUGUCUUGCAUCCAAAACUCAGUGUCUGAUGUGAUUUUCACAAGGAUUAUGGCCUGUGAAUCACCAAAACAGGCCUGGGACAAGUUGCAGGAAGAGUUUCAAGGGACUGAGAGGACAAGGCAACAACAGUUGUUAAACUUGAGGAGAGAUUUCGAGAAUUUGAAGAUGAAGGAAGAAGAAACUGUCAAGCAAUAUUCUGACAGGAUUAUGGCUGUGGUUAACAGCAUCAGGCUCCUUGGAGAGCAGUUCAAUGAAGCUAGGAUAGUGGAGAAGGUUAUAGCAACUCUGCCUGAGAGGUAUGAGGCAAAAAUCUCAUCUCUCGAGGACUCAAGGGACCUGUCCACCAUCUCCCUGACAGAGUUGAUCAAUGCUCUAUAUGCUCAAGAGCAGAGGAGAGCAAGCAGACUGGAGGAGCACCAAGAAGGUGCCUUUCAGGCAAGAACAAAUACUACCUACAAAGGCAAGAAGGCCUGGAGAGACAAGCCAAAGGAUAAUGCUGCAAGAAGAGAAGGUCAGACUUGCAAGCACUGCAGAAAGGCUAGUCAUUCAGAAGAAAAAUGCUGGUUUAAUCCAGAUGCUGUGUGUCAGCAUUGUAAGAAAAAGGGUCAUGUUGAGAGAGUCUGUAAGAGCAAGGCCAAAUCAAGGCGCAAUCAGUCUCAACAGAUGAAAGCUGAGGCUCGAGUAGCUAAAGAGGACAGUGACCAAGAGGAGCAAGUCUUUACUGUGUCAUGCUCAGCUGCUCAGGAAAGGUCCUCAUCUGGUUGGCUCCUAGACAGUGGAUGCACCAACCACAUGACACCUGAUGCUGCAAUCUUUAAGUCUUUAGACAGAAGCUGCAGAACUAAAGUCAAGAUAGGAAAUGGUCAUUUUAUUCAAGCUGAAGGCAAGGGUGAUGUUCUGAUAUGCACCCUUACAGGUACCAAAGUGAUUUCAAAUAUGCUGUUGGUGCCUGAAAUUGACAGAAACCUGCUCAGCAUAGCUCAGUUGCUGGAAAAAGGUUACUCAGUUGUGUUUAAAGACCACCAAUGCCAAAUCAGUGAUCCAAGUGGAUCCAAACUGAUGGCAGUCCCUAUGGCUGAUAAGAGCUUUGUGGUUGACUGGACAAAAAAGUCAGACAUUGCCUACACAGCCACUUCAGAUGAAUCCAAGCUGUGGCAUCAAAGACUGGGACAUGCCAACUUCAGAUCGAUGGCCCGAAUGAUCAGAGAAGACCUGGCUGAAAACUUCAUCAACUCAGUAGACCAUGAUGAUGUAUGUGAAGUAUGUCAGCUAGGAAAGCAGGCCAGACUCCCAUUUCCCUCGAAUCAAGCCUGAAGAGCCUCUGAAAAACUCCAACUGGUGCAUACUGAUGUGUGUGGACCUAUGAAGACUGAGUCAUUGAGUGGAAACAGGUAUUUCAUACUGUUCAUUGAUGAUUUCUCGAGAUAUUGCUGGAUUUACUUCUUAAAACAGAAAUCAGAGGUGGCCACUGUGUUUUGGAAGUUCAAAACUGCUGCUGAGACUAAAACAGGCUGCAGGGUGAAGACCAUAAGGUCUGAUAAUGGGACUGAGUACACCUCAGCUCAGUUCCAAGCCUUCUGUGAUAAGGCAGGCAUCAAACAUCAACUUACCAACACAUAUACACCUCAGCAGAAUGGGGUAAGUGAAAGGAAGAAUAGGAGUUUGAUGGAUAUGGCCAGGUGCUUGAUGAUUCAGAAGAAUCUGCCUAAAGCACUAUGGGCAGAAGCAGUUAACACUGCAACAUACAUUCAAAAUAGACUUCCAACCAGGGCUUUGGAUCAAAAGACCCCAUUCGAGGCCUGGUUUAGCUUCAAGCCAUCACUGGCUCAUCUGAAGGUCUUUGGAUGCAUCUGUUAUGCACAUGUACCUGCUGUUAAAAGGGACAAAUUGUCUGAAAGGGCUCGACCUGGUGUUUUGGUGGGCUAUAGCACUGUUAAGAAGGGCUAUAGGAUUUUAGAUCCUUCAACAAACAAAGUGUCAGUAAGCAGGGAUGUGGUAUUUGAUGAGAGGUCAUGUUGGAACUGGGAAAGACAUGAACCUGAAGAAGUUUUUGAAGAACUUGCAACAGACCAAGCUGAGCCAGACCAAGAUGUCCCUGAAAUGGAUAUUGAUGAUGAACCAGUCAGAGGAACAAGGCCAUUGGCUGAAAUUUAUGAAAGGGCUCAUGUAGCCAUAGCUGAACCAAGCAACUUUGAAGAGGCUGAGGCUCAGAAAGGGUGGAAGCAGGCAAUGGCUGAGGAGAUCAGCAUGAUUGAGAAGAACCACACCUGGAAAUUGGUUGAAAGGCCAGUCAAAAGGAAAGUGAUUGGGGUGAAAUGGGUGUACAAAGCCAAGCAGAAUGCUGAUGGUACCUUGAACAAGCUGAAAGCAAGGCUAGUUGUCAAGGGGUUCAGUCAGAGGUAUGGCUUGGACUACCUGGAGACCUUUGCACCAGUGGCCAGGCUCGACACCAUCAGACUGCUGAUUGCCUUAGCAGCACAGCUUGAAUGGAAGAUCCAUCAACUUGAUGUGAAAUCAGCUUUUCUGAAUGGUUUCUUAGAUGAAGACAUCUAUGUUGAACAACCACAAGGGUUUGAAAUAGCUGGCAGAGAGCAUAUGGUCUACAAACUGAAGAAGGCCCUAUAUGGAUUAAAGCAGGCUCCAAGGGCCUGGUAUAGCAGAAUUGAUGGCUACUUGACUGAUCUAGGAUUCGAUCGAAGCAAGAGUGAGCCAACACUGUAUGUCAAGAAACAAGGGACACAAAUACAACUCAUUGUGUCCCUGUAUGUUGAUGAUCUUCUGGUGACAGGAGGAGAUCGAGUAGUGCUGGCUGAUUUUAAGACCAAGAUGCAGGAAGUGUUUGAAAUGUCUGAUCUUGGGGAGAUGUCAUACUUUCUUGGAAUGGAGGUGUCUCAAGUACAGAAUGAGAUAUUUCUAAGCCAGAGAAGCUUUGCCACAAAGAUUCUGACCAAGUUCUCCAUGCAAAACAGCAAGGCAACUAAAACACCUGUUGCUGUUGGAGAAAAACUAUCGAGCCAAGGUGAUUUUAAGAAAGUUUCUGAAACAACCUACAGGAGUCUAGUUGGUUGCUUGCUAUACUUGACUGCCACUAGACCAGACAUUAUGUAUGCUGUAGGAUUGCUCUCAAGGUUCUUGCAUUGCUGCAAUGAGAAGCAUUUCCAAGCUGCAAAGAGAGUGCUGAGAUAUGUCAAAGGCACUUUAAACUAUGGUUUGAAGUACAGCAAAGAAGGAAAUCUGAAGCUGGUUGGCUACACUGAUAGUGACUGGGCUGGCUCAAUAGAUGACAUGAAAAGCACCUCAGGGUAUGCUUUUAACCUUGGUUCAGCCAUGUUUUGUUGGAGCUCAAAGAAGCAAAGUCUAGUAGCUCAAUCUACUGCUGAAGCAGAGUAUGUGGCAACAGCAAGUGCUGUCAACCAAGCCAUAUGGCUAAGAAAAAUAUUGGCUGACUUGAAUGUGCAUCAAGAGGAAGCUACUGAGAUCUUCUGUGACAACCAAUCUGCAGUAGCAAUUGCUAAAAAUCCAGUGUUCCAUGGAAGAACAAAACAUUUCAGCAUCAAGUUGCAUGUUGUUCGAGAAAUGGAGCAAGCUCAGGAAGUAAAGCUGAUCUACUGUAAUUCAGAAGAUCAACUUGCUGACAUUUUAACCAAAGCUCUUAGUGUCACAAGGUUUGAAUAUCUAAGAAAGAAGCUAGGUGUUUGCUCCAUGCAAACCAAGGAGGAGUGAUGAAGUUGGUUCAGCAUGCAGCAAACUCAACAGCAUGCAGGCCAUGAAGACCAAGUCGUGCAAGAGCUGCUGGAACGAGCUGAACUAUUCCUAUUUUGCUCAUCUAGUAAUCUUAAGUUAAUGUAUUGUACUUUAGUUCAUUUAGAACUAUGUUAGGUUUAUGAUUGAUGUAAUUUUGAUGACAAUUGAGCUGUUAAGUCAGCUUUGUUUAAGUGUGUAAGCUUAGUUUUUCAAGUUUCAAUGUAUUAGUGGUAGUAGGUGAUGAUUAGGUAUCAUUAUGCAGAUUUUGACAAGCAAAUUGCUUGGUUUAUGUAUUGGCAUUAUGCCAUUGUUCAAUAUAUGAAUGAAAUCAGCUUUGUUCAUCAAUAUUCUCUCAAAUUUCCUCAGCUUAUUUUCUUCUUUCUUCAACUCGAAAUUGUUUGUUUGCUCAGCAAGAUUCGAGGCUUGCUCGACAAGAUACUUGCUGAGUCUGUUUGAUUCUGCUGUUGCACCAACAGAUACGAGUCAUUAGAUGUAGAUUUCGAAAUUGAGAAUCAAAUGGAAGAAAAGGUGGAUUAUACAACAAAAAGAGCAUCUUACACAUACAAGGGAAACAUUCUUAAAUACAUAUCGGGAAUUGAUUUAUCAUGUAAUAGAUUAACAGGUGAAAUUCCCAGAGAGAUUGGAAAUUUGAGUGAAAUCCGAUCACUAAACUUGUCGCACAACAAUUUGACUGGACAUAUACCGUCAACGUUCUCAAAGCUCAAGCAAAUUGAGAGUUUGGACCUGUCUCACAACAACUUAAUUGGAAGAAUCCCUGUUCAAUUGACGAAGUUGUACGCCUUAGCAAUCUUCAAUGUGUCAUACAACAACUUGUCAGGGAGUAUUCCGUCUCCAAAAGCUCAAUUUGGAACCUUCGACGAAAGCAGUUACGUGGCGAAUCCUUUCCUCUGCGGGUCUCCCCUGCAUAAAAAUUGUAGCGACCUUGAUUCACCCCCGACAGCAGCACCAAAGAGCUCAAACGAGGAAGAAGAAAGUGGUUUGAUGGACAAGUAUGUUUUCUGGGUGAC